UUUUUUUUUUUUCUUUUCUUUUGUUUGUACCAUAGUUACAAUCUUCAAGAAAAUUCAUGUUAAUUUUAAAUUUUGUUAAAAAAAAAAAAAAAACUAUUCCCUUCGAAAAUGAUUUGGAAUUCUUCCAUUUUUUUUUGUACUGUGUGCAAUUGGACUAGUUUAGGUGUUUUUCUUGAAAGGAUUUUCAAUUAUAUUUACUAAAUGUUGGAAUGUCUUGAAUUUGAUAUCUAACGGUGCAUUGUAUUCUGAAAAAUUUUCUCCAGUAAAAUUGUUUUUAUUCUGUCUUAUGGACGUAGCAACAUAUUGUUAGUAAACCACAUAUAUCUAUGUGUCGAUUUCUCUACAUUUUUUUAUUACUUUAAUUAUUGUUGCUUCCAUAAUAUUAAAAACAUUUUCGAUCGAUGAAAAUAUUGAUGUCCAUGGAUAUUAGUAUAAAAAAAUGGCAUUAGUAAUAUUUUAUUGUUUAUCUUUAAUAUUUAUGGAUUUUUUUUAUGACACAUUGAAAAUGUUGAUUCAAAACCAUAGAAAUGUGUGAACCUAUGGCUGAAGAUAUGUUGAUGGAUAUUAGUAGAAAAAAAUGGCAUUAGUGAUAUUUUAUUGUUUAUCUAUUUAAUGUUUAUGGAUUUUUUAUGAUAGAGUGAAAAUAUAAAUUCAAACCAUAUCUUGAUGUUAAAAGCACGAAAAAAUCAACAUGUUGGUGAAAAUUUUACCAUAUCUACAACCAUACAAUGUAUUGGUAAAAUUGUUUGGACAAUAUGGUAAGAUUAUUAGCCCGAGUAAAUACUAUUUUGGUAUAGUGAAAGCACAACUCGUUUGAACUUAGUUAAUGCAAUUUAAAUGUUUAAUAUUUAUCCUUUCACUAAACAUUUAACUUAAUCAGUGAAAUUGAAUAUUUGAAAAUACAUAUAGACUAAAAGUGAAAACAGUUCAAAUACCAAAAUGUAUUUUAACUAGAAAUUGAUGAAAUAGAUCUAGAAUGUUUUAGGCAAACAAGAAAAAAUAACUACGACAUUAAUUAGAAUAAUAUUUUUUUAAAUAAAAUACGUGAGAUAGGAUAAUCAAACCUUAAACUCAAAAUUUUAUGUCAAAUCUCUAAUAUGAGAAUUAAUGUGUACAAAUUCUAAGGAUGUUGAGAUUUGCACUAUGUAUAUAUGUUUAUUUUUUCUUAGGAUGAUAAAUAAUUUAAUCAAUAAUUUUUUUAAAAAAAUAUAGAAUUACAAAAGAAGAAAUAAGAGACCUCAUCAUGAUCAAACUAUAAAUGGACCAACGCAACCAAAUAAAUAAAAGUAACCAAGCAAACUCAUACCAAACACAACUCAAAAGGAAAAAAUCUUCAAGAAAAAGACCUAAAGUCUCAAUUUCUUUGAAAGAAGCCUCAAGCUGCUAAGAGCAACAAAGAAAACCUCGAACUAUACCACUUAACGUCUGUUCACAUAAGACGAGAGCAAACUAGCUCAAUGAACAUAAAAUAUUAAGUUAAUACCAAAUAUGAUAAAUAACAACACGCCAAGAGACAACUUUUCAGACCUUAUGCCUCAUUCUAUUAAUUACCUGCAUUAAAAUGAAAAUCCAAUUGAGUUUAGUAUCUUAACGAGUGAUUUAGUGAAAGAUUAGGGCAUACACCACCUACUAAUAUACAAUCAUAGACGUUUGUAACUGAUUCCAAACAUCGAUCCAAUCGAGCUAUGAAAGAAUGUUUGAAAAUAUUAUCUCCAAAUAAAAAUAGAAAAAAAUAAAGAAAAGGUUAGAGCAAAGCCACUCUAAGUUGCCUAUUUGGACCUACAUUAUUAUCAUAAAGUAAGGGCCGUACAUAAUUAUAUUAACUUGUCAAUGUCAAUUGGACUAAGAUUAAUUAACUAAUCUUUACAUUAACUAAGAUUAUUUAAUUAAUCUUCAUAUUAACUAUCUCGAACAUGACAAAGAUUUUUGUACGGUACUCUUCAACAAAAGGGUGAUAUUCUUUUAUAUUAUAUGAAAUAGAUUUCAUAUAAUUAUUUCGAAUGGAACUCAUUUAUGAGAUAUAUUUUAUGUUUAUGAUUUCUGACUAGACUAUAGUCUUUCUACAAGAGAGACUCCAAAAUUACUUUUUAUUACUUUUAUGAAAAGCAAGGGAUUUAUAUUCUAAACAUUGAGAUAUAUUUGUUUACUAUAGUGAUUUGUGGUAAGGUUAUAUAUUAUUUAAUUUUACAUUAAAAUUAAAAAAAAAACAAUACAUUAUAGAUAUAUUUAAGUGGAACAAAAAAAAACAUUUUAAAAAAACUAUAGUUUCACGUUGAAAAACAAAUAUUUACGUUUAAAUAUAUUUUUUAAUUUAAUUUAAAUAUUAAAAUUUUCAUAUAUUUCGAACCAACGAAAACUUAGAAAUGUAGUGUAAUUUUUAAAAAUAGUAGAUUUUACACAAUAUUUAUAACUUAUAGCAAAUUCUAUCACUGAUAGUCGUUGAUAUGCUAUAGUGAUAAAAUCCAUAACUUUUAUCAUUAAAAAAUGAGGUAUUUUUAAAAAUAGUAAAAUAAAUUAAAAUAUUUAUCGGCUAUAAUAAAAUUUUGGAUUAUAUCACUGAUAAUCUUCUAUCACUAUAGCAUAUUAAUGACUAUUAAUGAUAAAAUCUGCUCUAAAUUGUAAAUAUUUUGUAAAAAAUUCUUUUAUAGUUGGUUUAAAAUUUGGUUAUUUUUAAUAUCUGAUUUCCAAAAUUUUUUAUUAAAAAAUUUCAAAUAAAUUAUUAGGGUACGAUUUGGUUAUCUCUAAUAAUUUGGAGAUUUAAUUUAAGAAAAAAUAUCAAUUUUAAAUUUCCUUAUAUUUAAUAAUUUCGAGAUUUGAUUUAGAUUAAAAUGAAUUAAAUUUUGAAUCUAAAUUAUGUUUAGAAUUGUUUGUAGUACGUUUGUUAUAUUUUUCCUUUAUAUUUUUACGUUUCAUUAUAUAUAUUUUUUCCUUUUGUAGCUCUUUGGAACAUAAGUUUUCUUUGUUUAUCUAAUCUAUUUAUUUUUCUGAUUUUUGUUUAUAUGAUCUCUUUAUCAACUUUGACUUUGUCAACGCUAUAAUAUAGAAGUUCUUUGAACGUAUUAAUGUUUUUUUUAUUAUAAAAGCAAACUUUUAACUAAGAUGUGGACUAUGUAUGUGAACUAAAAUUUAUCAUAUUAAUUAUUUUAUUAUAUUAUACUCUAUAUUAUGUGAUCUGAAACAUAUUCCUAGAUUUAUUAGAGUCCUUUAAUAAGAACUCUAGUUGUACUACUAUAUAAAGAGACGUAGAGCUACGAUUUUCAAUACAACAAAAUAAUAAGCUCUUGUAUUCCAUCAAGAUCCCACUAAGGACAUUUUCAUCCAUAAUUCACUAAAUACAUUCAGAGUUUAGGAAGACAAUAACCAUCUUAUAACUAUCGUCAAUUUAUUAUUGAAAUCAUUUAUGUAAUUUAUUAUUGACAAAUUGACGUUAAUGAUAUGAAGAGUUAAUUAAAUCUAUUAUAUGGACAUAAAGUAAUUAUGCUAACACUUACUUCGUCAAGUUUUAUAUCGGUGCGUUUUAUGUCACUACAUUUUCUAAAUUGCAAAAGUAACAAAUUUAGAAGCGAAUAGCUCUUUGAUAGUUGUCAUACAUCUAAUUACUUGUUAUAUUAGUCAUAUUUGCAAUAUGCAAAAAAAAAAAUGGUACUACGAGCUGUUUUUUUCUAAAUUUUGUUGUCAUCUGAUACAAUUUUUUUUUAAUUGUAGAAGCUUUGUGCAUGUGCACGUCGUUCCGACUAGUUGUAUAACAUGAGUCGGGGUGGAAAUAGAUUUAAUUUUUAAAAACUAAAAAAAAAAACAAAAAAGCAAGAUGAUUUGUCAUGUAAAAAUGUAGAAACUAAAGUGAAUAAUAUUUUUAAAAGGAAAGAUUCAUAUAAAAUUCUCAUCUAAGAUAUUCGUUUUCAAGCCGACGCAUAAGCCUUUAAAAGUUGCAUAAAAGAAGAAAAAGCAAAAAAAAAGUUGAAUAAAGAAAUAAUAUUAUGUAUAUUUUGUUUGUUUUAGAGAAGAAAAUAAAUAAAAAGUGAGUACAUAUAGUUGAGUUCCAACUCCAAGUAUAAACUUUUUUGGUAAGUUUGGGAUGUGACAAGGCAAAAUAUAACAAAAGAUGGUGGCCUUGAUGACGUGGAUUCCUGAUUUUCUAUUGGUUGUUUAAUUGAAUAAAUAGUUAAAAACUUUUUGAUAAAAAAAGAAAUGAAAAUCUUUUUAAUUCUCAUUUUCUUUAAUUCUUUAUCUGAGUCAUGUAGGACUCAGCAAAGGCAUUUUGUAUCUCACUUUUCUCCCUUUUUGGGAACUACCAUCUAAUGGCCCACUCGUUUUAAGAUCAUCAAAGUUUGGGAAGGGUCAACUUUUCAAAACCUCCAUUUUCCAUCUAUUUAAUCUUUUAGGUGUCAUUGUUAUAUAAAUUGUAUUUAAGCGUUGUAUGAAAAGUUUGAAUGUAAUCGAGAUUAGUGAAAACUAUAAAAGUAUUGUAAUGCGUGGAGAUUGUGGAAGAAAUAAGAAUUAGAUUAUGAAGUUUAAAAACAUUCAAAAGAGGGCUGAAUUGAAAACUAGGGAUGUAAAAAUAACUUGACUAACCAAACAACCCCAACUACACAACCCAUAUUAUAUGGAUUGGAUUGAAUUAGUUAAAAAGAUCUUUAACUAAGAUGACCUAAAACUGUAUACUAUAUUACAAGAUUGACCUAAAAUUGAAAUAAUAGUAAUUAUGUAUGAAAGUUGUUCAUGUUCACAAAAACAUGAAUGAGAAAAAACUAUGAUGAGUAUACAAUAUAUGUCAUUAAAAUAUUAGUUGUUCUCUAUUACAUGUAAUGUUGAGAAAAAUUAAAUAUGUUUGCAAUGUAGGGACUUAAAUAAAAGAAUUGAAGAUCUAGAGAAUUGUAUGAAAAAAGUAGUUGAAUGUUAAAUUGGUUUAUGAAUAGUAUAUAUGGAAGAAUACACAUUGUAUAUUUUAUAAAUGAAAGGUUAUGCUAUCAAAUUAUUAAACUGACUCAUGUAUUUUAUUUCAAAUAUUCAUAUUAUAUGUAUAGAUAAUAAGUUAUGUUUGAAACAAUAGUGAUUACGAGUAUAGAUUAUGAUUAAUUGUUAUGUACUGAAAUGUUAUAUGCAUAUAUUUUUAAUAGGAUGCAAUAUAUUAUCGUACUAUCGUGUUCAUUGUUCAUAGGAUUUUAUGAGAUAUUGGUUGAAUGGAGAUAAAAUGUUCAUUAUACUUCUUAUAAGUAUAUUUGAAUUAAAGUGUACAUUACACACAUAAAUAAUAAUGUUCACCAUAUAUUUGUAAUAAUCUGAUGUAUAUUAAAGAAUGUAAAUUUCUUAUAGUAGCAUGAAACACAAACGUUAAUGAUCAUAAACAGUGUUGUGAUUAAGGAGUAAUAUUGUAUUGAAGAACUAAUAGUUUAUGAUAAAUUGUUUACAAGAAUAUGGAUGAGACAAUUUUAUAAGGAAUAUAUUGAGAAUUUUACGAUGAGUAUAUUGAGACACUUUUAUGAUUAGACAAAGUGAGCUUAGCUUGAUGAAAUUGACUUAACCUUUGUCUGUAAGAUUGAAUCCUAAAAAAAGCAAGCAUGCAAAUUAGAUUAUUUAAAAUGGAAAUAGUUGUAAAUAUAAUAAUUAGAUUCAAAAUAAUUAAGUGUAUAACAACGAUUUAAAAAAUUUAUAAAUAUAGCAAAAUCUAUCAAAUUCUAUCACAGAUAGACCAUGUUGCAAAUAUUGAUCUAUCAGCAAUAGAAUUUUAUCACCGAUAGAUUUUGCUAUAUUUACAAAUUUUUUAAAUGUUGAUGUAUGCUUAAUAUUAUUUCUAAAAUUACGGUCUAUUAUAAUUAUGGUUUAAAAUAGACACUUUACAAAACUAUCCUUCCAUGGUAGACAUUUCCUACCAUUUCUUUUAUAAAAAGCAUCAAUAUAUUAGCUCACACCCAAAUAAUAGAAAGCCCAAAAGCCCAAUGCAUAGUCUCACUUCCAAGCCUUAAAGUAAUAACAUAUCUCUCUCUUUCACAAACUCACGUUGAAGAAUCUUGCUCUUCCCAUCCCUCUUUCUCUCCUUCAAGUUCACUCUCAGUUCUCUUCCUCCACAACAGCUAACCCCUACUGAUAUGUGCUCAGGAUCCAGAAGUCUAUGGCUUGAAUCUUCCGCCUCCAUUUGAUACUAUAAAAAAGCUUUCAAUUCUCUCUCCACCUCAACCGUUGCCGCCAACUUCUAGUGUUCGUUCUUCUCUUUCUAUCUCUAGACUCAUUGCCUCCAUCAUCUCUCCCUGAUGACCACAUACCAUAGUAGGUUUUUGUUUUUCAUCGUACAUUUGUUAUCAUUGUUGUUCAUUUUUGUCGUUCUUUGAAAAUUGCAUUCCUUAUUUUAUACCCUUAUUUUCUUAUCACUCUUUACUUCUUUAUACGCUACUCAUUUCAUUAUCUAUUAUUGUCUCACUCUUCGUUACCAUUCGUUUUAUUUUCAUCUUCUUCUACUUCUUUUUGUUCCGUUUGUGAAAACUUUGUUAAAAUUGAAAUGAACCGACUAUAAUCAAAACCAUUUGAUUCAAUUUUUAAAUGAAAUCGAGACUUUUUUUUCUUUUUCUCGAUUUAAAAUACUAUAGAAUUACUAGCAUGUUCAAUUUGGCCACUGGCGAUUUUGGGUAAAAUGAACUAAAUUGAACUUUGAACAACCAUAAUUUCUAUUCAAUUUGUAGAAAAACAAACAAUAAAAUGCAAUCGUAAAGUAAUUCGUUUUUAAGAAACUAAAAGAGAUAGUUGCAAAUUUAGCAAUUAGAUUUAAAAUAAUUAAGUAUAUAGCAACCUUUUAAAAAAUUUGUAAAUAUAGAAAAAUUUGUCAAAUUCUAUCACCGAUAGACCAUGUUAUAAAUAUUGAUCUAUCACUGAUAGACAUAACGAGUUUAUCGGCGAUACAAGUCUAUCAACGAUAGUUUUGCUAUAUUUGCAAUUUUUCUUAAAAGUUGUUAUAUCGUUAAUUAUUAUUUUUUAAAUGGUUAUCCAUUACAAUUACCCAAACAAAAACUAGUAAAAGUUACCGAAUAAGUCUUGGUUUUCUAUUCAUAAAAAGUAGGAAAGAAAAACAAUCAUUAUCCAUAAUUUGGCAAUAGUUUGGGGCCAUUUGGGGGAGUGAAAGGAAUAAGAGGGAAAAUGAAUAGAAAAAAUGGAGGAUUAAAUGGAGAAAAUAAUUAUUAUAAUCCUUAUUUGGGUUUAGGAUUAAGUGGAAGGAUUACGAGGAUUAUUAUAAUUGGAUUACGACAAAAAAUACUUUUUCAUUUGUGUUACUUUUCUUAUUUGUACGUCAACCACAAUAUGAGAAAAAUACAUAAUUACUUUUUUUAAAAAAAUAAAAUUCUUGUUUUUUCUGUGAACCCAAUACAAAAUAAAAAAUGUACUAAUAUUUUUUGGUAAAUUGUUCUUACCGUAAAUCUCUACAACCAAAAAUUGUAUUCAAAUUCAUUUUUUUAUUUAGGUUGUACUGUAAUCAAAGCGUUCACAACAAAAUUGUAUUAAUUUUUUUUUGUUGAUUUUGUAUAAAUAUUUUUUUUUUUACUUCUAACAUACACCUGAUACACUUUCAAAAGUAUUUUUUUUUUCAUUUGUACAUUUUUACAUUUGUUUUUUCUUUCUUUUUUAACAUCAAAUCCAGUACACAAAAUAAAGUGUAUUGAUUUUUUUUUUGUUGUGUAAAAUAUGUUUAUGGUAUUUAUAUCGUAAAUUCAAUUCACAUAGAAACUGUACUAUUUAAUUUUUUAUUUGUCUUCAAUUUAUAGCUCAUUUUGAUCCGUAAAUCCAAUACAUUAAAGGGAUAGUUGCAAAUUUAGCCAUUAAAUGUAAAAUAAUUAAGUAUAUCAAUAUUUUUAAAAAAUUGCAGAUAUAACAAAAUUUGCCAAAUUCUAUCAAUAGUAGAACUCUAUCACUACUGAUAGACCAUUAUAGCCACCUAUUUUUAUCCUUCCCAUAUAUUUUUUUUGAAAAAUAAUAUUACUAAUAAUGACAAAACUUUUAUUUAUUUAUUUUCUUAAAAAAUGUAAAAAAUUAGUAAUAACAUAAUAUAUUAUAAUAUCUUAUGUUUAUUAUUUUAGAAAUAAAAAAUUAAUCAAUUUAUUUUAAAUAAAAUAUUUUAAUUACAUUUAUCUUAUAGUUUUUUUUUUAAAAAAAUAGUAGAUUUUCCUAUAGCAAAUUCUAUCAUUGAUAGUCAUUAAUAUGCUAUAGCGAUAGAACACUAUCAGCGAUAGAAUCUAAAAUUUUGUCCUAACUUGUAAGUAUUUUAAUUUACUUUGCUAUUUUUAAAAAUGCCCCCUAUAUCUUAUUUAUUUUAGAAAUAAAUAAAUAAAUUUGUUAGAAUAAAAAUAUUCUAGUAUCACUUUUAACUUACUCAUAUCAUUUUAACAAAAAAAGAAAAUCAAUUUUAAAUAAAAAAAGCUUUUAAGAUCAUUUUAAUUUAUUAAUUUAUUUUCACAAAAUCUCAUAAAUAUCUCAUUUAAUUUAUUUUAAAAAAAUGAAAAUAUCUUUUAUUAACAUAAUAUCCAAUUUUGAUUUUAUUCUUAUUUGUUGUGUCCUAUUUUUGUUUUUGGUGUCCAUGUCGCCACGUGCUCGAGACGACGCGAAGCGGCCGACGUCCUCAAAAGAGUUAGUUUGAAAAGAAAAUAGGAGUCACCACCAAUCUUUUUUACAAUGUGAUUGAACACCGAAAUAAAGUAAACAAUUUUAAAAAAAAUGGUCUGUGAAAAAUAGAGUUGAGUUCGGGAGUCAUUUGUGUGUGGAAAAAGUAUUAGCACCCCACAACACCCAUUUAGAAAAACGGUGGCCAAAUUAAUAAUCUUGAAUUGAAAAUAUUUUAAAAUUUAUUUUAAAACUAAUGUCUUAUUUUACUCCUCAUUACUCCAAUAUUUAAAGCAAUGAUCUAUAUACUGAGAAAAGUUUUUUACCUUAAGAAAACGAGAAAUUAUUACAAUUUCUCAAAAUCUGGCUAGUCUUCAAAUAAAGUUUUUUUAAAAAAAACAUUGGUUAAAUUCAUUUUUUCUUAGGAUCAUAAAUAUUGGACUUCCAAAGAUAUGAUUCCACACCUUAAGAAUUCUAGAAGAUCAUACUCUCAAAUUUUCUAGAUUCCAUCGUAGGAUUUUGUUUAAGGAAAAAUAUACAAGUUUUUUUAGAAAAUACUGAUUUAGGAAAACCUUAUGAAAUGAUAGGUUAGUUUUGAAGGUUCUGAAAAACAAAAAACAUUUAUAACAUUAGAGACAAAUUUGCUAAAUGCUUAAAAAAAAGCAUUUAUUUUAAAACAUAAAGAAUUUUAAAUUAGAAAGAUUUUAAAACAUUAAAAAGAUUAAAUAGGAAGAGUUACCUUUAAGUGCAUAUAACAAUAAGUAUUAUGAUAGUAACGUGAAUAAAUAAAAGAAAAGAAACAUAAUAACAAAUAAAGAAAAAAAAUGGUAGAGGUGUGACGGCACCAUAAAAGAAAUAAAAAUAAUAAUCAUAAUAAAAAAAUAUUAAUUAUGAUAAUAAUAAUAAGAACCAUAAUAGUAAUAAAAUAUAAUAAUAAUAAUAAUAAUAAAAUGAUAAUAACAAUUAUAAUGGUAAUAAUGAUAAUAAUGAUAAAAUUUUCUUUAUCCUUAUUUUUUCCCUCUAUAUUUUAGAGAAAAGAAAAUAAAUGUUAAGAGUUGGGAUUUAAAAAAAAAAAAAGAAAUACGAACAUUUUAUUUAUGUCGUUUUCUUUCUCCCUAUUUUUUUACAAAGAAGAAAAAAACUAUCUUUUUUAAAAUGAUGCUAAAAGAAAAAAGUAGUAAAAAAAUACUAAAAUUUUCCUACAGUUUCUUUUCUUUCUCUUUAUCUUUUAAAAAGAGAAGAAAAGAAAAAUAAGGAUUUGAAUCCCAAAGCAAUUACUUGUUGUAUGAUAUGCGGAUCAUUGUGAUUAAAUCUUUACCAAAUGCAACCUCAUACUAAGUUUAUUUCAACGUGACAUUUGAUUUGCUUAAGAUAAAGUAAAAAGAAAAAAUAAAGACAAUAAAGUAACGAAAAGAAAUAAGAAAAAAACUCACCUUUUACUUAAUUUUUUCCGUAGAGUUUGGCUCUAAAUAAUAAAAGUUUUGCUAAGUACUCCCUCUAAAGAAGUUUUUUUUUUUUCCAAGAAAUUUUCUUCCCUCAAAGAAUUUUUUGUUUAAGAAAUUCUCCCCAAUUUCCAAAUGACAAGGGUCUCUCUACCACAAGUUAGGAAAAAAAUAAUAAGAAUAAUAUCAAAAUUUGAUAUUAUGUUAAUAAAACAAAAUUUCAUUUUUCUAAAAUAAAUUAAAUGAGAUAUUUUGAGAUUUUGUGAACAAUAAAUUAAUACAUCAAAUGGAUAUUAAAAUACUUUUAUUUAAAAUUAUUUUUUCUUUUUUCUAGAAUGAUUUAAGUAAGUCAAAAUUGAUAUUAGAAUUUUUUUAAAAACAAAUUCAUUUAUUUUUUCCUAAAAUAGUACAAAUAAGAUAAAUGUGAUAUUAAACUAUUUUAUUUAAAAUAAAUUGGUUUAUUUUUAUUUUCUAAAAUAAUAAAAAUGAGAUAUUAUAAGAUAUUAUUACUAUUCUUUUUUACCUUUUUUUUCAAAAAUAAAUAAAUAAAUAAAAGUUUAGCCAUUAUUAUUAAUAUUAUUUUUUUAAAAAAAUAUUGGUAGGAUAAAAUAGGUGGCUACAGUCCAUUCCAUAAAUAUUGAUCUAUCAAUGAUAGAUCAUACAAAUCUAUUAGCGAUACAAAUCAAUCAUCGAUAGUUUGGUAUAUUUGCAAUUUGUUUUAAAUGCUGCUAUAUCCUUAAUUAUUAUUUCUAAAAUGGUCAUGAAUUAUAAUUACCCUACAUUAAAAAAUAUGUUUUUUUCGUAAUUUACGAAAAAUAUUUGUUUUUUCUACCACAACCCAUAUGAGAAAAAAUUGAAUUACAAAUUUUUUCAUAUAAGAAAUGUUUAUGAAAUGUUUUUCCUAAACCAAAUACAAAUAAAAGUUGUAUUAAUUUUUUUUACGUUUGUCUAAACUUAUUUAUUUUGUUCAUACAUUUUUUUCCAAAAUGACGAAAAAUCAUAUUAAAAUAAUGUUUAUAUUUCUGUAACCCCAACACACGGCAAAUAUGUAUUAAUUUUUAAGUUGAUUUUGUAUAAAAAAAUUUUUGGAUCGUACACACAAUACACAAUAUAAAAAAAUUGUAUUAUUUUAUUUCAUUUAUGUAAAAUAUGUUUCUUCAAAUUGUAUAAAAAAUAGAAUAUAAAAAGAAAUUUGUAUUUUAAGUUUUUAUCAUCAAUCUUAUACAAUAAAAGAUUGUAUUUCGUCGUUUUUUAUUUUUUAUUUUCAUUUUCAAGAUUUCUUUUUCUUCAUGAGAACAAUAAACAACAUACUAGAGAGGAUGAUUAAUUCGUUUGGUGCCCAAUGAAUGAAGAAGAAGAGAAGAUGAUUAAUUCAUUUGAGAAAGAGAAGAAAUAAGAGGAUUAAUGUGGAGAGAAGAAAUAAAUGAAGAAAGAGAAUGAUUAUGUUGAGAAAUGAAAUGAUUAUAUUGAAAAAUGGCAUUGAGUAAAUAAAGAAAGUCGGGUAAUAAAUAAAGAAAGAGAAGAAAUAAUUAGAUUAAGUUUAAUAUUUACCCUUUCCUUUAUCCGUGUGCUAAACAAGAAAAUGACUAAGAUAAUUAUUUUCUUUCCUUUCAUUUUCUUCCCCCAAGUAGCGUUGUUGUUGUUAUUAUUAUUAUUUUGGUUUUGGAAAAGUAAUCCUACUUCUUCUCCUAUUUUCUCUUCCAAUUUUUUUAUCGUGAUUUCAAUCUUUCUUGAUAAAUUUGAACUCUUACCCAAAUUCAAAUAAUAAUAGUAAUAAAUAUAAAUAAAAAAUAAAAAACUACAUCAUUUUAGUUUUGGAAAUUUAGAUUUGUUUUCUAAAACAUUGGAAAACGGAGAUAAAAAGGUAAGAAAUUUAGAAUUGAAAUAAGUAUUUAUAAGUUUAAUCUUUUGGUUGUAAGUAGUUUUUAUUUGUUGAAUUUGACUAAAAUCUUAAUUUUCUACUAAAAAAUUGAUACAAACCAAAAAGUAAGAAGAAGAAAGAAAAUAAGUUAAAAUUUUAAAAUAAAAAAAUAAAACAACAAAAUGGUUACUAAACGAAACUUAAAUAGUAAUGUGAAUGCAUGACAGGUAUUGUAAUAAAAUUUCUAAAUAAAAAAAAUGAAUCUAUUUUAAAACUCAACACUUUUAAACAUAAUUUAAAUAUUAAAAAAAUAGGUCCAAGAUUUUCCGAUCUUAUAUUCGUCAUUAUUUUUAAAAGCUAUAUUAAUUCUACCAAAAAAAUCUAAUCAAUUUGAUUAUUUUGGUUGUGUUAUGGAAUCUUACUAAAACUUCACAUCCAAAUCUAUAAUAAAAUACCACAAUUCGAUUGAUGAGCAAUUGAGACUGUUCAAUUCAAAUAUGCUUGAGAAUUACGUCCUAUAUUGUUGUUGUUAUCGAUAUAUAGUUACCAUUACAACUAUAAUUAUUUGCUUUCGUUGCCGCUGAAAAAUUUUCAAUUCGACAUAUUUAUUGUUAUCGUUACCAAUAUUGAUAUCGCUUAGAGGUAGAGAUACAGUAACAAUAACAACAAAUUUUAUAGAAUUCAUAAUUUUAAAUAUAUGUGAUGAAAAAACAAUUUAAUUACGUUUACGAUUCAAGCUUAUUACCAUUGAUCCAUCCAUGAUAUUUCACUACGAUUACAUCACUUUCCUUUACAUUUUAGCCAACAUUGCCGAAAGGUAUAACCAUCAAUGGAGUUUUUUAGAGAAAAAAGAAGAAGUCAUAAUUCAACUUUUAGCUAUUUAAAGGAUUGUGAUCUUAUUUAUGAGCAUAUAACUUUAAUUUCCAUAUAGAAGUGUGAAUUGUUGAGUAGAAAUCCAACCCAUUGAUAAUAGGGGAAUUACAUAACUCUAGCAUCAACUUAUAAAAUAUAAGGUUAUGGUACCAAAUACUAUGCCUUUUUACCCUCCCAUUUCUAGUAAGGGUUAUUGCCCAUUCUAGUCUAGAAGUUGCAUACUUAAGGAUCGAAGACCACUAACUACAUCUCUUUAAUCUAUGUUUUUGAUAAUUCAACAUUUUAUAGGUUUUGGUUUUUUAUCCAUGUUUAGAUCUUAAAUAGAGUUACGAGUUUUUUCAACACCCACAAGUAAUUUUCUUUUAAAAAAUAGUUCUUAGUAAAUACUUGUCCAUGUAAAAAGCUAAUUACACUCUUCAAGUAAACAUACAAAAAGGAUAUAUCAACAAUUUCCAUAUGGGAAACAAGAUACAUAAAAAAAGUAACAACAUUUACUAGCUAGGCAACAAUUUUGUAUAAUAUUAUUGAAUAAUCCAAUUAGUUUAUGGAAAUACAAUCAAUUACAAAAUAAAUAAAUAGAUUUCAACAAACUAAAUAAAGGAAAGAAACAUGAAAAGAAAAGAGUACUAAUAUGAAAAGUACAAAUUAGAAAUAAAGCCUAAUUAAUUAUAUAGUUUAAAGUUUAAAUACUAAAAUAGCAUAGAUAUAAUUAUAUAGUUUGAAACUCUUGAUAAUCACACCAUCACAAAUCCUUGGUGUGUGUAAUAUCAAUUUUUAAGAAACUCAGUAACCCAAAGAUUAGCCACGAGACAUUGAAAUAUGACACGUUUAAAGCCAGCUUUGGCUGCAAGGGCCUUGAAUUCAUCUCUAGUUCUUUCUUUGCCUCCUUCAUAUAAAGUCAUCUCAACCAUAUCACAUUGGGCAACAGCUUUUGUUGCACUUGUGGUCUCGGGUAAUGUUGGAAGUAUUGAGUCCAUUACGAUUACCUUUCCAUCAUCUGGGAUUGCAUUGUAGCAAUUUUUCAACAACGUUAUGCAAUGAUCGUCACUCCAAUCAUGUAGUAUCCACUGUAAUACGACGUCGUGAUAUUGAGAUUAUAAAACGUAACUUGUUCUAGGUAAUUAGUAAAUGUCACAAGUUUAACUAUAUACUAUAUUAAUCCGAGAGUAUGUAUGUAUAUUAUAUAGCCCGGUGGAUAAGAUAUUAAACUAUAUAUGUCAUUUAAAACGUCGAUGUUGGUUGAAUUUCCUUAUCACACAACAUUGAAUUAAAAAAGAAAACAGGAACAUGCGAUUAUUACAUUUUAAAUGUGGAUGCCUUUUUCAACUUAUAAACAUCUCGACUAAUCGCAGGGAAUAAUCCUCCUCCUAAAACAUUUGCGUACUUCAAGAAAAAACCAUAGGAAACUCAUGACCCCUUAAUCCUUUACCAAAUUUAUUUUAAAUAUACUAAUCUAACCAAGUAGAAUAUGGUUAGAACUUUUACUUCCGAUCAAGAUAUUGUGUUUGAUUGUAACAAUUGUACAAUAUUUAAGGCCUUAAUCCUAAAAUUGUGUAAGUUUAGAGUGGGUGUUGGGUGUAAUUCAUUUAAAAGUUUAAAAUGUUUUCAUAAACAACAUGAUAGAUUAUAAAUAAUGUUAUGGGAUCAAAAUAUAAUGUUUCUUAAAAACAAGAAAGAAAAAACAAAAGUGAUUGCAAGAAAAUAACACAAACCAAUAAUUAAAACUAAACCAACCUUCAUGAAAACAGCAUCUCCAUUUGGAAUUUUCUCAAACAUGUCUCCUCCCACAUGCUCCACACCUGCCAAAUCAAAAUCAAAACCCUCUUAACAUCAUUUUUAAUUUUUAGUCUUAUAUCUCAAAAUGAAAAAAGAAUAUAUAUAUAUAUACUACCCCUCUCUAAUCCUCUUCACAAAUAUUUUGUUAUAUUUGAUUUUGAUCUAUGUUACUCGUCACUAGUAACAAAAACAUAAGAUGUCAAUCAUUAAUCAAUCUAAUUAAAAUACAACAUCAUCAACAAAUUAAAAACUUUUAAACGUAAAUGAAUCAGACAAUAUCUAAAGUUAAAACUCUUGAAAAAGUAGGUAAUAGUAUAUCUAUACCUGGAUAGGGAGGGGCAUUGCGAAUGACGUGAGGUAAGUCAUAGUUGAUGCCUUUGAUAUAAGGGUACGUAGAAGUGAUGAGUUGAAGGGUGAUCCCAAGGCCACCACCAACAUCAACUAGUUGCUUGAUGUUUGCAAAGCCUUUGUAGGCUUUGACAAUUUUUUUAAUGGGCAUAGUGGAAUGAUUUAUCAUUGCAAUGUUAAAAACUUGGUUAAAUCUUGAAUCCGUGCCAAGGUAUUGAAAGGCAUUCAAUCCCCCGUAAGCCCUUGUGAAAGUAGUACUUCCUCCUUCAAUAACCGUAUUUUUCAGUUCACUCCUGAAAUUUUAAAAUUUUUAUUUAUUUUCGUCUGACAUACGUACGUUAGUUUUUUUCUCUUUUAUUAUAUAUCUUUAAGUUUUGGAUUACGGUAACUUUUAAAAUAAUUGUUUGUAGCUAUACUUUUAGAAAAACCAACGGUUAAUUGAACUAAAAUAACGUUUAGUAAAUUUUAAUUUUAAACUAGAAAAAAACUAGUUACAAUGUUCGGUAAAAUUAAUAAUAAAUUGGUGUUCAAUUAUACUAGGUAGGAAAACGUGCAACGUAAAUGAUCACACACAAAUUAGUCUAUUGUAUAUUGUAAAUUGAAUAUACCUAUAUUUUGCUAUAUUUUGUUUUAGAAAAGGAUACUGGAUAUGAUCAGUAGGCGCACUCAAACAUCCCAUCAGAUAGGUACCCUAUUAGCCCUCGUUAUCCCAAAAUUAUAUUCAGUAAUGUAUUCCAUUAUAUUUUGCUAUAUUGAAUAAGAAUCUUAUAUUUUUCUCCUAUUUAUUUCUUCCACUAAUAUUCUCCUCUCUAAUAUCCAUUUAACUUGAAAACAAAAGUUUCAAUCUCUACUCUAUUGUCCUUAAUUACCAACAUAAUUUGAGUCCUUUGUUUCCAUUGAUUUACUUUAGUGGAUCUUAUCUUGGUUUUUUCUCUUAAAAGAAAAAAAAAAAAAGCUUUUCUACUUUAAACAUCUUCUCUUCCUAAUAUUUAUAUUUAUUUUUCUCUAAUAUUUUGUAAUUUUCUAUCUAAUGUUGCUAAUAGCAACUUGCUUUCUCCUUUUUAACCCUUUUUUCUGAUCUCUAACCUUUAUUUGUUCCAUAAUUAACUAUUUAAACACUUUUGUCUCUCUAAUGUCGCUCUUUUAACAUGUAUUUUUCUUUAAUUUAACAUGUAUAUAUUUUGCUUUCUUUUCACAUAUAUUUCUCUAUAUAAACGUAUAUAUAUUUUGUUAUCAAACAUAAACAAAACAAAAAUGUAUAACGAUAUAUAUGAAACAUGUAUGGGUGAUUUUCAUUGUUUAAAAGUAAAAAAAAAAAAAAAAAAAAGAUCAAAGAAGAAAAAGUAAAUUAACAAAAAACUAACAAUUGAAAUGGUUAUGUUGUUUGAGUUGCAUUUGACAGUGACUUCUGGUUUUGGUUUUGUUUUUGUUUUUCUUGAAAUCUAUGCCAACUUUAUCAUAUAUCUUAAGAAAGAAACUAGAAUUGGAAGCCAAAAUCUAUAAAUUAAAAAAAAAGGAGUGGUUGAAAUCUAUAAAUUUGACUUAAUUUUUCAAAGAAAAUAAAAGAAAACAUAAAAACUGAAGAGAAAAUUAGUGUUUACAAGUUUAAGUUUCUCAUCUUAAAAUCAACACACGUGUGAGUAAAAGAAAGCAAACCAUGUAUGCAGAAGGACUUUAUCUUGAAGCAGUGUUAAAAGUGGACCUAAAGAGACACCGUCUUCGUUACGAACAUAAUACUUAGAAACUGGCGUAAGGCUAUAAAGUCUUUGCACAUUCCCAUCUUCAUCAGAAGCCAAAGAGCAUCCCACGACAGCGUGGCUUGCUAGAAGCCUCAAUAUUCUAUCAAUCAUCAACGACGCUUCAGGGUUUGUUGUGGUUAUUUUAGCCGCUAUCUCUGUCGAAGAGAGCUCGGCCCCGUUCCCGGCCUUAGCCAAGAUCUCAAACACGCCGAGUUCAAAGGCUGCUUGGAGUGUCAUCGGCACCACCGCUAAGGUAGCCAGUUCCAUAGCAUAAGCAUAGUGUUGUUGUUCCAUGACGGUGUCGUCGUCUUCGCUGUAGGAAGUGAUGGUUGUUUCCUCUGUCGUGGAAGCCAUUUCUUGCCGGAGUUGUUUGAUGAUGAAAAGAGGGCAGUUGAGGAUGUGCCAAAUUUUUUGGUGGAUGAAGUUAGAGAAAAUGAGUAGUAUUGUAUUUAUAAAGGCAAUAUAAUGGUUUUGUUAGUUGAUUGUUUCACAUCUCAACUAUUUGAUAGUAUGAAGUUCCAAAUCAAAAUUAAUUGAUAAUGAGAGAAAUAAAUCAUCUAUCUUAUAAAGAGUUUAAGUCUCUCGUUGAUUUUUCAAUAAUGUUGAAUUUUUAACAUGCAUGCUUCCUCAAGAAGAUGUCUAUUUUGGGUUUAUCAACGUUGAAACAAGAAUAGGAGAAGUGCGCUAAGCAUCAGAUCAUAUCUCAAUUUCAUUUUAUUGGACCGAAUACCCGUUUGGGCUUUAUGGACUAUGAUAUUGUAUUUGAUAACAUGAGAUUCUAUCUCGAAAUCCAUUGGCAAUAAGAGAAGUAACUCUUUUAUCUUAUAGAGAGUUUAUACUAAAUUUGCUCUCACUCACUAGCUUAAACUUUUUGGUCAAUUGAUGAUUUAAUAUGAUAUCAUAGAAGGUGGUCUAGGAAAGUCCUUAUGCUCAAGUCUCUAUUGUUUCCCUCUCCCAUUAACAUAAUAUUCAUUUUUGCUUGUUUUGAUCUUUCUCAUAUUUCGAACCCACGCGAGAAAAAAAUGUUAAAUAUUAUAUUAAAUUUGUUUGUUUAAACUUCUAGGUCAAUCAAUGAUUUAAGAUCAAUAAAAUUUACUAAAUUUUCUAUAAGUAAAAAUGUAAAAGAUAAAAAAGAGAAACGCCCGAAAGAGACACUCAACUCCCAAUUUGGUUCAAAAUCAUUUCAAAAGUUUUAGUUAGGUCAUUUCUCAUGUAAUAUAUUGAUCAUAAAUCUAUACUAUAUUAGGAGGCGCACCAAAAAAUAUACUUUUUCUCUUCUUUUUUGCCUCGUAAAUAAAUCAAGACCUCAAAUUUCCUCAUGAAGUUCAGUCUCUAAUUGUAAAUUAAUUGUCAUCAUACUUUACCAUAUUCAAUCUCAUUGUAUUAUAUAUAAAUAUUUACAUCUAUCAAUGAGAAAAGCAAGCAAAGUUUAAUACAAUUUCGUUAGAUUUCUUUCAUGACCCACAACCAUUGGUAGCUAUUUUAAUGACAAGUCGUAUUUUGCCUCCAUCACACCUCAAAACUAUACAUCUCCAAAAGAAAAAAGAAGGGACAUCACACAUCCAACAAAAGUUUUCAACUUUUUAAAAAGGAAAAGGCCAAAAGAAAGAAAGAGAGGAAAUAUUAGAAAUGGACACAUUCAAUUGUUAAUUGGCUCUCAAUAAUUUAAUUUCUAAAUGAGAAAUCAUUAAUCCAUCCCCCAUCUUUUCUAUAGCUAAUAAAAAUAUUUUACAAAAAAGUCAAUUAUUUUUCAUAAAAUCUAACAUGAAACACAUUUUUAUUGGGUUCACGAACCACACAAAGAUGAAUGCAUCUUGCACUAAAAUCUUUUUCUUUCAAAAUUUUCAACUAACAAUUAUUUUAUAUUGAGUAAAACUUACCAAGUCUUGAUACACAAUCCACUAUAGUUGUACCAAUCUUUUUCUUGUUUUAAUUAUUUUUUCUAACAACAUUAUGAUAAAUCUUAUUAUAUUUGUAAUUUUUAAAAUUUGAUUACUAUAUUUGCAAUUAUUCCUUAAAACAAUAAGAUUAGAAAUACGUUCUAUAGCUUAUAACCACCGACUACCUAGGGUUUAAAAGGAAAUUUAAUUUUUUUGUUAUACAAUUUUUGGUCAUCAUCUGUAUGAUAUAUUUAUUUUCAAGUAACCAAAUUAAAUAUUAAGAAGAUCCAGAGAAUAUCUAAACUAAAUUUUCUUUAUUUUAUAAAAUAAUUCCUUAAACAAUAUUAAUUCAAUUGUUUAUUAUAUAUUUUAAAUCGGAUUAGUUGAAAAGUUUACUACAAUGUACUAUAUAUUAUAAGAAAUAAAUAAGCACGUGGAACAUCAUUAAAAUUAGAACAAUUCAAUUGUCUUUUUAAUAAAGGAAGAAUCAUAGAAUUAAAUCUCUAAUAUAAAUUAUUAAUUCUUUUACCUAAAAAAGAUUUGAUGAGAUUUAAGUUGAAUUAUUAAUUUUUUCUGGAGGGGUCAGUGAAAAAGUUGAUGGAAUGGAUUGUCUGACCCGAAAAGAAGAAGAACAGAUUUUCCAUUCAUUUUAUUUUAUUUUUGUUUUGUUUUUUAAAUUUUGUUCUACGUUGUAUUGUAUAUGAAUCCAUAAAAUACAAAUAAACAACAAUAUAUCAUUGUUAUUGAUGAAAUUUAUUUAUAUUUAAUAGUUUCUAUUCUUUUAGUUGAAAAAUUGUUUCUACACAUUGCACAACAAUAGUUUAUUAUAUGUUCUCUUAAUUUUUUAAAACAAAAUAUUUCAAAACAAAGAAAACAACAACCUAUUUUUUUGUUUCUUUUUCAAAUGAGAUAUAUUUCAAGAAUUGUUUUUGAAAUUAAUCACUUCUACAAGUAAGUAUAUCAAAUAUGUCGGUAUUAUUUGUUUUCCUUAUAUUUUAUAUUUUUGGUUCAUCUUUCUCUAUCUUUUCUCCAACAUUAUCUCUUUCUUCGUUCUUCUUCAUUCGACUUCCUCGAGUAGAAUGAGUAGUUGACAUCUCUUCUUUGUUGUUUUUUACUAGUAGAAAAGUUGUUGUAUGUUCUUAUUUUUUCAUACUCUCUUUCGAUUUUCUAACAAAUGGGUCUUUUAAAGUCAAGUUGUUUAUUUGAAUUACAACUACCCAAAACAUUUCUAGGUCACUAACAAUAAAAAUAGAGAAUGAUAGGAUAGAUUUUGAUAUACACUUCAAUUAUUAAGUUUAGAAAUGUCAUCCAUUUUGUAAUUAUUGAGCAUAAAAUACUUAUUUAGACGUAAAGGAGAAGUGGAAAGAUUAGGAAAACGAUAAAAGGUUUGAAGGUUGGUGAUGUGAGUCAUGGUGGGGAAUCUUUCCAUUUUGAAAGUAAACCAUAUCAAUUGAAGGAAUGAUGAUGGCUGGACCCUGUUUUCCUUUUCCAUUGAGUUGUACAAUUAACUAUCUCAAACUUGAUUAGAGCCGAACAAGUUAUCAAUUAUAAGAUAUAACAAUUAAGGAUUAUGAGAAUAGAAAAAGAGAGUAAUGCAUUAUGUGUCAUUGAAAGCUCUAAUAUGAUUGAGAUUACAAUAAACUUUUAAACUUUUCCUACAAAUCUCUUCCAAUAGACCAACACAAACUAUUUGAUUUCUUAUACUAUCCUAACUAAUUAUUUUUAUCCUAUACAUAUAUAUUUUUUAAAUAAUAAUAUUAGUAAUAAUGUCUAAUUUUUUAUUAAAAAAAGAUAAAAAUGUAGUAAUAACAUAAUAUUUUAUAAUAUCUUAUUUAAUUUAUUUUUAUCAUUUUAGAAAUAAAAAUAAAUUUAUUUAUUUAUGGUACAUUUCGAUUUAUAAAUAGAGACCUUUGUCAUUUGAAAAAAGGGAGAAAAUCGUUUAGAGAAAAAAUUCUUUAAAUUCGUAGGGAAAAAAAUUCGAAAGAAAAUUUUAGAGAGAAUCUCUACGAAAAAAUUAUUGUAAGAAUUUUUUUUUUGCAAAAUGUGAGUUUUUCAUUUUCAUUUUAUUACUCUAUUGUCUUUUUUUAAAAUCUUAAACAACUCAAUUUCAUGUUAAAAUAAACUUAGUUGGAGGUUGGAUUUGAGAGAGAUUUACUCUCAGGAUCCAUACCUCAACCAACAACUAAUUUUUUUCCGAUUUGAAAUCUUAUUUUUCUUUUCUUCUCUUUUUUAAAAGAUAGAGAGAAAGAAAAAAAAAAUAUAUAAGAAAAUUUUUAUUAGUUUCUUGUUAUUUUUUUCUUUGCCUUUUUCUUUUCUUUAAAAAGUUGGGAGAAAGAAAAAGACAAGUACGACAUUUGAUCUCAAGAAAAAAUGAAUUUAAUCGAUAUUUUAACAAAAAACUUUAUUUGAAGACUAGCUUAUGAUUCAUUUCGAAAAAUUGUAAUAAUUUCUCAUUUUCUUAAGAUGAAUUUUUUUUCUCAAUAUAUAGUCUAAUUAAUGGAAUAUUAUUCUACUUAUUUUAUGAGAUCAUUACUUCAAAUAUUUCGGUAAUAAAUGAUAAAUUAAAAAAAAAUAUUUUCAAUUCAAGAUUUGAAAUUUGGUCACGAUUUUAAAAAUGAGUGUUGUAAGGUGCUAAUACCUUCUCUAUACACAGAUUCCCGAAUUCAACUCUAUUUUUUGCAGACUAUUUUUUUAAAAAAAAUUACUUUAUUUUGGUGCUCAAUCACACCGUAAAAAAGAUUGGUAGCUACUCCUAUUUUUUUAUAAAACUAACUCUUUUGAAGACGUCGGCCGCUUUGCGUCGUCUCAGGGCGACAGCUUGGCGACUCCGCUAUAGACAUGAGGCUCUACCUCGAGAGUUUGACCAUUUUCUCCUUUAUCUUGAAUUAUUUUAUUCUUUACUUUUGUUUAAAUUUUUUGCGUGUUGUUAUUGUUCAUUUUAUUAUUACACACACAAUCACAAGCCUUCUACCCGAGCCUUACCUCAUAAGAGUACAAUUGAGGACGAAGUAGUGUUGAUCUUCGAGGAGCUUAUGCUCCCGUGUAGGCACACGAAAAAUUCUCACUCAAGUUAGUCAUUGUCAUAUAUGACUUUUGACCAAUUUGAGGACUUUAGAGCAAACCUCACUUUGUUUGGAGCCUUUUAUUUUGACUUUGUAAACUAUUAUUUUUCUUCACCCACUAUCACAAGCCUCCUGUCCGGGCUUUACUUCAUAAGAUUAUAAUUGAGGACGGAGUAGUAUUGAACUUCGAGAAGCUUAUGCUUCCGUGCAUGCAUAUUUAGGUUACUUCAUAAAUCUUAUUAUAUAUUUGUAAUUUUUUAAAUUUUGUAUGCAUUAUCCUAGUGUAUUACAACGUGCAUUUUCAAAUGUAUUUCUUUUUAAUUUCAUUGAUUGAUUUUUUUUACUUAUGUUGGUUCAAUUAUUACAAUUGAAUAAUUUUUUUAAUAAAAGUUAACAAUAUUUCAUUUGCCAAUUUUGAUUUUUCUUAAUCAAUUGACAUCUGGGUAAUUUUUAUAGAGUUUUUUUCAUAUUUCAAAUUUUUUUUAAAAGAGAAUUCAACCACAAUUCUUCAUAUAUUUUGAAGUUUGAGCAUUAUUUUUUAAAAAGUUUUUGAAAAACAUAUUUAUCUAACUUUUUUUUUUCUCUAGAAAGAAUAUAUAUUCAGUAAUAUUUAAUAUCAUUUAAUAUUUGUUUAAUAUAUUAACUAUUUAAAUCUAAAUAAAAAGUUGAUUUACAUUACAGUCAUAAUAAUUAUUUAUUGAUAUAGUUAAAUGUGUUUUCUUACGUUUUACAUUGAAUUUAUUUAACAAUAUUACAGCAUUAUUUUACAUUAGUUAAUUGUUUUUUUUUACAUCAAUAUUUUCUUUACAUUUUAUCCUUUAAAUUUUUUAAAAAUCUCGACAAUGAAAUUAGAAAUAUUUGAGAGUGCCUUAUUUCUAAAUUCUUAAGGUGAGGGGGUCAGUUCUUUAGAAGUUCAAGAUCGAUCCCCUAUAUUAAUUUAAAAAAUAAAAUUUUAUCUUAUUUGUUUAAUUUAUUGGAUGAUGUGUCUGAUUCUAUAUUGUGCAUUAUUUCCUAUUUUUUUUAAAAUUUUCUUUUUUAACUAUUUAAAAAUUUUGGUUGUAAAACUAUAUUUUUUUAGUGUUCUUUUUAAAGUUUAGAAUAUAAAUCUAUAUUUCACGAGGUUUUCUAAUCAACUUUUUUUUAAAAAGUAAUUCAUAUCUAUUUCGCUAAAAAAAAAUUUACAAUAGAAUCUAGAACUUUCUGGGAGUCCGUAAUUUCUAGAUUCUUGAAGUGAGUGAUCAAUAUAUUUGAAAGUUUAAGAUUUGAUUCUAAGAAAAAAUGAAUUUAAUCAAUGUUUUAAAAAUAAAAUAUUUAUUAGAAGCGUGUGAUAGAUUUGGGGAAAUGGUAAUAAUUUUUCAUUUUCUUAAGCUGAUAAAUUUUUCUCGGUAUAUAGUUUAAUUAAUGAAAUAUUAUUACAAUUAUUUUGUGAGAUGAUUGCUUCAAAUAUUGGAGUAAUGAUUUAGUUUUAAAAUAAAAUUUAAAAAUAUUUUCAAUUCAAGAUUUAAAAUUUGACCACCGUUUUUCUAAAUGGGUGUUGUAGGGUGCUAAUACUUUUCCCAUACAAAAUGACUCACAAACUCAACUCUAUUUUUUGUAGACUAUUAUUUUUAAAAUUGUUUACUUUAUUUCGGUAUCCAAUCACACCGUGAAAAAAAUUGGUGACGACUCUUAUUUUUUUGUAAAACUAACUCCUUUGAGAAUGACGGUCGCUCCACGUCGUCUCGAGUAUGUGGUGAUAAAGUGAUAUUGAUGAUAGUGAUAGAAGUUUAUCAGUUUCUAUCAUUGAUUAAAGCCAAAUUUUUGCUAUAUCGUGUAAGUAUUUUAAUUUAUUUUGCUAUUUUUAGAAAUGUCCCAUUUGAAAAGUGAGUUUAUAAUAAUUUUAAUUAGGAUAAACACUCUGGUCACCCUUUCGGAUGAACGCCUCUAGCCAACCUCCAGCGACCAUUUGCGAUGAUUUCUAUCGUUCGGCCAACCUUCGACCACCAUUGGCCACCUCUGACCACAAUCUUUAGUUAUAUUGGCCAACUCUUUAUAGUAAUUUGAAAUUAACAAAAAAAAACCUUUUUAGUGUAUAAAAACUUUCUUUUUUCUUUUUUUACAAAGAGUUGUGAAAUAAACUUGGGUUAUUAUUUUAAAGAUUUUUCUAUGUUUUAUCUAAAGUCUUUAAAUAAAAUUGUAUUUUUGAAAAACGUUCAUUUCAAGCAACUCCACUCAAGUAAGCCAACUUUUCACUUAUUUUGUUGGAGCAGUUGCAAAUUUAGUAAUUAGAUUCAAAAUAAUUAAAUAUAUAACAUCUUAAAUUUUUUUGCAAAUAUAGCAAAAUUUAUCAAAUUCUAUCGAUGAUAUAAGUCUAUCAUCGAUAGACCAUGUUACAAAUAUUGAUUUAUCACUGAUAGACCAUACGAAAUCUACUAGUGAUAGUUUUGCUAUAUUUACAAUUUUUUUAAAAUGUUGCUAUAUCCUUAAUUAUUAUUGCUAAAAUGGUCAUCAAUUGCAAUUUUCCUAAUUUCCACCUACAAAUUAACCAAUUAAAAAUGUUUGCCUAUAAAUGUUUAACCAACUAAAAAAUGUUUGCCUAUAAAUGUUUAACCAACUAAAAAAAGAAAAAGAAUUUCACAAAUAAAAAUUUAAUUAAAUCCAACAUGACCAUGUGGAUAUAUCUAACCAUUUGUCCAAUUCUUUUGAUGAAAUUCUAUUUUGGGCACCACACAAACCUUACUUUCAAGUCUCUAUAAAAUUGUAUUACUAAAGGAAAUUCAAGUGUCAUGCAUAUAUACCAACUUCCAAAGUUGCAUUUAUUUCUUCAAAUUUAAAUCUUUAUAUAUAUAUAUAUAUAUAUGUUAUUUUAAUCUUUAUAUAUAUGUUUAUGUCAAAAGGUAUUGAAUCAAUUGAAAAUAUGAGUGAUAUGAGCUCUAUCAUCAUAAAUUUUGUUUUGUUAUUUUUUACAAACUCUUGUGUAGGUUUACCUCUUAUAAAUAUAUUUGAUUAUGUAUUUUUCAAAAUACAAAUUUAUAGCCAUUGUCAGGUGGAAGUUAAAUACCUUUUUUCUUAAAAUUUAGCAUGAACGAGUUCAAAGUCACUUAAAUCCUAACUAUACCUUAGUCAUUUAUUAUUUUCUAUAUUUCUCGUUAUAAAAAUAAGUAUAAUUGAGUAAAUGAGAUCUUGAAGUACAAAUAAAAUAUAUGAACAAAACAUGUACCUACAAUCAAACAAAGCCAUAACUAUAACAACAAUAACAACUUUUUUAUUCAACCUUUUGGAGGGCAGAAAGUUCAGCAACCAAAAGGACAUAGAAACAUAGAAACAUAGAAAUUCAAUGACAAUACAGUAGUAACUAAACCAUCAAUAAGUUUGGUGCAUGCAAUAUAUAAAAGUUAAUUUUUAAGUAACUCUAUAACCCAAAGAUUAGCAACAAAACAUUCGAACAUGACAUGUUUAAACCCAGCUUUGGUUGCUAGGCUCUUAAAUUCAUCUCUAGUUCUUUCCUUUCCUCCUGGAUUUUGAGUCAUCAUAAGCACAUCACCUUGAGUUGUUGCCUUUGUUACAUUGGUGAUUUCAGGCUUCGUGGGAAUCACACUCUCUACUAUGAUUAUCUUUCCAUCAUCUGGAAUUGCAUUAUAGCAAUUUUUCAAUAACUUUGUGCAAUGAUCGUCGCUCCAAUCAUGUAGUAUCCACUAUAAUAACAAUAAAAUAAAAGAAUUUUGUCAUUUCAAGUAUGACUUAGUCCAUAAAAUACUAAUUGUACAAUCUUAAAUGUUGACGGUUUUCAAAGGGCAGAGUGACCUAUAUCUCUCAACUAUAGGUUAAUUAUUAUUGGUUAAAUUACAAAUUCAAAAGUUAAAGGUUAGAUUCUUUUUUAUAUAUAAAAUCUUAUGAAUAGUCUCUAAAAUUCGAUAAAGUCCUAAAAAAAAUAGUCUCUAGCAUAGGAACUAUUGUUUAUGAAUGUUUUUGUUUAUGAAAAUGAAAAGAAAACUAACCUUCAUGAAAAUAGCAUCUCCAUUUGGAACACUCUCAAACAUGUCUCCUCCCACAUGUUGAACCCCUGCCAAUUCAUAAUCAAAAUUCAGCUUUGUAAACUUUUUCAAAUUAAAUGAUUGGAACUACUUACCAUUAUAAGCAGGGGCAUCACGGAUGACAUGAGGUAAGUCGAAAUUGAUGCCUUUGAUGGAAGGAUAGGUAGAAGUGAUGAUUUGAAGGGUGACCCCAAGGCCACCACCAACAUCAACUAAUUGCUUGAUGUUUGCAAAACCUUUGUAUGAUUCCACAAUUUUCUUUAUGGACAUUGUAGUGUGAUUUACCAUUGCAAUGUUAAAUACUUGGUUGAAUCUUGGAUCUAACUUAGGGUAUUCAAAUGCAUUAACUCCUCCAUGAGCUCGGUCAAAAGGAACUCCUCCUUCAGUUACUGCAUUCUUCAACUCACUCCUACAAUUUCAAAAAAACUCAGUUAUGUUUGGUUCACAAUCCAAGUUAAUUUGUUCACGUGAUUUUAAAAUUUAGAAUAUUUCCUCUCCAUUUUUUAUAAUGAUUUACAUUUUUUCUCAAGUACAUCGUUAAAUUAUUAGUCAAAUUAAAAAAAAAAAAAAACUAAGUUUUUAGAAGUGUUUUUUUAGUUGUUAAAAUUUGGUUUAAUUUUUUAAACAAUAGGUAAGUACAAGAUGACAAAUAAAGAAAUUGAGAGGUAGAAAUAAUAUCUAUAGAUUUAAUUAAAAAAAAAAAAAGAAGAUUACCAAACAAAGUCUUAGUUUGUAUGAUUUGAUAUAACUUCAUAUAACUUAGUUUCUUAUGGUUGGUUAAAUCAUCUUGAAUAGUCCAUACAAUAGGUACUACUUAAUUAUGAAGUUUCUAUCAAACCUAAUGAGAUUAAUUUUAAUUAUAAAGCAUGAGACAUAAAUUUUAACUUAGUUCAAACCAUAUAUGCGCUUGAUUUCUCCUCUCUCCUCUCUCCAAGAAUCCCAUCCGUCGCAACAGUAAACUCCCCCGUCCAAACUUCCAGUGAAGCAGCCAUUGAUAUUGAAAAAUGACGACGUUUCACAAUUACUAUUCAACAACUAAGGGCAUUUACUCCUCUCAUGAUGACACAAAACUCCAUGCAUCUGCUUUAAAAGGUACACACACUACUUCUACUUCUUCUUCUCAUCAAAGACAAGAAUGAAAACACCAACUUCUUUUAUCGUAUUUGUUCGGUAAAUCAAAAGAGGAAUUUCAUUUCUGAAUUCAAAGACGAGACAGGUACCUCCCAUACGACUAACGAAAAAAUUGCAGAUACUUUCAUCAGAUUCUUUUGAGCUCUCUUUAAUGGAGAUAAAAAAAGACUUGAUCUUUAUUGAAAAUCUAGACUGGAAGUCAAUCCACGAUUUUGUCCAUUACUUCCUUUGUCACCCUCCCGAGAUUAUACGCUCUCUCUCAAGCCAAAAACAAUUCAGUAAAAGAGAUAUGGAACCUAGUGGAUAAGAAUUGGGACUUAAAGCCGUGUGGCUGCUAAAUGAUAGAGAAAUUGAGCUCUGGAAUCAAAUCUCUUCAGAGUUCCCUUAUUCGAAUGUAGACGAAGGUAUGUGCAAACCGAUUUGGAAGCUGGAAAACAACAAGGUAUUCACCACGAUUUCAUUUGAAAAGUCCAUCCAAAUUUCCCCUCCCGAUGGGAAUAAUGAAGUCGAUCGUCAGAUUUUCAAAGCUCUUUGGAAAUCUUCUAUUCUAAAGAAAUGCAAAUUCUUCCUUUGGUCCAUUCUUCAUAAAGGUAUCAACACAAUGGAAGUUCUUCGAAGAAGACCGCCAAAAACUUGUUUAAAUCCAAAUUGGUGUGUCAUGUGCCACUCUCAUUGUGAAAGAAGUGAUCAUUUACUUGUAAACUGUAGAGCGACAAACUUCAUUUGGGAUACCUUACGGGCUUAAAUUGGGUAUCAACACUCGUUCAACGAUCUAAAGUCAGUUGUGUUGUCCCUUUAACAUUAGAAUUUUUCAACCACAAGAAACAUUAUUAUCACAAAUGCAACGGUAGCUGUCUUUGGAGCAUUUGGACCGAAAGAAAUUGAAGAAUAUUCCUUAAUAAACAAAACAGCUUACUUAAUCUCUAGGAAGAUUGUUGUAACUACAUAGGUUUGUGGUGUAGUCGCCAUCACCUAUAUUCAAAGACUAUUCUUCUAAUUCGUUAGCUCUCAACUUCACCGCUCUUUUUCACUAAGAGCAUCUGGGCUUCUCUCUAGCCAUUUGUACUCUCUUGGCUUUUUAAUAAAUUCGGUGGUGGGACUUUCAUACUCUUGACACUAGUCUCUUUCUCUAAAAAAAACCAUAUGGGGUCCAAAGUUUCCAUUUUAAUAUAAGCUAUAGAAUAUUACAAAACAAUAAAUAUGCAUUUUUUUUAAUAUAAAACAUGUUAUGUAAAUAAAUUAAUAAUAAUUUACUGUCAACUAAAUUUAAUAGUUAACUACAAAUAGUUUACAAUUAUUUAAAUUGGAAUCCAAUUUUUGAAUUCUCUGCUACGAUACAAACAUGCCUACCAAACAUGCCUUAAUUAGUUUUUUUUCUCUUUUAACAAUAUUUAAUUUUCUUCUUUAAAAAAAUUCUCAAAAUUUUCAAUCAUAAAAUUUUAACAUUCCUAUAAAAGAAAUCCUUAAAGUCUGUUUAUAUAACCAUUUUAUUCCUCUUUUUAAUUUAAUUUUUUUCUCAAACAUAUGUAUAUAUAUCCACAAAUGAUUACUUUUAAUAACAAAACUGUAAAAAAUAAUUACACAAAAUGUAUCACAUUCUAUGGAUGGACCGCAAUGGAUAGUAUCUUUAAUACAGUCUCCAUAUAUUACUUUACUAUAUUUAAAAAUAUUAUAUUUCAUUUUUCUAUCUUUGAAAACAAUAUUAUGUUAUAAUAUUUUUUUUUAUUAUUUUUCGACUCUCCAUAUUUCUCAAAUUGUUGGAAAAAAAACUUCAUCUAAAAUUUUCUAACUGUCCUAAUUAGAAAACUAUUCCUUCUACCAUAUUUUUCUCACUAAGCUUUUGGUACUUUUCUAACUUUCUUUUUUAAUUUCAAAAUUAAAUAUCCACUCUUAUAACUCAAUUUUUAUCCGCCCUAUUUUGUACCAUCUAAGUCUCUAAUUUCUCAAACAUAGCUGUACUUACAUAAUUUCUCACUAAUAUAACAUAUCUCCAUUUAUAUUUUAUCUUCGCUAUUCCUACUAAUUUCCCUUCUAUUAAACGAAAAAAAUAUAUAUUAAAAAGCAUAAAGAAAUUAAGGAGAGCAAACCAGCUUUGCAGAAACACUUUAUCUUGAAUCAAUGAUAACAUUGGACCCAACGAAACACCAUCUUCAUUUCGAACAUAACAUUUAGAAAUCGGAGUAAGGCUAUAAAGCCUUUGCACAUUCCCAUCUUUAUCAGAAACUAUAGAGCAUCCCACCACCGAGUGGCAUGCCAAAAGCCUCAACAUCCGAUCAAGCAUCAAUGCUGCGUUGGGGUUUGUAGUGGUUAUCUCAGCCGCUAUCUCUGCUGGAGAGAGGUUGGCCCCAUCCCCAGCCUUUGCCAAGAUCUCGAACACACCAAGCUCGAACACUGCUUGGAGUGUCAUGGGUAGGACUGAUAAGGUAACGAGGUGUCCUGCGUAAGCAUAAUGUUGUUGCUGUUCGACGGCGGUGUCGUUGUCGGAGGAAGCCAUUUUCUAGCCGGAGGUGUGGCAACCUUUUCUGGUGGGAGGAGAAUGAUUUUGGUAGGGUGAUUGUUUUGCAUAUCAACAAAAGUUUGUUGUAUUUUUAUAAGCAGGUAAAAAGAAGAUGGGAAGGAAAAUACUUGAAAUGGAUACCAACAAAUAGAUACGAACACCGACAAAAGGAUACGAAGACUAACAUACGGAUGUAUGUUGAGUUGAACUGAUUAUAUUAACAAGCUAAGGAACUUUUUGGAUUGAAUUAAGAACAAAAUGUUUUUCAAUAAUAAACUUUCUUAGGUUGAAGACCAAAAUUUAUUUGGUUUGUCUUAAAUAAAUUUUUAUAAUUAUUUAAUAAUUAUUUAUAAUUAUUUAUAAUUAUUUAUAAUUAUUUAAUAAUUAUUUAUAAUUAAUUAUUUAUAAAAAUUAAUAAUUUAUUAUACUUAAUGGCUCACAACGAUCAAGUCAGUCAUAUUUAUUGCAAACACAAUUGAGCCGACGAUAAAAUGAGUCAUAUUUAUUGCAAACACAAUUAAGAUGGAUGGGCUCCGACCUGUUUUCUGUUCUUUUUUUUUUUCUCUCUUUCUCUCCCUUGAAUUCCCAUUUCAAUGGACUUGAAGGAGUGUGCGUGGACAUUUUUGAUCCACAUUUUUGCUUUUUCUUCAAACCAGUCAUAUUUUAUCCACACGUUUUAGGCAUGGUUUUGAUUAUAACUCCUAAUUUCUUUCAAUGGAUUCUACUUCAGGUUUUGGCCCCAAAAUCCCAUUUUUGUUUAUAGCUCUAUGAGUUUUAAUAAUGCAUUUACCCUUUUCUUAAUCUGGCUUUUGCUUCGAAACUCUGGUUUGUUCAACUAUUCCUUCUGAUGGAAAUGUGUUUAUUGUCAAGUGGGUUUUGCUUAUAACCUCUGUUUUUGCAAGAAAAAAUGCUAACGUUUCCCUUGUUGAGAAAACCUCUUCUUUUUUUCGUACCAAAAUGGAGCUGUUGCUGUUGACAUGUUAUAACGACAAAUUUUACUUUUUGCCCAUUUGGGUUUAAAGACCCAUUUCUUCUAUGGAGAUUUUUCAGCAGAAGAGAACUUUGGAGGACAGAUUUUUGCAUCUAGGUCAAAAAUGGGGAGGAGAUGAGAGGAAAGACUUAGUAUGAAAAACAGUUUUGUAAUUUUCAUGUAAGAUUGAAAAUUUUCCCAAAUUCCCAGUCAAUCACCUAAAUGAAUUUUGUAAGAAUCUAGUUUUUAAAAAUUUCUUUAAAAUAGAUUAUUUUAUAAAUAAAAUUUUAAAAAUACAUUAUUUUAAUUUGUCAUACUACCAUUUUUUUCAUAAUAGUUCUUUCAUAAAAUUAAACGCUUUAUAAUCUCAAUGAAACACAUCUUAUAUAUAUAUGAAGUUAUAUCAAAUUCUACAAAUGAAUACUCUCUUUCAUAACUAUUUUGUUUUUGUUUUAUUUUUUUAAUAUAUAUAUAUAUAUAUUACAUCUUUCUAAAUUUCUUCCUUCUGUCAUCUUCUUCUUAGUAGUUUAAAAAAUUAAGUCAAAAUUUCAUAACUAAAAAAGUCCCACAUUUAAAAUCUGAUUUUGAAUUUGGAUAAGAAUUUAAUAAUUGUAAUAAAAAAAUGUAAAUGAACGAGGAGGAUAUAAAUUUAAUUUUGAAUAAUAAAAAACAUGAUGGUACUUAAACCAAACAUAAAUUCUAAAUUUUAAAAUCACAUAAACUAACUAACUUUAUCCAAUCCAUUGAGACGAAGCUUGGAAUUUGACGAAAUAAUUUAACUUAUAAUACAUAAUUUAAUUUUAAAAUAAUUGAAUUGGAUUUACAAUAUCUCUAAAUAUUUUAUCUUUAUUUAAUAUAAUUUUACAUUUUAAAUCUUAAGAUUCAAAGUACGGAUAAAAAUUAGAAAAGUACAUGAGAAUGUUGUUAUCAAUAACAUUGUUGGUUUGGAUAACAUAAUCUGAAAACAAAAAUUCAGCAAAGAACAAAAUUUAAAUUGUGAACAAAAAACCUUGAGUGUUUUUUUAAAUUAUAGGAGUGAAUUGAUAAAAAAAAAUGCAGCUAUGGAAGGAGGAGUUCCUUAUAACCGGACUCAUGAAGGAGUUCAUGCAUUUGAAUACCCUAUGUUGGAUCCAUGACUCAACCAAAGGGUGAUUUUAAAAAAACUUUGGAAAAAGGGAUGUGUUCAAAACAAUUUAGGAAAAAUUGGUAUUUUUUUUGUCGGUGAGUUCCACUGGCUAUAAAUUAUUGUUGUUGUUGGUUUAUUAUUAUUAUUUUUAUUGUUCUUGUUUACUAUUAUUGUUGUUGUUUUAUUAUUAUUAUUUAAAAAUCACCCCCUCAACCAAGUAUUCAACGUUGCAAUGUCCAUUAAAAAAAAUGGUCAAAUCAUUUGAAUACCCUUAGGGUCACCCUUCAAAUCAUCACUUCUACCCAUCCUUCCAUCAAAGGCAUCAAUUUCGACUUACCUCAUGCCAUCGGUGAUGCCCCUUCUUAUCAUGGUAAAUAGUUCCAAUCAUUUAAUUUUAAAUAGUUUUGUUCAAUUUCUAGUGGUCUUUAUAGAUUGAUUAAUUAGAAAUUUAAGUUUAAAUUAGGUUCAUCUUUUUAAACGUAACCCAAACUCAAUUCAAUUUAAAAAAGAAAAACAUACAAAAAAAUAAUAAUAUAAUAAAAGAUAUAACAACUUUUUAGGAGUCAUUUUCGAAAAUGGCAAAACUAUAUUUUUUAAAUUUUAGCAAAGAAUUUUUUUUAAAAUAAUACAUUUUACAAAAUAUUUACAACCUAUACGAAAUUCUAUCACUGAUAAUUAUUGAUAUGUUACCGUGAUAGAAUCUAAAAUUUUGUUAUAUCUAACAAAUAUUUUGAUUUAUUUUACUAUUUUAAAAAUGUUCCUUAUUCAAUCUUACUAACUUCAAAAUAAUUCAAUUGAGUUUGAAUUUCAAAAUAACAAAAUUAUUAUUUUUUAGAAUUUGAGAAUCUUAACCGUAAAUUUUGUAUCAAAAUAACCUUAAUUGAAUUUCAAAAUUAAAAAAAUAUUAACUUGUUUGCUGCCAAAGUAAAAUAUCAAAAUAACAAAAUUAUUAUUUUGAAAUGGAAAGAAUCUCAACAUUAAUUUUAUUUUAAAAUAAAUUUCAAAUAACCAAACUAUUAAUUUUCGAAUGGGACAAUCUCAACUAUUGAUUUCAAAAUAACACAAUUAUUAUUUUAAAUUUAGGAAAAUUUUAAACAUUGAAUUAACUUAUUCUAGAGAUAUAACAUUAUAUAUAUACAAUUAUGUAAAUGAAUUAAAAUUUAAAAAUAAUUACAUUAAUUAUAUUUAGAAAAACUUUUAAACUAUAUUCAUUUGAUAUAACAUUAAUUAAAUUAUAAUGUCUACCAAUAUUGAUUUGAAAGUGUAAUUAAUAUACUUAUUUUAAUAUAUUGUGUUCUUAUAAAAAAAUCUUUAUGUAUAAUUUAUUGUUAUGAGUUUAUCAAAGUCUCUAAAGUAUAAUUAAUUUGAGAUAUGUAAUUAUCAGUAGGUAAUUAAUUUCAAAGCAUUAAUAAAGAACCCUAUCAUAACCUCUUUCUAAUAUCUUGGGAUUUAAAAGAUAUAGAUAACUUUAUUCAUUUUUUUAUUUCACGAUCGUGUUAAGAUUUUAACAACUUUAUUCAUUUUUUAUUUCAAAAUAAUCAUAUUAUUAAUUUUUAUUGGCUAAGUCUCAACUUUUUUAUUUCAAAAUAGGCUGAAUCUUUUCGUCAACCUUUGAUAACUUUAAAUUAAAAUUAGUUUUCGUAUUAGAUCUUAAUUUAUUUUUAAAUUUUGAAAAAUUAAAAUUAGUUUUCAUAUUAUAAUUUAUUUUUAAAUUUUAAAUUAAAAUUAGUUUUUGUAUUAAGAUCUCAACUUUUUUUUAUUUGAAAAUUAAAUCUCAACUCUUUUUUAUUUCAAAAAUAAGUUUUUGAUUGAACAAGUAUGUAUUCAAGAUUUAUUAAAGUGUAUUUAUUCUAUUUUACUUUAAGGAAGUAGCUUACACUUUAUGUAUAUAGGGGUAUUUUGGGCUUUUGUAAAUUUUUAUUUAUUGUAUUUUUUUCAUUUUGCCAUUAGAAAAAAAAAAUUGUUUUGCUAUGUUUCAAAAUGACAACUUUAAAAUUGCUAUUCUUCUAGUUGACCCGAAAAAAUUCAACCCAACCCAAAUGGUAAGUAUUGAGUUGGGUAGUUCACGAUCUUAGAUUAUUUGAACACCUCCGGUUCACCAUUGGAAUAAUUUGGCCCAAAAACUCACCCAACCUAAAUAUAAUUGGUUUCGUUUUCAAAGUUCCCCAUACUCCUAGAAGCCUCUCAAUAUAAAUACAUUUAAAUCAUUUUUUAAGUUUAGGUAAAAAUUUGAACUCAAAACACUUAACCAUUUGUGGCAAUGAUUGUAAUAACCACCUCUAGCUUUUGUUAAUACUAUUAAAACUUCUCAAUUAGCCACCGUAAACAUUAUUUUAAAACCUCAAAUGUACUACCACACUUACUAUAGUGUUUACUAUUUUCUUCUCAAACUAAAAUAAUAUACACCACAAUAUGCAUACUGUUAAUUCAAACUAAAAUAAUCUACAUCCCAAACAUAAACUAUUAUAACUCAAUAAUAAUAACCUAGAAUUAUAAUAAUUCAAUCAUUAGCCGAGAGGGUGUUUGGGGUCAAAGAGUUAUAUAAGUUAUAAUAACGACCUCUUUGCUAAAGUAAAUACUAUUUAAAAAAUUUAUAGCUACCGUUUUAAACACUAUUUUACAUUUCUUUUAAUUCUUUGCUACAAUGUUUACUAUUUUCUUCUCAAAUUAAAUAACUUCACACCUCAAACACAUACUAUUAUAACUUAAACUAAAAUAAUCUACAUCCAAAAUACAAACUUAACUAAAAUAACCUAGAACUACAAUAACUCACUCAUUGCUCCAAACACCUUGAAAUACUUAUAGAAUAUCAUAAAACUCUCUAAAGCUCACAAAGACGAAAGACUCUAAAACUUUUGAAGAUUAAAAAUACCUUGAAGACUUUAAAAAUCAAUUUUCUUUAAACGCACAUGAAAACUUUGAAAACAAGCUGAAAACACUUGAAGCACUCAAGACUUUAAAGCUUUGAUCUAAAUGUACAAGAACAAGAACUCCAAAGACUUAUCUCGAGUAUAAGAUCACAACAGAUCCAAGUUUGAUCGAGAGCAAAAGCUCUAGCCUUCAGGAGUAAUAUACAAAUGAGCUAGAGAACAAAUAAAGAUUGUAUAUAAAUACUUCUUAUACAUAAAAUUUAUGAAAAAAAAUCAAUAUUGAAUGUUAUGUUUCUCAAUAUUGGUUGAUUUUUUAUAACAACUUCAUUGAGUCCAUGUUAAUUAGUUCCCUCAAUGUUGGUUGACCAAGGUUACUUUUAACAUCUUUGGCCAUCCUUGGCCAACCUUGCCUUUCCCUUAGAAGGGAAGUAUAGGAAAUUUGCAAUUACCUUUUAUAUUUUGGAUAUGAUAUUCUCUAUCCUGCUCUUUAUUCUUUUUCCAUUAUUCUCAAAUUGCUUUAGAACCAACCCACCAUCUUUGUUUUUUAACCUCAAGGAUAUAUUAUGAAACUUUGUUUGUUGAGUUGAGGAGUAAUUUUGAAACAAAACUUUAAUAAUUUUCAUCCAAAAUUAACGGUAAGAAUAAUUUUGAACAUUUUUAAAAAGUUUAAAGGUAUUUUCGAAACUUUUGAAACUUUAAGGGUUUUUCUUACACAAACUAUAAAGUUCAUGACCUAUUUUAUAACUUAGCUUUUCUUUCUUCUUCAAGCUCUUUUCAAAUUGACAGCUUGGAGUUGGUCGUCCCCUGACGACACGCCCACAGUCCUUUAAUUUUCAAAUAAAAUUAUGCUAUCUACACUACAGACAUGGUAUAAAUGGCAAGAUCGGGUCAUCUCAAUAGGGAACACAUAGGACAAUAUUUCUUAACUCUUAGAUUCAAUAAUUUGAAAAUAAAGUUAAAUGUUCAAUAUUCAUUAUUGUUGUGGGUCGUUUCUCUCUCUUUCAAAGUUAUAGUUGAGUUUGUAUUAAUUCUAAAUUUGGGUGGGUAACUGUAAACUAGGUGAGAAAAGGGAAUAGGGUAACCUGUAAAAGUGGGUUGUGUUAGGUGUAAGCUUGGAUGUGGAAGUUGGGGCUUGAGUUUGAAUGGGAACUUGCGGUGAGUUUUGAGAGAUAAGCUAGGCGUGGAGUGUAAUCCCACCUAGGGAUGCUAACACUUCUUUCGUCCAUUGCAUCCUUUCUCGACACACUAUUAAAAAGUUUCUUAGUUGCCCAUUACAAUUAAUGGUGUCACACACACUAUUCAAUUAGAUAACCAAAAAGCUACAACGAUAAGUUUAAAAGUAAAUAAAAGAAAUAAACAAAUGUUAGAAUGAUUAAAUUAAAAUAAAACGUGCCAUCAAUUUUUUAUAAUCACUUUUGAUUACAUGAAAAUCAUUUUUUAAUAUUCAAUUGGUAUUUAACGAUUGGUCGAUGAUGGUCAUUAUUGAUUGUUGAAGGUCACCCAUGACCAAAUUAAAUUACAAGAGCUAUAAAAUGAACAAAGGUUAAGCAAUGAUAGAGAGAAUUCGGUUUAAUAAUUAUCUCUAAAAUUUUGAUUCUAGGAACUCAAGUAUAGUAGUGGUUCAAAGAGAUUUUUUUUUAAAUAAUGUAAAUUUUGAAAUAUGGGUAAAAAAUAGAAUGAAUGUAAAACUACUAACAAAAAUAGGUUAAGUCGAAAAAUAGGUUAAGUUGUGUACAUAUAGCGGGCUCCAUAUAUUUUAUUUUCUUGAAAAUAUUUUAAUAUAAUGUACGUAGUUUUCAACCUAUUUUAAACUUCAGACAUGAGAGGUAAAUUAAUUACAAUAAAUAUUUUAUAAUAUAUUUUUUUCUCAAAGUAAAUUAUUUUAAAAAUCUUUUGAAUUUUUCUGUACACAAUCAACUAUCAAGUCUAAAUUAAUCUAAUUUAAUUAUAGCCUUAUUUUUAAAAAAAUAUUAUCUUUUGAAAUAUAUGAAAUUUAAAUAAAGCAUCUAGCAUGAUAAAAAAAUAUAACGCCCUCCAUUUUUUUUUUAAAGAAAAAAUUGUAUCAGAUGACAAAAAAUAUUUAAAAAAAACAGGUUAUAACACUUUUAUCAUGGAUUUUAUUAUUCUUUCUUUCUUUUUCUUUCUUUUUUUUGUUUUUUUACUAUUUUUGCCCACGUCCCUGCUCCUAAAAACAAAUUAUUAAUAAUUGAAGGCAUAACAUAUUAUUUUUUAAAAAAUUAUACAAUGUGGUAAAAUGAUUCUCCACUUAAUAACUAAAAAAUACAAACAAUUCAUUUUCUUUUAAAAUAAAGUAUUUACGCAUUAGCUUUGAGAAAUUCCAAAGUAAAGUCGUCAGGACCAAGGGAUCUAUUACUUAAGAAGGAAUUAAGUGUGCUAUAAAUCUCCUUUUCCAAAAACAUAGUGCAGAGGUCCUCUUGUGCAAUCGUUUUGAUGGGGAUCCUGGGAAGACUGUCAAUCAGUCAGAGUUCUCUUUCCUUAUCAAUAUAGAUGUCUCUUAAAUGAUCGAGGAAAGUUUUUUCAAUCUCUUCAUCAAUAGUACAAAGAAUUCCUUGUGCAGUGGAAAUACUUGUGAUGAAACUUCUACAAUGCCUUGCAGAGCAAAUUUUGUGGAAAAAGGGAGUCUUUUCACCCCCUUCCAAAUUCCAUAACCUUUUACAUUUUUGGACCCAUGUUUGUGCAUCUUUUAGAGCAAGCUGAUUCGGGUCAGCUUUGAUGAAGUUCUACGAGAGAUGUGAAUGUCAAUAAUAUUGUUGUCGGCUUCCAUUUUAUCAAUGAGCUCAAGCUCUUUUGUCCAGGCCUUCCUUUCCUCUUCAUUUGAUUCCUUUUAAGGCCUUUACUCCAUCUUCUAAUAGUGUUUGAUAACUGUUUGAGCCUCCACAUAAAAGAAUAACCUGGGUGACCAUCUUCAGUAGUUAUUGUUCCACCAGACCUCAAUGUUUUGAUUAAAAGAAGCCUCUUUGAUGAGAAUGUUCAUGAAUUUGAAAGGUGGGAGACUCCAUUUUAAGCUAUUUGACUCAAGAGCAAUGAGAAAAUGGUUUGAAGUGACUCUAGGAAGAGUUUUGGAGAAAUGAGGGGCAAAAAGAAUUUUUCAGUCUGGUGUGUAUAGAAAUCUAUCAAGUCUGGAUAAGAUGGGCUAUAUUAUGAGAUUGGACCAAGUAUAUUUUGCAUUUGAUAAAGGAGGAUCAUUGAAUCUAUCAAGUCUUGAUAAGAUGGGUUGUAUUCUGAGUUGGACCAAGUAUAUUUUGCAUUUGAUAAAGGGGGAUCGAUGAAUUCACAGCCAAUGAUAAAAGCAUUGAAUUUCUUCAUACUUGAAGUUGCUAAGUUUUUUUGCAGUAGUUUCGGAAUGCCAUCUAACUACAUUAAAAUUUCCUUCCAUGAUCCUAGUAAGCAGAUAGAUUUAAUCUCAUCAAACUCGGCCCAAAAAUCUCCUCUGUUUUCUCUCUUUGUCGGCCCAUAAACUGCAGUGAGCCACCAAUUAGUGUUAUUGAUGUCAACAGGGUAGGAUACUUCAAUGGGAAGGGAGUAAUUCUUUACAAUAUGAUCAAACAUUUUGUAUCUGGUGUCAUCCCACAUAAUAAUAAUCCCACCCGAACUACCAAUAGCCAGAGAAAAGUGCCAUUUAAUACUGAUUGAACUCUAGAGAGAUUUUAUGAUUUGUUUUGCGAUCCUUUGUAAUUUAGUUUCAACAAAAAUCACAAAGUCGGGAAUUUAAACAGAAAGCAAACGUUUUAUUUGUGCUCUUUUUGAGGGAGAGCUUAACCCUCUAGUGUUCCAACAUACAACUUUCAUGGAUAACUUGUUUGUCCUAUUUGAUACAAAUUCACAGCAUUAAAAACAACAUUUACAUUCCUAUCAUUGUUUUUAAUUUCAACAUUAGCAUUUGCAGCAAGUUUCAAGUUGUUGUUCUUCAACCAUGCCAUAAGUUUCUUCUUAAAAGCUUCUUCUUCAUUUUCCUAUUCUAUGUCUUUCAUUUCGAAUUCUUCUUUGUCACUGAUCAUCAUGGGACCAACACUAUCGUUGACGAUAUCAGAUUGAGUUGGUGAAGGAGGAUGGCUCAUUGGGGAAAAACUUUCUGGGCUUGAGAUAGCCACAUGAGACCAAAGCGAUUAAAAGGUUAAUUCCUGUCAUGUCAAAGAUUUCAGUCUUAGUUUGUACGUUAUUUCCACUGUUCUUUUCUGGGCUUGUUUUAGUUGUGCCCGUUUGUUUUUGUGGAUUCAUCACUUGGUAAAUAUGUUUCCCCUUUUUCUUCAGGAUAACUGGGUUGCUCGGGCAUCCUUUUUGUGUAUUCUCAAAUGGGCUCCUUAUCCUGAUGGGCUUAAGAGUCACACUUCUUGGGUCAAAGAAAUACAUUUUAGAGAUAGUUGCAAAUUUAGCAAUUAAAUUCAAAAUAAUUAAGUAUAUAGCAACAUUUUUAAAAAAAUGCAAAUAUAGCAAAAUUUGUCAAAUUCUAUCAAUGAUAUAGUCUAUCACCGAUAGACCAUGUUGUAAAAAUUGGUCUAUCACCGAUAGAUCAUAUGAGUCUAUCAGUGAUACAAGUCUAUCAGCGAUAGUUUUGCUAUAUUCGCAAUUUUUUUUAAAUGUUGUUAUAUCUUUAAUUAUUAUUUUUCAAAUGGUCAUCCAUUACAAUUACCCUACAUUUUAUUCAUUGGGAGAGUAAAUGAAAUUUUCCUUUUUGAAUUGAUGGAAGACCGUUCCUUUGAAGUUUCCCCUCUAUAACUUCUUUUUCUUUUUUCUUUUAAAAUGAGUCUUUGUCUUGUCAUUUGAUUUGUCUUGUCUUCUCCCACUGCUGUUACUACCGCCGUCAUAAUUUAAAUUUUUCAUUAAUGAAUUCAAUUUUUUAACUAUUUUUGGAAGGGAACUAUUUUGAUGAACUUUUUUUUGUUUUCCUUCUUUUUGAGUAUUUUUCGUUGAAACCCAGCUUGCAGGAACUACCACAUUUUCAAUAAAUUGAUACUGUUCACAAUCUAGUUUGAAUUCAUCAAAGUUUUUUACUGCUUCAUUGGUGUAAGUGCCAUGGAUUUUUGGGUUGCUUUCCUUGAUCCAUUUCCCUUCAGCUUGGACUAUGGUCUGUAUCGUUAAAUGGUUGCCUUCCUCAUCAACAAUUUUAAUAAAAGCUGGUACAAAUCCCAUGUAGUUGUACUUUAUUUUAAUUUUUGCUUCAAGAAGAUCAUAUCUAUCUCUGGUUACUCUAGCAACUUCCACGAAACCACCACAUGCUUCCCCAAUUUGAUAGAAAGACAAAUAAUUCCAGGCAUGGAGGGGAUACCUUUGAAUUUGACCCAUUCGCCAUAGCUCGUCAGGAGCUUUGGUGUAGCAUGCUUGGUUUUGUUUCAUGCCUCAAAUUUGACAUAUAAUUUCCCUACCCUUGUCCACCCUCUGCUCUUACAUAAAAGGUUAACCAGAUUUUUUUCUUCAAGAAAAACCACUGCCUCUUCUGCAUGAAAAUGUUUAUACGUAAUAUUCAGGUCCAGCUGUUCUUGGAGUUUGUCCAUAAUUUUCUUACAGUCGUCAUGGAAGCAUCUCAUUGUGAUCACCAUAUUCUUGAUGUAGUUAAAAUUUUCAAUUUUCCCGGUAUCUGUAUCUUCCUUCUUUUUUCCUUUUAUAUCAGUAUUAUAUGAUUUGGCGGAGUCAGAGUCGAAUGAACUACCUUUAGACAACACUCCAAUAUAUGUGUGACGAGGGCUAUUAGAAUCAAUUGAUGAAUCACAAGAGUGUGCUUUUAGACCCCUGAUAUUUGGAUUUGUUAGUGGCCUUCUUUUUUGAGGUGCUUCCUUCCUUAACGACAAUAUUUUUGUGAACUAGGCCCAUCCAUGUUUGUCUGUUCUUUCACGGACUAAAAUGCAGCAUUUUCGCCCUCUGUUGUCCACUCGGAAAAAUUCAGCUAAAUAUUCUUUCCUAUUGUGUGUCUUUUGGACCCACAAGCAGUAUUCAUCGAAUCUCUUUUCCUAGAAGAACCUUGUCGUUCUAGGCGUAUCCAGCAGUGUGUUGAAUGUAGUCUUUAGCCAGUCUAAAGAUUCUAGCGUGACAACGAUAGACAAGGAUUUAUAGGGUCCCAUUUCUGUUAUGAGAAUUUUCAGCUCUUUGGACCGGUAAACAAUAGUAAUCACAAAGUCCUUGUUUUGAAUGGAGCAUGAGCGAGGGAGUUGUCGAAGAAGAGCCAUAUUGUUGUGAAGAUAGCACAAGAGAUUGAAUCAGAGAGAUAUGAAGAGUAAAGAAAGGGAAGAGUUAGAAGUACCUUUAUGAGUUAGUAAGUAAAUUUGACUGGGGGUGGAAGAUCUGGUGAAGUAAAUGCAGUAAUUAUAGUGUAGUUUUGCAGAAGAAGAUCAACAUGUGUUCAAAGGUGGAGUUGUUCUUCUGGGGGAUCGUAAACGACAGUGCGGUGGCCAUGGAAUUUUAGAGAGAGACUCUCAUCUUAUGACUUAAGGUAUUCUCUCUUUGAUUUUUGAACAUCAUUUGUUAACGUUAUGCUUUAAACAAAUUAAAAUAAACUUGAAAGGCUAAGUUUAAAAAAGUAAAGAAAAUUAGUAGUGAUGUUGAAGAAGUUGAUAAGAAUUUAGAAGUUUCAUAGAGUAAAAAAUAUAUAGAAGUUGGAAAUUUUGUGUAUUAAUUGAAGUUCUUAAGAGUAUAAAAUUUUUGUUAUUAUUAUAUAUAUUGGUUUAUUGUUAUUAUUAAAAAAUUUAUUUAAAAUAACCAAACUUCUAAAAAAUAUUUACAAAUAUAGUAAAAUAUCAUAAUCUAUCUAUGAUAUAUAUAGAUAAAAAUAAACUAGUGUGUUUGCAUCUAUCAUGAUACAGAUAGACAAAAUUAGAAGUCUAUUUUUGUCUAUCACAGUCCAUUAUUGCAAAUAGAAUACUUUGCUAUAUUAUGUAAAUAUUUCAAUUGAUUCAUUUUUUGUUAUAUUAGAAUAUAUCAUUUUAUUAUUGUCGUUAUUAUUAUUACGUUUAAAUCCUAUUUUGGUUCCUACUAACUUUGUAUAUUGUUCUAUUUUGAUCUAUAUUUUUUUUAGUCAUCUCUAAACUUAAAAAAAAACAUAUUCGGGUGAUCAUAGUCAUUAAGAUUCCAUUGACUUUAUAAUGAAAUGACAACAUAAAUUUUAUUUUGGAUGAUUAUGCUUCUAAAUAAAGUAAUUGAUCUUAAAUAUAGACUAAAUCAUUCAAAUAUAAAAGUUUCGUUGACUUAGAAUAAACGUAGAUGCUUUUAAAAGUUUACUAAACGAAAAUAGAAAAUAAGUUUAGGAUUGAAAGAAAGAUUUAGACAAAAGACCUAAAUUAACUAUGAAAUUUCAUAAAUGUCUUAAACUAAAAUUUAUUUUCUUAAAUAGAAAUUCCUAUAUUUUUUUUGGACAAUUAUGAUCUUAUCAUCAUUAUUAAUUAUAUAUAAUAUUCGAAAUUAAAUUUAAAAUAUUUCCUUAUUCACGUUACAUUCAAUUUACUAUGAUUUUGAUAACUUCCUUAUUUAAAUGUGUACCUUUAUUGCAUAAAUAAAUUAGAAAUAUUUCUUUUAAUUAAGUAAAAAGUACAUCUUUUCUAAUAUGGAAUAAUAUACUAAUUAAUUAUAAUUGUAUAAUCGUAUAAAAUAAGAUUUUUUAAUUUUCAUUCUUAUAUGUAAACAACUUCAUUUCUUCCAAAAUUGACUUUGAAAUGUAUGUUUAUUUAGUAAAUAUCAUUAAAACAGUAGUAAACUAUAAAAUUCUUACUUACUUAUUAUCACUUUAUAUAUUUUUUAAAUUAACAAAUAUAUAAUUUAAUAUACGCAUAAAAUAUAAUAGUUCUUUUAUGGGAUUUAUUAAUAUAUAUAUUUCAUAUUAAUUACAAUAAAUAUACGGUAAACUACAUGAUUAUGAUAGAAUUUUGGAUUAAAAUAUAUGUUUACAUAGUAAACAUUACUAAAAGAGUAGUAAACUACAUGGUGACAAUGUAUCUAUAAUAUAUGGUGUGAAUACAUACAUAUUAUUAUAUUUUACGGGUAUACAAUUAUGUACAGUAAGAAGUCUAAAUUUAUAUAUGUUAUUUAGUAUAUAUACCUCAUAUUGUAUACAAUAAUACCUUAUACAUAAUUCCUACAGAAUUUGUAUUUAAAUGUUUUGUUUGUAUAGUAAAUAUUACUAAAACAGUAGUAAACGAUAUGAUGAUACAUACAUAUUUUUUCUUUAUAAAUGUAUUUGAUUACAUUAUACUUUAAUAUAUCCGCAAUCCAUAAUAGUUAUGUUCUGUGUUUUAGUAUAUAUAUACCUCAUAUUAUAUACAAUAAUACUAUAUACUGACAUAUAGUUUUAUUAUUUUUUGAUAGGAUGGCCAAAAUGUAUUUCUUCUUGAAUUCUCAAUAAACUCUAGAAUUUAACACAUUCAAAACUAGAUUUUCGUUUGUUUGCCUAUUUAAUCGAAUAUCAAAAAUAUACAUAAUAUACCAAAUGUUUCAUAUGUUAUCUAAAGUAUACCUAAUAUACCAAAUGUUUCAUAUGUUUUGAAUAUAAUCUAAAAUAUACUUAAUAUACCAAAUAUUUCAUAUGUUAUCUAAAAUAUACUUAAUAUACCAAAUGUUUCAUAUGUUUUGAAUAUACUCCAAAAUAUAUCUAAUAUACCAAAUGUUUCAUAUGUUAUCUAAAAUAUAUCUAACAUACCAAAUGUUUCAUAUGUUUUGAAUAUAAUAUAAAAUAUACCUAAUAUACCAAAUGUUUCAUAUGUUUGGAUUAUAGUCUAAAAUAUACCUAAUAUACCAAAUGUUUCAUAUGUUUUGAAUAUAAUCUAAAAUAUACCUAAUAUACCAAAUGUUUCACAUGUUUUGAAUAUAAUUUAAAAUAUACCUAAUAUACCAAAUGUUCCAUAUGUUUUGAAUAUAUACAAUAUUAAACACAAAAUUUCUAGAUAGAUUAUGUCGGAUAAGUUUUGUAUUUGUCGGUCAUCGAAAGUUUUCUUAUUCAUCGUCGAAAUCUCAAUAAACCAUAAAAUGUAUCACAUUCCAAGUUACAUUUUUAUUUGAUUAAUUAUUUAAUUGAAUAUCUAAAAUAUAUCUAAUAUACCUAAUGUUUCAUAUGUGUUGAAUAUAAACAAUACUAACCUCGAAAAUUUUAACUAGAUUAUGUUCGAGAAGUUUUCUAUUUGUCAGCCGUCGAAUGUCUUAUUCUUCACCUCCGAACUCUAAAAUUUCAAAAUAAAAACCGUAAUCCACAUUGGAAGAAGUAGACAACCAUUUUCGUAGAAGGAAAGCAUGAAAAUUGAUAUUAAAUUAAUUUGGGCCCCACUUAUUUUCAAAACCUACGACUAUUUUUUUCAUUUAGAUAUUUGUUAUAAAUCAGUUAAAUAAUAAAAAUUGAUAUUAAAUUAAUUUGAGUCCAUCUUUUCUCCAAAACUAUAUCCUACGAUUUUUUUUAUUUAGAUAUUUAUUAUAAAUCUAUUAAAUAAUAGAAAUAGGUAUUAAAGUAAUUUGAGCUCUACAUUUAUAUAUUAUACUAAUCCAUUUAGAACUUUAAUAAAAUUUAUUAAUAAUUUGGAUCGUUCAACUAAUAUCAUAUAUAAGAAUUUAGGUUAUAUGAGUCCACCAUACUUACUAUUAAGUGAAAAGAUGAGCCAUCAAUCCCAUGAACUUUCUCUUCUAAUUUAAUCAUUCUUUUUAUGUAAGUGGAAGAAUAACGCAAGUGGAUAUACUGUGGGCUGCACCACAUUCCUCCACUCAACCAUCUACUUUUUAUUUAUUUAUUUAUUUAUCUAUUUAUGUUUUUAUGUUAUUUUUAGCUAUAUUUUAAGUAUAUUAUGAUAAUAUUUUUAAUUGUUACUUUUUGUAUUUUCAUAACUUCAAUUUUAAAGUACAUAUGUUUGUUGAUGUAAAGAUUUUUCUGUUCUUUUUCCUUAUAGUUCUUUUUUUUUUUAUGUAUGACCUUUUUCUUUUAAGAAAUUCUAACAUAACAUCUAGCUAAUAAUUCUAAGAUCCUGAUUUUACAUAAUUCUUGGAGGGAAGGAUAUUGUAAAUUUGGAAGAAAAAAUAAAUUUAGUUAGUUUCUUUUUUUAAAAAAAUAUCUUUAUUAAAAUAUUAAAAUGAUAAUAUUUUCUUGAGUUGCUUAAAGUCAAAUUUUAAAAAAAUUAAAAUAAAAGAAUGUCAUAAUGGAUGAAUUGUUCUAUUUAUUUUAUGAAAUUGUGACUCUAAAUAUGGGACAAAUGCAGUGUAAAAUAAAACAGUAUUUUAAAAGUCUUAAUUUGUCAAGUUAAUUUGGAUAUGUAUGUUAGCCUUACUAUCUUCUAAUGGAAUUUUGUUCAAAGAAUGAUUUCAAUUCAAAAUAUAAAAUUUUGUCCAAGCACGAUUUACACUUUUUUUAAACACAAACGAUUCUAACUUAAGUUUAGUUUUUGCUAUUUCUAUUAAAACAUUGUUAAAACUUUAUUUCGGAGUCGAAUGGCAUCUAAAUAAAAAUUUGUGUUAAUUCUUUUUUUUAAUACAAAAUUAAUCUUAUUCAAAGGAUAGUCAUUAUCACGCAUGGUCACAAGCACAUGGCCUCAUUGUUAGUUUAAUAUUGUUUUUUAAAUAAAAAAAAUGAAAAUCACAGACAUUCAUUUUUAAGAAACAAGAAAAACAAAAGCAAUAGUAAACAAACUCGGCAAUAAUUUAAUGCAAUUUAAAUUGCAUCAAAUUAAUUAAUGCAAUUUAAACAAAGUCGGGCAAUAGCUAUACUUUUGAAAAGUGAAUUUGAUUAAUCAUGGAAUUGGCUUUAGUUAGUGUGUAGUGGGUGGAUUUUUAUGAAUUAGUCAUAAAACAAUAAUUUAAUGACAUAGUUGAAAAUUUGAAAUAUAUGAAUGAAAACAAAAUUGAGAGAAUUAUUGAAUAAUGUCUCCAUUUCAAGUAUUUUCCUUUCCAUCUUCUUUUUGCCUGCUUCUUAUAAAAAUACCAAAAAACUUUUGUUGGUAUGCAAAACAAUCAACCUAUCAAAAUCAUUAUCCUCUCUUUUCUCCUCCCCUCAGAAAAGCUUGCCACAUCUCCGGCUAGAAAAUGGCUUCCUCCGACAACAACACCGCCGUCGAACAGCAACAAAAUUAUGCUUACGCAGCACAGCUCGUUACCUUAUCAGUCCUACCCAUGACACUCCAAGCAGUGUUCGAGCUUGGUGUGUUCGAGAUCUUGGCAAAGGCUGGGGAUGGGGCCAACCUCUCUCCAGCAGAGAUAGCGGCUGAGAUAACCACGACAAACCCCGACGCAGCAUUGAUGCUUGAUCGGAUGUUGAGGCUUUUGGCGUGCCACUCGGUGGUGGGAUGCUCUAUAGCGUCUGAUAAAGAUGGGAAUGUGCAAAGGCUUUAUAGCCUUACUCCGAUUUCUAAAUAUUAUGUUCGAAAUGAAGAUGGUGUUUCGUUGGGUCCAACUUUAUCGUUGAUUCAAGAUAAAGUGUUUCUGCAAAGCUGGUUUGCUCUCCUUAAUUUCUUUAUGCUUUUUAAUAUAUAUUUUUUUCUUUUAAUAGAAGGGAAAUUAGUAGGAAUAGCGAAGAUAAAAUAUAAAUGGAGAUAUGUUAUAUUAGUGAGAAAUUAUAUAAGUACAGCUAUGUUUGAGAAAUUAGAGAGUUAAAUGGUACAAAAUAGAGCGGAAAAAAAUUGAGUUAUAAGAGUGGAUAUUUAAUUUUGAUAUUAAAAAAGAAAGUUAGAAAAGUACUAAAAGCUUAGAGAGAAAAAUAUGGUAGAAGGAAAAGUUUUCUAAUUAGGACAUUUAGAAAAUUUUAGAUGGAGUUUUUUUUUCCAACAAUUUGAGAAAUAUGGAGAGUCGAAAAAUAAUAAAAAAAUAUUAUAACACAGUAUUCUUUUCAAACAUAGAAAAAUGAAAUAUAAUACUUUUAAAUAUAGUAAAGUAAUAUAUACAGACGGUAUCAAAGAUACUAUCUAUUGUGGUCCAUCAAUAGAAUGUGAUACAUCUUGGGUAAUUAUUUUUUAUAGUUUUGUUAUUAAAAAUAAUUAUGUCGUAGAUAUAUAUAUACAUAUUGAGAAAAAAACUUAAAUUAAAAAGAGGAAUAAAGUAGUUACAUAAACAGACUUUAAGGAUUUCUUUGAUAAGAAUAUUAAAAUUUUGGGAUAGUUGCAAAUUUAAUAUUAGAUGCAAAAUAAUUAAGUAUAUAGUAAUAUUUUAAAAAAAAUGUUAGAAUUUUAGAAUUUUGAGAAGGAUACCCUAAGAAACUAAAGGAAAUUUUAAAAACUGAAAAAAUAUCAAGAGUGGGAAAUUUUUUAAAGAAGAAAAUUAAAUAUUGUUAGAAGAAAAAAAAAACUAAUUAAGGCACGUUUGGUAGUUAAUCGAAAAAGCAAAGGGUUAAAUGAACUAGAGUUGGUAUAUCAUGUUCUCAUCAUGCAUAAAUGUGUUUCGUGGUAGAGAAUUCAAAAAUUGGAUUCCAAUUUAAAUAAUUGUAAACAUCAAAUUUAGUUGACAGUAAAUUAUUAUUAGUUUAUUUACAUAACAUUUUUUAUGUUAAAAAACGUAUAUUUAUUGUUUUGUAAUACUCUAUAGAUUAUAUAUUAAAAUUAAAACUUUGGACCAUAUCUGGUUUUUUUUAGAGAAGGAGACUAGUGUCAAGACUAUGAAACUUUUAAUACCGAAUUUAUUAAAAAGCCAAGAGAGUACAAAAGACUUAGAGAGAAGCCCAAAUGCUCUUAGUGAAAAAGAAUGGUGAAGUUAAGAGCUAACGAACUAGAAGAACAGUCUUUAAAUAUAGGUGAUGGCGACUACACCACAAACCUAUGUAGUUACAACAAUCUUCCCAGAGAUUAAGUAAGCUAUUUUAUUUAUUAAGGAAUAUUCUUCUAUUUCUUUUAGUCCAAAUGCUCCAAAGACAGUUACCGUUGCAUUCGUGAUAAUAAUGUUUCUUGUGGUUGAAAAAUUCUAAUGUAAAACGGACAACACAACUGAGUUUAGAUUGUUGAACGAGUGUUGAUACCCAGUUUGAGCCUGCAUUAAGGUAUCCCAAAGGAAGUUAGUCGCUCUAUAGUUUACAAGUAAAUGAUAACUUGUUUCGCAACGAGAGUGGCACAACACAUACCAAUUUGGAUUUAAACAAGAUUUGGGUUGUCCUAUUUCAAGAACUUCCAUUAUGUUGAUACCUUCGUAAGAAAGGACCAAAGGAAGAAUUUGCAUUUCUUUGGAAUAGACGAUUUCCACAGAGCUUUGAAAAUCUGAAGGUCGACUCCAUUAUUCCCAUUGGGAGGGAAAUUUUGGAUGGACUUUUUAACUGAAGCGUGGUGAAGACCUUGUUGUUUUCCAACUUCCAAAUCGAUUUUCACGUACUUUUGUUUACAUUUUCGGAUAAGGGAACUCUGAAGAGAUUUGAUUUUAGAGGUCAAUUUCUCUUUCGUUUAGCAGUCUUCGCGGCUUCAAGUCCCAAUUCUUAUCCACUGGGUUCCACAUCUCGUUUACUGAAUUGUUUUGGCUUGAGAGAGAGCGUAUAAUCUCGAGAAAGCAGUGGCUAGAGGACCAUUUGUACUCUAUUUGUUAAGCCAGAAAGAAAUACUUUCUCCAUUAUUUAUUUUCCAAGAAAUGUUCGUUCCAAACCAAUCUAGGCAUUUAACAAUACUCUUCCAAGGAGCUUUGGCAGUACUGAACUUACCCAACAUUGGAAUUUUUCCUAAAAGGCUUUCUUUGUAUUUAGCUAAAAUGAUUUUCCUCCCGAGAGCAUUUGACUCAUUAUGAAAUCUCCACAGCCAUUUGGAAAGAAGGAAAAAAUUUGUGUCCUGAAUCUUUGAUACCCCAAGCCCUCCUUUUGUCUUCGGAGUAGUUAUUUUGGCCCAACUAAUUAAAUGUGAACCUUUUGUCACACUAGACCCUUUCCACAGAAAAUCUCUCUAGUAUUUUUCAGUCUUUUUGUGUACAACAACUAGAGUUUGGAAAACAGACAGUUUGUAUGUUGGCAAGCUAGUUAAAGAGAAAUUAAUUAUUGUGAGUUUUCCACCUUUCAAAACCUGGGAGUACUAGUUUCAGUUAUUGAUCUUCUUGUUGAUUUUGAUAUCAACCUUUUCCAAAAAGGAGGUUGAUUUUGGGUUGCCUCCUAGAGGGACUCCAAGAUAAAGGAUCGACAUGUGAUAAAUAGAAAUAUCCCAAUUAUCAACAAAGAGAAGGAUAUCAUAUGCAAAAAGAAUGUGGGUUAAGCUAUAAUUGUUGUUGAAGUUGACACCCUUUAUCGAGUUGCUUUUUUCCAGCUAGGAUAACAAUCUACUUAGAUAGUCCAUGGCAAGAACAAAAAUAAAGGAAGAAAUGAGAUCACCUUGACGAAUGCCUCUGUGAGCAGGGAUUCGCCCAUGGGGCUUGCCAUUGAUGGGGAUGGAGUAAACCACAUUGCUAAUACAAGCUUUGAUCCACUUUCUCCAUUUGAAAAGGAAAUUUUUUACACACAUCAUGUAGUUAAUAGUACUCCAACUUAUCUUGUCGAAAGCCUUUUCAAUGUCUAGUUUUAUGACAAAUCCUUUUGUUUCGCUAGCUUUCCAUAAAUCAACCGCUUCAUUGGCCAUAAGAAUAGCGUCUGUUAUUUGACGGCCUUUAACAAAUGCAAGCUGAUUCUCGAAAAUUGUAUAUGGCAUAGUGGACUUCAGCCUGUUAACUAAUGUUUUAGCUAUGAUCUUGUAGAGAGAAGUUGUGAGACUUAUAGGCCUAAAAUCUUUAGGCAUAUUGCAAUCAUUCUGUUUUGGGAUUAGAGCAAGGAAGGUGUUGAUGUUUUUGUUGAUGAUCCCUUUUGAAUGAAAAUCAUCGAAAACUUUCAUGAGAUCGUUCUUUAUAGAUUGCCAGUAAUCUUAGUAGAACUGCAAAGGAAAACCAUAUGGCCUUGGAGAUUUGUUGCUAUUGCAAGAGAAAACGAUGUUUUUUAUUUCUUCCUCAUUGAAAGGGUAACAAAGGGAGUAAUGGAAAGAAUCGUUGAUUGGAUUCUAGUCUAGAUUUUCAAUAAAGAUCAAGUCUUUUUUACUUCUAUUAAAGAGAGCUCCGAAGAAUCUGAUGAAAAUAUCUGCAAUUGUUUUAUCAGUCGUAUGGGAGGUACCUGUCUCGUCUUUGAUUUUAUAAAUGAAAUUUCUCUUUUGAUUUGAGAAACAAAUACGAUAAAAGAAGUUGGUGUUUUCAUCCUCGUCUUUGAUCCAUAACUUUUUCGCUCUCUAAGCCCAAAAUUGGGCUUCCUUGACAAUGAUAUGUGAGAGAUCUGACUUAAGAGACAGUCUUCUUAAGCUGUCAUUUGGAUUCAUAGACCUUGAUUCUUCUCUGAAAUCGAUUGCAUCAAUUUCCUUUAAUAUCAUAGUUUUGUCUUUGACCAUGGAGUUCAUUUUGCCAGUUUGCCAAGAAUUAAUGUUUUUUGUUAAAGCCUUGAGGCUCUAAAUGAAAGCGAAACCUCGAUGACCAUCCUCUUUAGCAUUAUUCCACCACAUAUCUAGGUUUCUUUUAAAAUCAGCUUCUUUUAUAAAGUUGGUAUUAAGCCUGAAGGGAGAAGGGCCCCAUCUGAUAUCUGUCGAUUCAAGGACUAUAGAGUGGUGAUCAUAAAUAAUUCUGAAAAGCGAUCUUGAAAAAUUAAAGUUGAAAGCUCGAUCUCAAUAAGGGUUGAAAAGAAAUCUAUUGAUCCGGGAGAGCACUGGAUUAGUUCUGAGAUUGGACCAAGUGAACUUGAUGUUGGACAGAGGAGGGUCAAUUAAGUUAUUGAACUGUAUGAAAUUGUUGGAACUUUUUCAUACUUAACUUAGACGAACUGAUUGCAGUAGUUUCCUUCUUCCAUCUUAUGACAAUUGAAAUCUCCCCUCAAAAGCUAAAGAGAGUUAUUUAGAGAAUUAAGCUUGUGAAGGUUUUCCCAGAAAAGAUCACGAUUUCUUCUUCUUGCAGGGUCAUAAAUAGUAGUUAGCCACCAACUGAUGCCUUUUGAAACUGCCUUAGCAUAGGAGCGUCUUGGGGUGCUAUCUAAGGUACCUUUUGGGGUGAAUGAGGGUGUAGUUUUGGCUUCAACUUCAACUUUUGGCGUGAUCGUUGAAAGAAAGGAAACUCAAUCACUUUUGUCGAUGCCCUCUGGGACAAGAAUGCAUGCCUUUCUUCCGACAUAAUCAACUCUAUACAUCUUCGUUGUGUAACCUUUUCUGUUUUUUGUUUUUCUGAUCCAAAGACAGUGGUCUUCAUUUCUUGUUUCCAGGAAGAACCGUAUUAUACUUGGAGUAGCAAUCAGAUUUUUGAGUGUGUUCCUAACCCAUUCUAGUUCCGAGGUUACUUCCAUAGAGAAUGUCUUAUGUGCUCCCACUUCAGUUAGCCAGUACAACAUAGAUUUUGAAUAUUUGUCUAGGAGAGAGGAGAUAUUCUUUUCUUUCUAUUUUGCAUGAACAAGGAAGAUUCUUGAAGAACGCCAUAAUUGAGAGUUGUUGCAGGUCUAAAAGUAGUAACAGGUUGAAGAGAAAGGUGAGAAGAAGAAGUAGUGUGUGUACCUUUUAAAGCGGAUGCAUGGCGUUGUGUCAUGAUGAAAGUUCCGAGAGGGGGUAUUACUAUUGCGACGGAUGGGAUUCUUGGAGAGAGGAGAGGGAAGAUAUGGAGCGCAUAUAUGGUUUGGACUAAGUUAAAAUUUAUGUCUCAUGGUUUAUAAUUAAAAUUAAUCUCAUUAGGUUUGGUAAAAACUUCAUAACUAAGUACCUUAUUGUAUGGACUAUUUAAGAGAAUUUAACCAACCAUAAGAAACUAAGUUAUAUGGAGUAGUAUGAAAUCAUAGAAACUAAGACUUUGGUAGCAUUAUUAUUAUUAUUAUUAAAUUAAGUCUAUAGAUACUAGUCCUACCUCUAAAUUUCUUCAUUUGUCGUCUUCUAUUUACUUAUUGUUUAAAAAAUUAAACCAUAUUUUGACAACGAAAAAAAGUACUUUUAAAAUUUUGAUUUUUUUUUUUAAUUUGGCUAAGAAUUUAACUAUCUAUUUGAGAAAAAUGUAAAUCAUUAUAAGAAAUGGGGAGGAAAUCAACUUAAGUUUUUUUAAAAAAAAAACAAAAUGAUACUGAAACAAAAACUAAAUUCUAAAUUUUAAAAUCACAUUGACAAAUUAACUUUAUCCAACCAUAGAGACCAAAACUUGAAAUUUAACGGAAUUUAACUUAUAAUAAAUAUUUUUAAUUUAAAAAUAUUUGAAUUCGAUUAACAAAUGCUUCUAAAUAUUUCUAUCUUUAUCUAAUAUAAUUUUAAAAUUCAAAUUAUGGAUACAAAUUAACUUAAGGUGACAUUUUUUUGGAUGUUGGCGGACGUUUUUUUCAUGAGUAAAAGUGAACAUUCUUAUAGUGUUGGAUGGUUAGUUUGGAUUAUAACAUAAUCUGGAAAAGAAAAAAAAAGCUUUCAUUAAAGAGAACAAAAUUUGGAUUGUGAACCAAACAUAACCGAGUUUUUUAAAAUUGCAGGAGUGAGUUGAAGAAUGCAGUGAUUGAAGGAGGAGUUCCUUUUGACCGAGCUCAUGGAGGAGUUCAUGCAUUUGAAUACCCUAAGUUAGAUCCAAGAUUCAACCAAGUAUUUAACAUUGCAAUGAUAAAUCACACUACAGUGUCCAUAAAGAAAAUUGUGGAAUCAUACAAAGGUUUUGCAAACAUCAAGCAAUUAGUUGAUGUUGGUGGUGGCCUUGGGGUCACCCUUCAAAUCAUCACUUCUACCUAUCCUUCCAUCAAAGGCAUCAAUUUCGACUUACCUCAUGUCAUCCGUGAUGCCCUGCUUAUAAUGGUAAGUAGUUCCAAUCAUUUAAUUUGAAAAAGUUUACAAAGCUGAAUUUUGAUUAUGAAUUGGCAGGGGUUCAACAUGUGGGAGGAGACAUGUUUGAGAGUGUUCCAAAUGGAGAUGCUAUUUUCAUGAAGGUUAGUUUUCUUUUCAUUUUCAUAAACAAAAACAUUCAUAAACAAUAGUUCCUAUGCUAGAGACUAUUUUUUUUUAGGACUUUAUCGAAUUUUAGAGACUAUUCAUAAGAUUUUAUAUAUAAAAAAGAAUCUAACUUUUAACUUUUGAAUUUGUAAUUUAACCAAUAAUAAUUAACCUAUAGUUGAGAGAUAUAGGCCACUUUGUCCUUUGAAAACCGUCAACAUUUAACAUUGUACAAUUAGUAUUUUAUGGACUAAGUCAUACUUGAAAUGACAAAAUUCUUUUACUUUAUUGUUAUUAUAGUGGAUAUUACAUGAUUGGAGCGACGAUCAUUGCACAAAGUUAUUGAAAAAUUGCUAUAAUGCAAUUCCAGAUGAUGGAAAGAUAAUUAUAGUAGACAGUGUGAUUCCCAUGGAGCCUGAAACCACAAAUGUAACAAAGGCAACAGCCCAAGCUGAUGUGCUUAUGAUGACUCAAAAUCCAGGAGGAAAGGAAAGAACUAGAGAUGAAUUUAAGAGCCUAGCAACCAAAGCUGGGUUUAAACAUGUCAUAUUCCAAUGUUUUGUAUCUAAUCUUUGGGUUAUAGAGUUUCUUAAAAAUUAAUUUAUAUAUAUUGUAAUUGAAUUUCUAUGUUUCUAUGUCCUUUUGGUUGCUAAACUUUCUGCACUCCAAAACGUUGAAUAAAAAAGUUGUUAUUGUUGUUAUAAUUAUGGCUUUGUUUGAUUGAAGGUACAUGUUUUGUUCAUAUAUUUUAUUUGUACUUCAAGAUCUCAUUUACUGAAUUAUACUUAUUUUUAUAACGAGAAAUAUAGAAAAUAAUAAAUGACUAAGGUAUAGUUAGAAUUUAAGUGACCUUGAACUCGUUCAUGUUAAAUUUUAAGAAAAAAGGUAUUUGACUUCUACGUGACAAUGACUAUAAAUUUGCAUUUUGAAAAAUACAUAAUUAAAUAUAUUUAUAAGAGGUAAACAUACACGAUAGUUUGCAAAAAAUAGCAAAAGAAUAUUUAUGAUGAUAGAGCUCAUGUCACUCAUAUUUUCAAUUGAUUCAAUACCUUUUAACAUAAACACAUCACUUUCAUCUCCUAUAUUUUUCACUGAUCUAAUCUCUCUCACUCUAAGAACAAGUGAGAGACAUCAAUUCCUAUAUUUUUCACUGAUAUAAUCUCUCACUCUAAGAACAAGUGAGAGACAUCGUAGUCAGCUAAUGAAUAUAGUUUGUAUUUUCUAAAAAUUAUAUUGAGUUAAAGUUGUGGUUGGGGUUGUUUCCCUUGACCUUUAGGUUCUCCUACUUGCUAGAAAAACACUUCACAAAGAGAGAAUGGGAAUUUAUUUUAUCAAAUUGCUUGUUCAUGAUGCUGUUUGUAACUGAUUCAACAUGUCUCGACAUAGCUAGCAGGAUGAAUGAAAGUUAGAGAUGAUUUGUUAGGUCACAAGUCUCAAAUUAGUUCAGUGUUGAGAAGAUUACUCACAGUGGUUUCGGGGAUGGAAGAUUUAAUUUUGUUACAUUUUUACAAAUAAUGUAUAUAGUUUCUCUUUAUUUAAAACAAGAUCAAAUAUCAAAGAAAAGAUAAAAGAUUCUACUUAUCUUUAGCAAUCUUUUUAAAUAUCUUUUAUGCUUGUGCUUUGCUUAAUUUUAUUAAAGAAGAUCUACCAGUCUUCGGUGCUUUUUCUCACUAUAAAAGAAGAAGAUCCUUGGCAUUGAUCAGAAUUAUUUUCCGACUGCAGUUUCUGAAGAAUUUGUAUGAUGGUAAACGAUUUACCGUCUUUGAUAUUUUACGAAGAGUUCUUGAUAUAUCUUCAUUAUUGGUUCAAGUGUAUUUGAGAGAAGAGAUAUAAAGAAGAUUAAGUUAGUUGAUUUUGGGUCAUCUACUUCAAGAGAGUCUAGUUUAUCUUCAUUAGAUUCAAACACAAUUCAGAAGAGUUGGAUUAUUUUUAGUUUCUAUUCAUAACUAAAAAGAGUUCUUAUACUAGAAGGAAUCUCUUCUGGGUUAUUAAAAAUUGUUUAGUACUCACUUGAAUAACUGCAAGAAAUAUCAGUUACGAUAGCAUCAAAACAACGCUAUUGUUGACUUUCGAUAGCGUUUUCGUAAUGUUGUCAUACCCGAUGUUAUUGAAAGUCCAUUACUUUCCAUAGCGUUUUUACAACGCUGUACAAAACGCUAUAAUAUGUCUCUAUUGAUUGCACAUAUAUGAUGCUAUAAAUGCUUUUUAUAACGUGAAAAAAAUGCUAUUAAAAAUUGGAUAGGGUUUUUUAUUGCGUUGGAAAAAUCAUUAUCAAAAUGAUUCAAUAGCGUUUUCAAUAACAUUGGAAAAAUGCUAUAAAAUACAUUUUAUAGCGUUUUUUAUUGCGUUCGAAAAACGUUAUCAAAACAUUUCAAUAGCUAUUUUAAUAACAUUGGAAAAAUGUUAUAAAAGACUUUUUGUAGCUUUUUUAUUGCGUUCAGAAAAACGUUAUAAAAACCAUUCAACAACUAUUUUAAUAACAUACAAAAAACGCUAUAAACCAUUUUUUUAGCGUUUUAUAAAUGUUGUAGUAGCAGAAAGUCUUUGACUUUUAAUAGCGGUUUUUGUAGAGCUAUUAAUAACAAUAUAAAAAUUGAUAUAUUAUAGUUUUAAUUCACUGUUAUGAAAACGUUUCAUGAUAUUGAAAAAGUAUCAUACAAAAUGUUAUAACAAUAAAAAGACUAGAUAUGUUAUUGAAGGUCUCUUAUUUUUAUUAGCAUUAUUUAUUGUAAUGGAAAAAAGUUAUAAAUACCCCAUUUUUACACAAACUUUAUUGGUGAUUGAUCCUCUAUAGCAUUUUUUUUGUAAUAGUACAAACAUAACUACAAUUCAUCUAAGAGCACCUAUCCAAUAUUAUUAUUAUAAAAUCAAAUUAAAAUCAUGUAGAUAUUUAUAGAUCAAGUUGUAAUUUGUUAUCAAUAAAACUCGUCGAUGUCUUUGUUUAUAUUUAUCUUUGAAUUGAAACAUGUGGUGUAAAACGUGUACAAUUAUACACAUAAAAGAUAUCAAUUUUCUAUCACCGAUAAAAAUAUAUCAAUUUUCUAUCACCGAUAGAAAGAUAUCAUUUUGUGUGUUGAGUAUGAAAAGAAAAUUUUGUGAUUACAUUUUGGGAUUUAGGUUUUCAAGGGUAUUUUUUUUAUAUUUUACAAUCUGUUUUGGAUUUGGGGUUAAAAAGUUUAUAUGAACCGUAAAUAUUUUGUCUAAUUAUUCUAUUUUAAAAAAUUUGGUUGCAGGUAGAAUCAGAAUCUUACAAUUUAUGGCCUAGAUUUUAUGUUAGAAUUUUUUGAAAGAAAAACGUCAUACAAAACUAUUCUUUAUAAAGAAAAAUAUUAGAAAAAAAUGUAUUUUCAACAAACAUGUGUACUGUAAAAUUAAAGUGAUGAAAAUACAAAAAGUAACAAUUAAAAAGAUUAUCAUAAUAUACUUUAACGUGGUGCAGCCCACAGUGUCAACUAUCCCAGUUGGACCUUCACUGACCUAACCUCAAUGAAAAGUUGAUGGGGCGGAUGGCUAUCUUUUCGUUUAAUAAAGUAACAAUAAUAAUUCAGAGAUAAAAAUAUACAAAGUUUUUUCUUUUUUUACUUUUGAAAACAAACCUUCAAUAACUGUGUGAUUGGGGUUUUUCAUUAACUUCACAACUUAUCCUUACUUCAACACAUAUCAGCUGAGAGCAAGAAAUGGGUUCCAAUAUGGGGGAGCAAACAUCUGACGUAGUCACCGACGAUGAACAACAAAAUUACGCUUAUGCUGGACAACUGAUUACCUUAACGGUGCUACCGAUGACGCUUCAAGCAGUGUUUGAGCUAGACGUGUUUGAUAUCAUAGCGAAGGCCGGGGAUGGGGCCGAGCUCUCCGCCACACAGAUAGCCAAUGAGAUAACACAUAAAAAUCCGGACGCAGUGUCGAUGAUUGAUCGAAUGCUGAGGCUUCUUGCGAGCCACUCGGUUGUGGGAUGCUCUGUGGGGUUUGAUGAAGAUGGAAAAAUGCAAAGACUUUACAGCCUUAAUCCAAUUUCUAAGUAUUAUGUUCGUAAUAAAGAUGGGGUAUCUGAUGCUUUUAACUUAUCAUUCAUUCAAGAUAAAGUCUUCCUCCACAGCUGGUUUGUUCUCUUCUUCUUUACAUUUAUUUUUCACUAUUCUUUUUAAUUCAUAAAUUUGACCUAACCAUCCGAUACUACUAAAAUUAAAUUAUAGAAAUUUGAAUAUGCAUAUAUACAUUGAAAACGUAAAAGAUACAAAGUUAAAAAAUGUUUUGAUACACAUAUUUUCAAAUCUAUUUAAAAAUAGUUAAUUUCGAAUAUAGCAAAUUAAAUUUAAAUGUUUACGAAAUAUAACAAAAUUUUAGAUCUAUUGCUAUGACUAUUUGUAACACAGAUAAACUCUUGUCACGGAUAGAAUCUUAAAUUUUGUUAUAUUAUAUUUUGUAAAUAUUUUCUAAUAUUUUUUCCAUUUUCAAUCAUUUUUCUUAGAAAAAGUUAAAAAAUAAAUUAUAUAUUUUAUAAUAAAUAACAAGAUGUUGUGUGGAUUGCCUUUUAGUUUACUUUUCAAAAUUUUGAAACAAGGGAUACAACAAUAUUUAGAAAAAUUAAGGGAGGCUUCGGUAAAUUAGUCAUGACUCGUUAAUUAUUUUAGUAUUAAAAAUAGAUUUUAUCAAAAACAUGUAUUUAUCUUUUGGUAAAUUGACUUAAAUGGUAAAAUUGUUGAAAAUAUUUUCAUACUAAAUCUUUAAAAAAUAAAAAAACAAGAUGGUUACUAGGUCUUAAUUUUAAACUCAAAACCUAAAUUCUAAAUAGGUUGAAAUUAAAAUUGUAGGAGUGAGCUAAAGAACGCGGUUAUGGAAGGAGGGGUUCCUUUCAAGAGGGCUCAUGGAGUAUAUUGUUUUGAAUAUUGUGGAUUGGAUCCAAGAUUUAACCAAAUUUUAAACGCUGCAAUGAAAAAUCACUCUACGAAAUUCAUCAACGAAAUUGUCAAAUCUUACAAAGGAUUUGCAAACAUCAAGCAACUAGUUGAUGUUGGUGGUGGCCUUGGUGUAUGUCUCCAAAUCAUCACUUCUACGUACCCUUCAAUCAAAGGUAUCAAUUUCGACUUGCCACAUGUCCUUCAGAAUGCCCCAUCUUAUCCCGGUACGUGAUUAUCAUUCAAGAAUUAUUUUACAUUUAAAAGUUUCCACUGUUGUUAUAUAUAAUCAUCUCAUAGAUAUUAAAUUUAAUAACAUGUGAAUGAAUAUUCUACUUAUGAUUAUUUUGGGGUGUGCAUACUGUUAUCCUAUUUUUCACAUGUUAUACUUAAGAGUGUGUUGAUGUUAUUUAACCUUAACUUUGAGUUGAUUGAUAAUUGAAGAAUAAAGUUAUAAAAAGGAAAGAGUGUCAAGAAGGGAAAUAUUGAAUGUGGUAUUGGCAGGGGUAGAACAUGUGGAAGGAGACAUGUUUGAGCAUGUUCCAAAGGGAGAUGCUAUUUUCAUGAAGGUUAGUUUUGCUUUAUAUUUUCUUGCCAUGUGGCCUUUUUCUUUGUCAUUUAUAUAUGUAACGUGUGUGUCUAUAUAUAUAUAAAUAAAGUUUAAUCUUCAACCUCAACGUGAUAUUCACUUCAAUAAGAAACAUAUAUAUUAUGAUAGUAUUUAUUCACUUUCAUUUAUAUAUGUAACGUAGAUUUUGAAAUUUUUGGUAUAUUAAAUAUCUUAAUUCGUUUUUGUAAAUAUUUGAAAAUGCUUUCAAUAACUAUGUAAAGGAGACUACGGUUUGAAUGAAAAUAUAAUGGUGGGAAUAGCAACAAACAAGUUUGUGGUCUGUCAUAAAUAGUCAGAAGCAACUCUAACUAUUCCUAAUGCUUACAUUAAUAUACAAUAUAAUAUAUAUAUAUAUAUAUAUAUAUAUAUAUAUAUAUAACUAAAUAUUUGAACUCACUUAAUUAGACUGUAAUAAAUUGUUUAGUAUCUAUUAUAUUGAAUAAGUAUUUUAAAUUAUAAUAUUUUAGAUGAUAUAUGAUAUUAAAUUUACGUUCACGUAUCAAUUUAAGCUUUUGGAUCAAUCGGAGUCUAACAUAGUAUAAAAAACAUGUGGCUUAAAUAUGUUAGGGUAUAUGUUAGACUCUUUCAAUUUUGAAUUAAUAUUGAUUUUCACUUAUUGGAUGUUUUUAACAUAAAUUAUUACAGUGGAUACUACAUGAUUGGAAUGAUGAUAAAUGUGUGAAGCUAUUGAAAAAUUGCUACGAUGCAAUUCCAAAUGAUGGAAAGGUAAUAGUAGUUGAUGCAGUUCAUACAAUGGUGCCUGAAACCACAUGUGCAGCAAGAGUUGUUGCUCAAGGUGAUGUGUUUAUGAUGACUCAAAAUCGAGGAGGAAAAGAGAGAAGUAGGGAUGAAUUCAAGGCCCUAGCAACCAAAGCUGGUUUUGAACAUAUUAAUUUUCACUCUUGUGUAUAUAAUCUUUGGGUUAUAGAGCUUUUUAAAAUCUCCCAACUAGAAGGUUGAUCCAUCGUUCUAAUGCUUUUUGCGGUGUGUUUGAUGAAUAAGGGUUUGUUUUUUUUAGAGGAAAUAUAUUAUGUUUCAUGUGACUCUCAAUGAAGGCAUUUGAGAGAGAUGCUUCUUAAUUUGAUUUGGAACUAUGUAAUAUGAAUGGUGAAAAUUUUGAAAAUUCUAAAGUUUGUAUGUUCUUAAGUGUAUUCAUACCUAGCUUUUAUUUUUCUAAAAGUAUAACAAUAAUGAUAACCAUAAUUACUCAAAUCUAAACCAUAAUAAUAUCGGUACGACGUAAUGUUCGAAUGCAAUCAGAUUGAUCAUCCCGCACUACAAAUCUAAACCAUAAUAAUAUCGGUACGACGUAAUGUUCGAAUGCAAUCAGAUUGAUCAUUCCACACUACAAGAACUUGGGUGUCUCCAGAUGUUGUCCAACAUCGAUGUAUAUACCCAAAAGCGUUGGAAAAUGAUCUUUUGACGUACAUGGUGUGUCAGGAAAGAAGUUAACAAUAGUGCGUUGGAGGAGGCAUUUCUGAAACAAAAAGGCGUCGUGUAAGCUUUCUUUCAUUUUCCUUUUAUUUGUAUUAAAAUUUUACAAGUUAAGAAAAUCAAGUUUAAAUCCAAUUUUAAAUUAUCUCAAGGUUAAGUUUUUGUGAUCAUGAUGAAAUCUUAGAAUCAAUUCUACUUUUGUGAUGGCUAACCAAAUUUUUUUAAGUGUUGAAAAAAAAAAGAGCCAAAUUUAGUUUGGUUUUAAGUCGAGGACAUAAACGUAAUUUCAUUUUCUUUCUAUUAAAUCAAUAAAAUAAGAAACAAUAAGAAAGAAAAGAAAGAAGUAUCAAUAAGAAAGAUAUAUAUAUACCCACCCUUGCGGCGCUUCACUCGUCGGACGACGACCAAACCGCCACUCCUCGUCGAUCACUCAUGCCAUGUCAUAUCUUAUGGUAUUCAUGUGUAGGAGACAUUGUGCUCAAGAGUCCUAGCUUGCAUGCCACCGUUCGUCGUCGUUACACCAAACCCACAAAUCUGAUACUAGCUUAGUUAUUCGCUUGUGUUGCUGAACUUCGAUUCAAGUUAACGUGGAGUACUUGUCUCAUAUUUUUUAUUGUACCACAGUUGUGAUUACUUGUAAGAUUGUUUCAAUGAUCUAUAUGUUAGAAAUGUUUUCAAAUAUGAUUUUUGGACUUCCAUGAAUCUUGUAUUUCAGAACUAUGGUUGAACCCAAACUUACUAAGUAAGUUUUAGAUGACAACUGGUUUCUAAAACAUUCAUUGAUUUAUAACUAGACUUGAAGGAGUUCUAAAAGUAUAUGUAUUGGUGGCUAAGGAUCGAAAAUAAUUUGAAAAUAUGUUUCUAAUCAUGUUUGGUUUAAUCUUUAAACAUAUGAUGUUUAUGAAAUAAUGUUAGAGAUUUCCCGAAAGGCUACGUGAAUGUGUUUUUGUAACGUCACCUAUGGUUGUCAGGGGGUUUCAGGGCUGAAAAAGGUCGUGACUAGAGAUUCGAAAACUUGAGCCUAGGUGAGGACGUGGAUGGAGGAUGUGAUUUUGGCUUCGGCCUAGCUUAACCUGUGGUGGGUGGCUCUAUGUGCACAUAGGAGCGGAUAUAAAGAUUGUUACUAUGGUAGGUGCUAAGUAUGCGUGAGCUCAGUUUGGUUGUGUGUUUCCUUGUGGCUAUGGAUCACGUGUGAGCUAUUCUCGAUCGUGUAUUUAAUAUUCUACCAUGGUCGGAUUGGAUUAAGCUAUUAUAUCUCUCGACAUUUUAUUGAAAGGGUCGAGAUAUAAUGAAAAUCCUGACACCUUCAACAAAACGUCGGGAGUUCUCUUAUGUCUCCUGACGCUUUGGUCACGGUGUUCGAAUUUCCAUUAUAUUUUCUGACGCUUUCAACAAAACGUCGGGAGUUCUCUAAUUUCUCCUGACGCUUCAAGGUAUGCGUUAGGAGAUUGUGCAUUUCUCGAUGCUUCGAUUAUUGUGUCGGGAGAUACCAUAUUUUAUUUUUAAAUUUUAUUUUAUUUUUAUUUAAGAUGACAAAUAUUUUAUUAGAAAUUUAAAUUAAAAAAUUAUUAUUAUUAUUAGAUACACAAGAUUUAAAUAAAAAAAGAAAGUAAAAAUAUGAUCUUCAUACAUCAAUAUUAAAAGAAAUUAACAUUAGAUAAAUUCAUAAUAAUACACUUGAAGUUUUAAUUUAUAUAUAUAUAUAAAUAUAUAUAUAUAUAUAAGAAAAUUUUAAAAAUAGUAAAUUUUGCAAAAUAUUUACCACCUAUAUCAAAUUCUAUCAUUGAUAGUCAUUGAUAUAUGCUAUUAGUGAUAUAAUCUAAAAUUUUGUUAUGGCUCGUAAAUAUUUUAAUUUAUUUUGCAUUGUAUAAGGUAUUUUAUAAAUGUUUUAUAAAUAGAAUUUCGCCAACAUGAACUUAGCUCAAGUAGCACUUGUAUGUUCAAAAAAAAAUUAUUAAUUUUUUUUUAUUGUAAUAAGUUGGAGUGGGGAUUUGAACUUGGGGCCUCCUGUCCACAAGAACAUACUUGUGUCAAUUGAGCUAAACUCAUGAAAUACAUGUGUCAAUUGAGCAAAGGUCAUCUUGACAACCAAUCAUGUUUUUCUAUUCUCUUUUUUUAAAAAAAUUUGUUGUCUAUUUUUUAAAAAAUAGAAUUAUGUUGGUGUAUAUUUCAUUCUUUUUAGUACACAACCAAAAUUGAGGAAACUUAAACCAUAAACUUCUGGUUGUUCGUGGUUGACAUGUACAUAUGUUUAUGCUCUUUAUGUUUUUUCAAUAUAUAUAUAUAUUAUUUAAUAAAAAAAAUUACGUAUAUAAACUUUGAAUUUAUUGUAUGAAAAUUUGAAUAUGUAUAUUUGAAAUUUAAAUGUAACAAUUUUGAACUUUUAUAACCACCAGAAACUAGAAACGAAACAAAAUGAGAAAAAGAAAAUUAUAACCCGACAACCCAACUCAACCCAACCCAUAUUUUAGGAGUUGGGUUGGAAACUAAAUUCUGGUUAUUCCAGUUCUCAACCCAAAUAACCCAAAACCAACUAGAUUUCACCCCUAGUAUAUUAUGAUAUUUCUAAAUCUACUAUUCACUUUCCACUCAUUAUAGUAUGAAUGUAAAAAGGAUAUAAAUAUAAAAAUGUUGAAAGACUAUUUCAAUUUUAUAAAGUUAAAUUAAAACUAUAAUUUGUUUAUGUGUGAUUUUUAGGUGCAUUUCAUGCGUUGUUUACUAGUUUUAAAAAAAAUUUAAAAAAUUAUCAUUUCAAUUUGAAGUCAUUGUGUUUCUAGUUUCUUUUCAUUUUCAAUAGUAUCAUUUUAAAAAAACUAAACAAAAUAAUCUUAUUGGUUUUUUAAAAUUUAGUUCCUUUUGGUUUAAAGAAAAAAAAUAUAUAUUUAUUCAAUAUUUGCAUAUAUACUAUGUUAUUUAAAAUAUGAAAAUUGUGUUCAUAUGGUCUUACCUACUCAGCAUUUAACGUAAAAGGUGUGUUUGGAUUGAUUUUUGAAGUGUUUAAUUUUUAAAAUAAUUCAUUUUAAGAUAAAUUGAAAUAUUUGGCAUUGGUUUAAAAUAACUUUUUAAAAAAUGAGAUCAUGAAAUUUUAGAGAAAAAACAUUCAACCAAAUUUUAAAACAAAUUUUUAUCUGGGGUUUAAUGAGAAAUUCCUUCCAAAUAUCUAUUUUUCUUCGUCUAUUUUUUCUAUCUAUUUUCCAUCGUCGUUCUUUUUAACUUUGAAUAUUUUUUCAAUGCGUGUUCAUAUACAUUUAAAUAUAGGGAUUUGUAAAUUUUUCUAUUUCAGUCAAAUCUACUUCGCCUUAACAUCUUUGAAAGAAAUCAUAAGGAUUUCAAUGAAGAACAUUAUCAUUCAGUUCAUGUGUUGGCUUUUUGGCCCUUAAUCUCAAAUUAAUUUAUUUUAAUUAUUCAAUUAAUUUAUGUUUUGAUGAUAACAAAUCUGAUUUUUUUUAUUGACAAUUUUAUUAAUUUGAAUAGACCAUAUCGUAGAGCUUGGAAAAAUGAUUCUAACGCCUCUUGAAUCACCCAAAUCGAAGUUCAAAUGAAGAAAAUGUUGCUAAAAGAAGCUUAACGAAAAAAUACCCGAGAUGGUGACGUGGCGACCAAGCAUUCAAUUUGAACCAAUUAGAGAAAGCCACUUGGAGCAAUGAAGGAGUAACAAAUGUGGCUUUUUGUUAUGUUUUAUUGGCUUUUAUAAAGAAAAUGAAUUUAAAAGAAAAAUGAUUUUAAUAUUAUUAUUAUUUCUUGUGUCUAACGGCUAGUUUUUUUAAAAGAGGGUGAAGUUGCUUUAUUGAUUUCUUUUUAAACAAAAUAUUUUGAAAAGACAUAUUAUUAUAUUAUUAUUUGUAUUGUGUCUAACGGCUAAUUAAGUUUAAAUCUCAACCAUUCAUUUUUCUUUUACCUAUAUCUAAUGACCCAAAUGAUUUUGAAUUUAUCUUUCCUCUCUUUUUAAAUACUUCACAUUUACACAAGAUCACAACAUUUUUACAAUCCUCAAGCAAAAAGCCAACAUUGUUAUUCUCUCUAAAGCUUCCAAUUUUUAUUCUUUUCAUCUUAUUCUUGAGAGCUUCUUAUUGUAUUGUGAGGAUUAAAUUUGUGAGCUUCAAAUUGUAUACUCACUCUUUUAGAGAGUUUUCUUUUGUGUGAUUUAAAAAUUUCAUCAUAUUGUAACGGUUGGAUCCUAACCCGUGGAAAGGAUCGGGUUUGCUCUUGAACCCGAAAAAGGAGCAAGAAUCAGUUCGGCUCAAAUCCGUGGAAAGAGUCCAAAGAAGAUUUUCAAUCAAAAUCCCAAGGGGUGCUUGGGAAAGUGGAUGUAGGUUGAGUUUAACCGAACCACUAUAAAAUUACGGUGUCUUCUUCUCUAACUCUUUUCUAAUUAUUUUUUAAUUUAAUUUUAGUUACAUAUUCUUAUUGGUUGAGUUUGAUUGCAUACUUCCAUUCAUAUCUUUUUAUCAAUCUUGUUAUUUAACAAAGUUUACAAAGUUCUUUAUUUAAAUUUUAGAAAAUAUCUAAUUAGUUGAUUUUACUUUUUAUUUGUCAAAAAGUUUAUUUAAACCCUAUUCACCCCCCUCUAGGGUUGCCAUACCGAUCCAACAUCAUGAAAUGAAGAUGAAUGAGAAACAUGAUCAAAUUGCACAUAUGUGAAAGAAAUUAUAUUGUUUUGGAAAAAUUAUUGUUCUUAUUUAUAUUGUCGUUGUUGAAAAUCAAUAAAUUUUUUAUGGUUAUGUAUUUACAUUUUAAGAUAUUUGUGCUUCUAAAAAUCGAAUUGUCCAACAAAAUUAAUAACAAGUAACUAAAAAAUUAAUAAUUUCAAGAUAACCAACAAUUAAUUUUAAAAUAUAUUUAUGAAAAAAUGAUUCAAAAUGUAUGAAUUUCUUUAUAGAAUCAGUUCAUAACGUUUAAUAACCUUUUAUGGUAGUUUGACAUAAGUAUAAACAUUGUUAGUUCAGAACAAACCAAACAUAAUUUUACAUUUAAACAUUUAUAAAGAGAUCAAACCAAACACGUGAGUGUUUAAAAUUUAAACUCAUUUUAUAAAAAAAAAAAUAUUAAAAAUUGCAUUCUUAAUAAAACAUUUUGUUUCGUAGGCAAUUCAAACUCACUCAAAAUAAAUACACCAACUAUAUACUUUAGAGUAAAAGAGUAAGAAGGAUGUAACAAUUUAUAGUACUAAACCACCUUUCAAAAGCCAUAAACCCAAAAACAUCUUCUUUAAAAUAAAUGUAUUAAAAAUGUUCGAAGAUAGAAAAUAAAAAUGUUUUAAAAUACGAAAAAUAAAAAUAGUCAAAAAUAACAAAUUUGACAAAAUAUUUACAAUAGCAAAAUUUCAGAUUUUAUCAAUAACAAAUAUUUGAUAGACAUUGAUAUCAUUCUAUCAGUGACAUUGAUAAUCAGUGAUAAAAAUAUAAAAAUCUAUCAAUUUUUAUCAUUGAUAGAAUCCAAAAAUUUUGCUAUGACCAGUAAAUAUUUUAAUUUAUUUUGCUAUUUUUUAAAAUACACCUUUAAAAUAUCUUAAUUUAAGAAAAAUAAACUGUAAAUACUUAUAUAUGUGAUAAUAUGACGAUAAAUUUGCUACAUUUGCAAUUUUGAAAAUGUAAGUGAUAUAAAUUCUAAUAAUAUUUGCUAUUUUUCAAACUUCCCUCUAUAUAUACACAAAACUGGAAAACCCAAAAUACACACAACGGAAUCUAAACAAAAAAAAAUAUUAGGUUUAACUUAAAAAUCUUCAACUUCCUCGCAAUGUACUGCAUGUCCUUGACAUUUUCUUCCAUGUAACUAAUGUUUUCAAAUAUAACAAUACGAAUUAAAAUAUGUACGCUAUAUUUUAUUUUGUAAAUAUUUCAUCAAUUUUGUUCUUAACUAAUAAUUUUCUUUCAUGGGUAUAAUUGGUAUUUAAAGAAAAGAAUCUUCACUCUCCCAAUUCCAUAUAAUUACACAUUUUUGCAACGUUACUCAUUAAACAUUUCUUAACAUCAAAUAAUUUAGUUAACCAUUUCUUAUAAUUUGUCAUUUAUGUGCAUACGUUUACUUUUGAACUCAAAUAAAUACAUCGACCACAUCUCAUAGCUCAAUUGGACCAAAACUACCUCAUUGAAUCAAAUGAUGGUGAUAAAGACACAUAGCAUGUUGUCAAAUUUGUCAUUUCUUUGUUUUCCAUUUGAAUUGAAACACAUCAUUUCCAUCUUUCAUAAAUUCUUGAUUAACUUACAAGAGCAAAACCUAACCAUUUGUUAUUGGCCAAAAUUUCUCACUCAAAGACUUGAUGCAACCAUAAUGUCUUGAGUUGGAAAAUGGAAUAUAAACGAACAUCGAAAUUGUUUGAUUGAAGUUUUAGGAACGUUUUAGAGAACGUUAGCAUUGUUUUUGUUUUAGGAAGAUUCUUGAAUAGUUUGGAAGGCAGAAAUAAUAAUAAGUGAGAGUUGAGAUUGGAAGAAAAAGUAUCUUAGCUUUAACAUUCAAUGGGCCGAUGGGAUGGUUCAUAAGUUUAACGCAAAACAACUCAAACAAAACAAUGGGCUAACGUGGCCUCGCCAUAACCUCCUCGAAGAACGUUCUAGCAACAAAUGCCAAUUACCGCCACUCAGUUCUUAACAACUGUUCCUCAUUUUUGCCUUCCUCCUCAAGAAAAUUACAACAAUCAAACGCCUUUAUAUAUAUAUAUAAGCGAUUCAACUACCCUUCUUCUUCAUACCCAAGUCAGAAGAGAAAAAAAAAACGCUUUACAUCUCUCUCUUUGUCCUCUUCUUCAACUUUUUCCCUUUUUCUUGUAAAUGGGGUUGAAGUGGAUUCUGAAUUCUGCCUUUACUCAAGUUCUGGGUCUCACAGAGAAGCAACAACAGAAUCAGAAGGAGGCAGGAGGAGAAGGAAUCAAGAACGUGGAGCAAGUGAAGGAGGGGCGAGAUUGUUUUUAUGGUGGAGAUUUGAACUUUCAAAGUGGGUUUCAAAUGCCCCUUCAUUAUCCUAGGUAUACCAAGAGGGAUUAUGAGGAAAUGGAGGAAGGUAAGUUGGAUUUGCUUCUCAAACAAUAUGGGCUCUGUUUUGAUGGUACCCUUGAGGAGAAAAGGGCGUUUGCUAUUGGGACGUUCAUAUGGCCUGACCAACUUUGAAUUUAUCCACAGUGCGUUUGAUGAAAUUCCUCAAAGAAAAAAUGACCCAGUUUUUAAGGUGUUUGUAUAGCUAGGUUAUGAAUGAAUGUGAUGUUGGUUUAAGAUGCAGAAAUAUUAGUAGCUGUGUCUUUUUUGUUAUAUAUUUUUUUCUUUUUCGACAAAGCUUUUGUUUUGCUGAUCUUGAUGUGAUUCUAAUGAAUCUUGUAAAAACCUUAUCACAUAUAAUGGUAUAUUAAAAAUACCCUAUUACUUACUUUCUUGCUUUAAACAACUUUACUUCACAAAAAAAUGGUAAAUUUCUAGUAUAAGAAACCAGAAGAAUUUGGUAUUGUUCUUCAAGAAAUAAGGAAAGAAACCAUUGCAUUCAUAUAUUGAGUGAAUGGUUCAUAGUUUCUAAAUUUAAUCUUAUUCAAAACUCUUACAUAACCGUACAACAUCUCUGAAAAUUAUUUUGGUUUCCGUCAAGAAAUUGAUUAUCAGGUUGCGGCCAUCCCGGCCACAUCAUUGGCCAUGACACAGGUUGGGGCUGCGGCUGUGGUAGCAUUAAUUGCCAAGGAUAUGGCUGCGGCCGCUGUAGGUUGGGGUAACAUCUGUCAAACCAAUGAGAUUGUUCAUUAUAGCUCUGGUAAGGGUUGGAGUAUGAAGAAUGAUUGGAAGCAUCGUCUCCAAAAGAAGGGUAAUAUCUUCUAUCUCCAGCUUCACCAUCAAAUCUUAUACUUCUCACCUCUGCAUGUUUGCCUGAUUUUUCAAUCACUUUCAAGAAUGUUCUUGGAUUCACUCUUCCACAGAUUCUGACUGAUCCAUCAUCAGAGUCCAUUGUGAUUGUGUAAAUACCUAAUUAAAAAACAACAAGAAAUAAGAAACAGAGGGAAAGAGAAGUAGAUAAGGAGGGGAGGAGAGUAAAGGAGAGAAACCAUAGAUGUUUUGUAGAAUUUCUUGGAUUUUUGCUUUGCAUGCUUCACAUUGAACACUUGCAUUAAGAACACAACUCUGCAAAUAAGUGAAAAAUGUUCAGCUUUAAUGGAAAUAAAUGGAGAAAGGGAAAGAAAAGAAAACGAAGUGUGUUUUUUAGAGUGUGAACCAUUUCUGCAACAGAGUAAUCCAUUGAAUUCAUUAAUGGAGAUCGUUGAAAAGUUUGAAGGAGCUAGGGGUUUCUUAUAAGUUGUGUUUUUGCAGCAGUUUGAUGAAGAAGAGAACAAGGGAGAUUAUAAAGAGGAGGGAUAUUGUGUCAUCUUUUCUCAAGUUGACUAUUUUUUGAACUGACAGUGUCACCAACUUCAAUUUCUCCUAAUAUUUCUCUCUUUCAAAUGUUGAAAUUUAAAUGGAAAGAUUCCAUGAUUAGAGAUUUCAGAUCAAUUGAAAUCCUUUUUCUUUCUUUUGUGAAAAUCAAAUUUUAACCAUUUGUAGGAGUUUCAACUUUCAAUUUUCACUCUCAGCAUGUGUUUGAUUGUUACCCUCUUGUUCUUAAAAAGACUUUUACCUUCCUUAUUUAAUGCUAUGGUCGACCAAUAAUUUUCACCAAAAAAAACAAAUUACUAAUCUUUUACAUUAUGUGUAACUCAAUUUGUAUCGUGUUUGUGUUAUCUACCGUUCAAUUUUUGUGUUCGUUCAGACGGGUAGGUCUUGGUGAGUCGAAAGCAUUGGUUUCAAUGUUUAUUCUUUUAAGGAAAUUGUAUCAAAUGACAAAAAUAUUUAGAAAAAAAAUCGUCCAUGACAAUAAUUUUUUAUUUUUGCAUAUUACGAAUAUGAAAAAAUUAGUGAUAUCAAACGAUAAUCAUAGAGCUAUCGGUAAUCACAGGUUAUCCAUUUUUAAAUUCGAUACUUUACUUUAGCAAAUGUAAUGACGUAGGCUUUAUUGUUAUAAAUUUUUUUGUUAUUUUUGCAAAUGCUCAUUCUUUUAUGUGCUAAAAUUGAUUCUCUCGUCUUUUAAAAUCUAAUACAAAAACUUCACAUUAUUCCUCCAUCUUUUGAAACUUUCCAACCAUGCAAUUCAGCUCUAAACCUUUGUUUGUUUUCACCAUGUCUAGAGCAUUAUAGCAUCAAAGUUGCAACUAUGAAGUUCGUGCUAGAAAUAUUUUCAAAUAUAUGGAACAAAGCAUAGUAUCACAAUGUUAUUAUCUAUUAGUAUUAGUGUAUGGUGGGUUCUACAAAAGUUUUGAAUUUUGAUCGGAGUUUUUAAUUAUUAUGAAUUAUGUAUAGAUAAAAUAGCCUACUUCCUUAAAUUGUUCACUUAUAUUUAGCCAAAAUUAGAGAUAUAAUCUUAAUCAAUUAUGGAAUUACCCAUAAUGAUAGCAACAUUAUUAUCCAUCCCUUAAAUAAAAACAGGAUAUAUGUAUGUAUGUAUGUAUAUAUAUUAGUAUGAAUAGAUGAUAAUAUUCUUUAGAUCAUCUAAUAUUCCUUUUCUGUGGACUUGAUACCUUUUUAAUAACUAUCGUUAAUAUAAUCUCGUAGCUAAAACAAUAAGUUUUCAUGGUUAAAUUUAGCUUGAAUGAAUACUUUGCUAAAUAUAUUUUUAGUUUGAUUUAGAUUAAUCAUUAACUUGACAAUUUUUUAAUUUACUUUAUGUGCAGGUAAAAGUUUAAAGGAAAAAAGAAAGAUAACUUUUAUCUUAAAUUAUUCAAAUAUUGCCAUCUCGAAAAAAUAAGAUUUUGUUUGAAAACUCAUUUUUUUAAAAAAAUAUUUUUAAAACUGAGGAAUUGAUAACAAAUAAAUUAAAACUAUUUAGAAAAUAGUGAAAAGAUUUUGUUAUUUUUGGUAUAUUUGAAAAUUGCCUUUUUUAAUAUAUUCAAUUAUAAACAUAUUUUUGGGCAAAAUUAAUAUGAUUUUAUAGGCUAGUAUUUGUUUUCCUUCUUUUUUAAGAAAGUUUUUUAGGGUGGAUUUUGUUUUUAGGCAAUUUUAAUCUUCCCAAUAGCUUGACUUAAAAAAAUAUAAAUUAUAAAAAAUAUAUAUAGUUUUGAGAUUUUCGUUUUUGUUUUCAGAUUUUUUACAGAAAAAUUUUAAAUCUUUCAAGUAAAACAUAUAUGUAUAUAUAUAAUUGAGAAAGUUGAUGAUUUAAAAGAGAAUUGUUUUCAAAUAUUUAUAGCAAAAUAGACCAAAACGUUUGAAUGGAGAUAGGUUGUUGAUAGAUGUGAAAUUUUGUUUUUUGUCUUUUUUUUUUCUGAGGUUGAAGAGAAAAAUAGAGGAGUUAUGGAGUUGAUAUUAUUGUAUAAUAGUUUCCUUAUAUCUUGAAAUUGUUGGUUGCAUGAAAGGAAAGGAAAAUGAGAGUUUGAAAGAAAGAAAUUGAUAUAAUUUGUUGAACAUUUUGUAGGUUGAAAAGUAAAAUAUGUAAAUAUUUUGAUUUAUAAUAUUGAAAAGAAUUUAGAAAAAGAAAAACGAAUGGUUGUUGGACCCCACAAAAGAAAAGAAGCCCAUAACAUUAACGUUCAACAAAUCUCGUCCACACGAUGUUCCAACAGAGCAUCCGAAUCUCAUCCUAUCGCCCAUCAUUAUUUAUCGUAUCUCACAUUCACCUCAAUUAUCAAGCACAUUUAAAACCCUAAACUCUCUCUCUCUCUCUCAUAUAUAUAUAUAUAUAUAAUAACUAGGUUUUUGUUUAGACCUUCCCUUCUCAAAAAAAAAAAAAAAAAAAAAAAAACUGAGAAUAUGUACUUUCCAUCCUUUGAUUUUUAAAAUAUACAUUUUUAGUCUAUUUGAUCCCUAGAUUUUUAGAAAUGGGUUUUAAUUAAGUUAAAAUUAUUUUUCUAAUUUAAACCAAAAGUAUAAAAGCUAUUUGAUGAACUUUUUAAGAUUUUUUUUUAAAUAUAUAUAUACAAACUAUUUACUACCCAUAUAUAAAAAAAAACACUCCUUUAUGACAUAUAAUUUUUUUUUUUUACAAUUUCUCAAAUGUUUAAACCUAUUUUUAAAAACUUGGACAUUCAAAAGAUAUAUUUAAAAAUUGAAAGAUAAAAUGUAUCUUUCUUACAAAUUUAGAGUCUAAAAUGGUACGUUUUUAAAGCUUAGAAAUCUAACUUUUAUAUAGAAUUAAAAAGGUAAUUUUCUUUUUAUAUAUAUAACUAAAUAAUAAUAAUAAUUUAAUUAAAAAAAAUGUCAAAAAUAUAACAUAUGAUAAAAUAUUUAUCUUUAAAUGUAAUGAUUUUUUUUUUCUUUUGUUAUAUAGAGUGUAAAUGGUUUAUCAUUAAAAAAAAAAGGCAUAAUAAUAAUAAUGCAAGUGAGCUAAAAUUAAAAGAAAAGAAAAGAAAGAAAAAUUAAAAUAAAGAUCCCAAAAAUAUUUUGAGUUAUAAUUUUGGUCAUCAACAUCCCCUGCCUUAAUUUUCGUCAUACUUAUACUAAUGUAAAUAUUUUGAAAGUGUCCCUUUUAGAAAAGGAUUUUAAUUUUUUAAAGAAAAGUGCAAAAUUAUAAUGAGUUUAAUUAUAAUAUAUCAAAUUUAGCAAUAUUAAAAAAGAAAAACCCAUCCGUACGUACAAAUUAUUAAACGCUAAUCCCAUAAAUUUAACCCCAAAAGAAAAAGAACAAACACAUCAAAUUUCCCCUUUCACUCUCCAAGUCGAUUCAGCACAACCUUUCACUUCAUCUUCUUAUCGAAAUUCAUCGAAUCAUCAAUCGAAAUUCAUAACCAGCAGAAACAAAACAAAAAAACCACAUAGCGAUUCAUCUAAACACACACUACCAGUAAUGGAUCUCAAGAAAUUAAAUUACAAAAAGUACAAAACAGAGACAUAUAUAUGUUCAUAUUCAUGACAUCAGAUCGGAGAUUUGGAGGGGAAUGGAUUAGAGAAAAAGCGGUUAUUAAGUAAAAGAAAAAUUAGAGUAAUUAAUAAUAAUUGAUUUACGAGGAUUUAGAUUGAGAAGUAGUAAGUAGUAAGUAGUAGAGAAAGAAGAGAAAAAGAACCGUGUAUGAUGGAUUUGAUUGACUUAAUCGGAUUUGAGAGAGGAGGAGUCGAGGUCGUGGUGGCCGGCGACAUAGCUGAGAAGACCUUCGGCUGCUUUAUCAGGUGACGGAAGGGAGGUGUUGGCGAAGAGGAGAACGGCAAGGAGGAAGAGAGCAGUGGAGAGGAAGAGAGGCCAGAAGUAAGCGAGAAGGGAGAGGAAACUUGGAGCAAGGAGGAAGAGGGAGAAGAGAGUUAGGGAUAAGAUUAGGGUUACCAGAAUGUGGAAUCUGAACUUCAUUACUUUGCUUGGGAUCUCCAUGGAUGGAUCAAAUUGAAAUCAAAUCAAGAAUCAAGACGAUGAUCAACAAAACCCGAACUCAAUUUCACCUUUUUUUGUUCUUUUUUCUUUUCCCGUUCAGAGAUUCCCUGACUGAGGGUUGAGGCUAAAAUGUUAUGUUUUGUUUAGGAAAGGGAGAAAUGGGUAAUUCUCUUUUUCUUCUUUUCUUUUUUACUCUUUAUUAUAUUAUACCUUCUUUAAUAUUUUAUACCGUACUUCCAAAUUACCUUUAAUUUUAUGUCACUUGAUUAGGUAUAGUUUAGGUUACGAUCAUGUACGUACCUAUAUAUAUCUUUCUAUAUUUUUUAUUUAUCAUAUGAUAAGAAAGUGAUCAUUUAUUUAUUUUAAUAAAAAUGAAAGUUUACAUCGCAUAACGAUUCUAAAUUAAACAAUAAGUGUGUGGGGGUGGACUACAUCUUAAUAUUUUUCUAUAAAUAUUUUGAACUAUUGUACAUAAUUAGAAGUUUUUUUUAAUAUUUUUAAAGGCUAUAUAUGAAGCGAAAUUGUAAAACAUUAUAUUUAAGGAUCAUGUUUAUUACAAAAUUUAUAUUUAAUAGGCUAUUAAACUUUUUUAUUAGGAUAUAGAUCCAUGACAACUUUGAUUUUAAAAACGAUGACUGAUAAUUGAUUUGAGAGAUAUAAAUUUGAAAUUAGGUUCAAUGGAAUCCUAAAUCUUCACGUUUUGUUGAAUAGAUUAGUUUUUUGUUUUUUGUUUUUUUGUCAAAUAGAUCAAUGAUAUAUUAAAUAAAAGAAAAUCAAUAAUUAUCGAAACUUCAAAUAUUUACUAAAUAUUUUUUUGAAAUUAGAAACUAAUGGACAUAAACAACAAGUUUUAGACACGUUUUAGAGAAAUAAUAUGUAUUUGACUCGAAAUAGAAAGUUUAAAAUAACUCAUUUGACAUUUUUUAAAAUGCAAGGAUUAAGUAAACACAAAUAAAUAUAUUUAUUAAAUACAAACUUGAAAGUUAGGUUAUGGAGGAUGAAGAUCGAUAAUUUAAUAUUUAAUUAAAAAAAUAAAGUAAAAUAGUAAGUUAUAGAUAUGAUGGUUGAGAUUGAUGUAUAGCUUUUUAAAAAAGAUUUGAGUUUCAAAGUGAUGGUAGAUUUGGAGUAAAGUAAGUCAAAGGGACAGAGGAUUGAGUGAGUCCAACUAAAUUUAUAUAAUUUAAAGUAUUGAUAACAUUCUUUACAUAUAAAAAACAAAGUGGUUCAAAAUCACCUACUCACAUUUGUUGUUAUUGUAUAUUGAUGAAAUUGAAACUAUGGUUUUAUUUUAUUAAAAUAAAUCUUAAACAUGCAUGUUCGAUAAUCUAGGUAGCAUGUGCCUCUGGCACAAGAUGAUCAUAUUAAUAAAGUGAAAUGCGUGUCAAAUCAGCCAAUCGGGUAUAAUUUGUACUAACAAUAUAUUAUUAUUUAGAAAAUUUGUAGUUCAAAUUUUUUAAAAAGUAAAAAUAAACCAUCAAUAUAAUUAAUUUCCUAUCAAAUUACAUUUGAAAUAAUUAAAUAAAGGAAAAGCAAUGAAUAUAAAGAAGUAAUGUUAAAAGAUAAAAAAGAUAAUCGCAAAUUAGUUAUUCAUGAGUUUAUAGAUUAAACUCAACCGUAAUUGAUAUUAUCCUUCAUCUUAAAAAUUUAAAAGACUUAAACAAAUCCAUCAACUGGCUCAUAGUCGAUUAGUACGCCUCUAUGAGCAGUUGCUAAAUUGAUCCAUUAAUGUUGGAGCUCACCCCUCUUAAUUUGUCGUUGAAAAAAAAUACAUUAAUAAUUAAUCUUAUCCUUUUUUAAAAAAAUAAUUGAUUAUCAGGAUGUUGUAAUUAAUUAAAUAAUUAAAGGUUAAGAAAGGAGAGAUUUUGGUGUAUUUAGGACACAACGAAAUUAAUGCAUUGAAGAUGGAAUCUUUGCAUUUAAUCUAAUGUCAUGUGCCUAUAAUUCUUUUAUUCUACCUUUUACUCAUUUUAAACUCCCAUUCAUUCAAUUUAUUAGUCAUUCAAUCUUACCUAUCUAUAUUUAAUAUUCAAUAAUCUUUACCCCUUUUCCAUCCACCAAAAUUGUUCCAAUUAUUUACCUUAGUGCAAAAAUUAAAAGAAAAAAAAUUCUAUAAUAAUCAAUUGAGUUAGGCCAUUCACAUUUCUUAAAUAACUUUUAUAUUUCAAUUACAACAUUUAAUCCAAAAUCAAUCGUAAUAAUACCUAAAGAUUAAUAAAAUAAACAUAAUUAUAUAUCAAAUUUGUACGUUAAACAAUUAAUUUAAAGUUGUAGUUUUGUAUUUGCAUGUGAGUACAACAAUAUUUAAGUCAAAUUAAAUAGUAUCUUCAAUUUAAUUACCUUGAGGAGUGACAAAUUCAAAUAAUUCAAGAUAAGAUUUUGAAGAAAAGUAAAUAAAAUAAAAUAGUGGAGAGUGGAAAAUUAAAAUGAGUGGAAAUGGAAAAAAUUUCCCAUUCUUGUCUAACCCUUUUUUAUUUGAAAUGAUGGAAAUCAUAGGUCCUUCUUCCAAGUGGAAUUCUCUUUUCUUUAAAUACAAAAUUGUUUUGAAAUAUUUACAAAAAUAUUUAUGGUUUAAUUAUGAUGAAAUUGAAAAGUAUAGGAGAUGAAAAUUCAUUAAUACUAAUCAAAGUUUAAGAGUAAGAAUUGAUUUUUUUUCUUGCUUUUCUUUAUUAAUCAAAGUUUAGGAGUAAAAAUUGAUUUUUUUUUAUCCCUCACCAACAACUUGGACAAAUGUUUGUGGCCAAUCUCUUACCAUCACCUCUGUCAAUGACUACUACUGUACAAAUUCUUUUACAGUAACUUGAAUUGGUAAAAACAUUUUUAAUAUACAGAAAUUUGCAAAAAUAGCAAAAAAAUUAUGAUAACAGAGUCUAUGUUAUCUACAUUUUAUAAAUUUCAAAAAUGAUAAAUUUAAAAAGAUGUUAUUGUUAAUUACUAGUCAUAUUUGCCAAAUUUGCAAUAUGCAAAAAAGAGAUGUUAUGAACUGUUUUUUUCUAAUUUUUUUUUGUCAUCUAAUGGAGUUUUCCUCUAAUAUAUAUAACAAAACUUUUACAUAAAAACACUAUUUGAAGGUCAAACAUGUGUGAUUAUUUUAUUUUUAUUUAUUUUGAGGAGUUGAUAUCAAAAUUAUUCAAACAAAAAUAAAUCUUUUGAAAAAUAUUAAUUUUAUAGGUUGAAAUUAUAAACCGAGUAAAAACCAAGCUAACAAUUUUAAUUAGUAGAGAUUAAAAAGAAAAAUGUAGUUUAUUUAAGAAAAGAAAAGAGAAUUUGUAAACUUUGUAGACAAAAAAACUUAGAGGUAAAAGUUGAAAAUUAAGAAAAAUUGGAAGGCUACCUAAAGGGUAUAGGGUAAAGGGGGAUGAAUAAUAAUGGAGAAUUUGGUAUAUUGUUGACAUUAACCAAAGUUUUUGUUUGUUUAUGGGGGAAAAUAGCAUCUAACACAUCAUCCAUAUUUCCAAUUUCACAUCCUUUUUCCUAAAUUUAAUUAUUUCAUUUCAAAUCCCUCACCUUUUUCAAGAUUCAAACCAUUUUUCUUUUCUAAAAAAAUAUCAACCUUUUGGAAAUAUGUUUUGGUAACUAUUUUCUAUUUUUAUUGAAAACUCAACAACAUGCCCUCUUGACAUUGCUAAUUAGUUUAUCAAAACUCCAUGAGAUUGAAUUAACUUUUAAGAGGGUUUAGGGGUAAGAAAACCCGUACAAAAAAAAAUAAAAGAAAUUAUAAUGUCAAAUAAUAAAUAUCGUAACAAAUUAGUAGAUUUUAAAUAGUAUUUACUAUAGUUAAUUGGAGAUUUUUGUAAAUAUAGUAUGAAGUAGUUAUUAUAGUCCUAUUUAAUCCUCGCCUCAAAUGCCUCUUAAAACUUUAAAAUUUCUUAUUCCUUAUAGUUUCACCCCUUACACACAUGUUAGGAACUCUCGAUACAUCCUCUAUUUUUUUAAAAAAAAAUUACCUUCCAUUAAUUUCUAAAUUUAAUUUUAACUUUAAAGUCAACUUCAACACUUCAAAUUUAAAUUCUUAAGACUAAUUCAAAAUCCUAACAAUACUUCAAAUUCAAUUUCAAUACUAAAACCUAAAACUAAUUCAAAAUCUAAAUACUAAAACUAAUUAACUAAAACUAAACAAUAACUAAACCACUUACGGAUAUGCAGUGACGAAUGCUCUCUUCUUCUCGAUCUUCCUCUCGGUCACCCUCUCCCUCUCUCGGUUUUCUUUCUCUUUUUUGAUGUCCUACGAAAACGUCGAAAAUAGCACCCUAUUCCUAAUGCGAUUAGUGACACGUCGGAAAUUCCUAAACCUAUUCCCGACGUUGUUGAUGUCUUCCUCCAACACAACACUGUAGACGUCAGGAAUAGGAAUAGGUACCCAUUUCCUAAUGCACUUGACACCAGGUCGAAAGAAAUGUCAAACAGUACAAUUAAUUGUCUGCUCUCUUCCGAUGCUACACUUUCCACGUUGGGAAUAGGGGUCCAUUUUCUGACGUACCUGACACCACGUUGGAGGAACCCUAAACCAUUCUCGCUAGUUUCGACGCUCAUGUGUCUGCGUUGGGGGGAAUGUCUUCCCUCGACGUGCACCUAGAUGUAUCAUAAAACACCAGCUGCUUCUACCAACGUCAUAUUUUUCGAUGAUUUUUCCUGCAUAAAAAAACUCCCGAUUUCUUGUAGUAUUUACAAUUUAUAGACAAUAUUAGGCUGUGAAAAAUAAAUAUAAAACUACAAAAUAAAACAUACCUGCUAGUCUCAAAAUUGAUAGACUAAUAAUUAAUUUAUAUAACUCUGAAAUCUUAUUAUAUUUUGGUUCAUUUGUAAAUAUCUCAAUUAAUAGAUAUAUAACUUAAUAAUUAAUAUGAACAGAUUGAGGCCCCUUGCACACAACAUCUUACUAAGAAGGAUAUGAUCAAUAAACCACUCACAGUGAUGAAUUUAACCGUUGGAUUUGCUUAAUGACAAUUUUUCUUCUAACUAUAAACAGAAAGGGGAUAUCCAGAGUUGUCAAACCAUUCCAAAGUUUCUUUCUAAAGAGAGCUUUGCAUUUCUUAAUAAGUUUAUAUAAAUCCUAUUUUAUACAGUGAAAUUCUUCUUUCUUGCUCAUGGCGUUUCAUGUAAAAUUAUUGCACAUUAUUCUCCCCCUUUUUCUUCUUCUAUCAUCAUUAUUUUCCAUAUCUUUUCACAAUUUAAGAUCACCAACUUAAAAUAUAUAUAAAAUAAAUUAUAUUUUUUAAAAUAUAAUAAAACAAUAUGUUCUUUUUUCUUUUCCAUUUUUACAUUCUAGUAAGAAUAAACUUUGGAAGUUUUAAUAUUCAUAUCUUGUAAAGUAACAUAAUUUUGUUGCUAGCAAAUAUGAAAUCUUUUUUAUAUGAAAAAAACGGUAUCUCAUCAAUCUUAGACUUAUUAUCUCAAAUAUGUUUAAAAUCGUCAAUAAUUUUUUUAUUUCUUGAUUUAAUUUACUUUCUGGUAACAAAGAAAAACUCUUUGAAUGAAUCACAUAGUAAGACAUGACACUAAAAAUUAAAAAGCCACAAAAGAACAAAAGUUUCUCUCUCUCUUUCUGCUCCAAACAACCCCUCCAUUUCUCAACUUCUCUCCAACCUUUCCUAUAUGAAUCUUAAAAAUUAUAUUAUUCUUUUUAACUAUCUGUUAGAAUAAAAUUUAAUUUAAAAACAAAUAAAUAUAUAUAAUCAAUAAAAAUAUAUUGGACUUUUGUUUGAAGGGUAAAAAAAAAACAAAUGUAAGAAGAUAAACUAAAAGGGAACAACAAAAGAAAAAAAAAAAAAGAAGAAAAUAAUGGUUAUUUUUUUAGUAAUAUUGUUAAUAUAAUCAAAGUAAAGGUAAAAAAUAACAAAAUAGGUAAAAUACUUAGGAUUUGUAGCAAAAUGGAGUAUAGUAAAUUUUCGUCUAGUUUAUUACUAUUAUUAAUUGAAAGAUACAUAGACAAAAGAACUUGAACUUGCACUUCGUCUCUUCAAAUACCAUGAUCUAUUCGUUCACUUCUUAUGUUAUAUAUUCUAUUGAUUUUAGAGACGAUGGUGAAUUACAUAUAUACAUUACACUAUUUGAAUAAUAAAUUUUGCAAUAGCUGUAUUUUUUUUCAAAAUUGGGUAUAGAAGAAGUCCCACAUGCCUAUAUUAUGAUAAUUAAAAAAAUGGGUCCACCAAGAAAAUAUGAGAUCCUUUCUAAAAAAUUUAGGGGUAGUUAUAAAUUUAGUUAUUAGAUUUAAAAUAAUUAAGUAUAUAACAAUAUUUUUAAAAAAAUUACAAAUAUAGCAAAAUUUGUCAAUUUCUAUCGAGGAUAGACCAUGUUGUAAAUAUUGGUUUAUCACUGAUAGAUCAUACAAAGUGUAUUUGAUAGUUUUGCUAUAUUUGCAGUUUUUUUAAAAAAAAUUUGCUAUAUUCUUAAUUAUUAUUGCUGAAAUGGUUGUCCAUUCUAAUUUCCUUAAAAUUUAGAACAAGUUGCAUAAAUGACAUUUAAGCAAAAGUAAUUAUAUAUAGCAUAAAGAUAACAUACUUACCUAUAUUCCAUAUAAAUUUGGUAAGAAACUAAAAUGCUCAUGUCAAACUACUAUUUUAUAGGUUUUAUCUUGGUUUCUCAAAAUUGAAAGCUAUUAGUGAUGGUAGCCAUCGUUAAUAGUUGUCAUCAUUGAUCGUUAAUUUGAAAAAUGUGCUAGAAGUUGCUAUCAUUGAUAGCAACUAUCAAUGACUACUAAUGACUUGGUAUUUAAAAAUUUUUACUAGUUGAUUGGUCAACCUUAUUUGUUAUUUUUUAAAUAUUUUAUCCUUGCACUCUAUUUUAUAUUUAUUCUCUAAAUUUUUUCUUAAAUUAAUUGCGACCUCCGUCUCUUGAUCCACUUGUUUUAACCAAACUUGCAAAAAAGUUUGAAUUAGCAUAAAACAAAUUAAACCUUGAUCAUUGCAUUUUCCAUUUUGAAUACCAUUGGACUUGAGAAGGUGUCAUAAGUAUUGAUUAGAGUUCAACAACAAAUGUAGUGUGAAUUGUGAUUUCUUUUAGCUUAAAGUAGAACUACUAAUGGUGAUUUGGUUUUUAAGUAUCUAUUGAAGUGCAAAGGGAGUUGUAAAGAGUAAAUCAUUGAAAAUUAUGUAGUAACGUUUCAUCUUUCUUUGUGACAUACACUAAGGCCAACUUGUUUACAAAAAUUUUGACAUAUUUUGUUCAUUGUCAAUGGACUCUAUGACAAUUUUCUAAUUAGAUAAACACAGUUUACAAAGUCUUAAAGACAUAUGUAAUGUUGGAGAAGGCAGGAGAACAAGUAGCAUUGAUGAGGGUGGUUAAAAUUUGGUCUUAAUAAGCCUCUGCAUAUACUAUGAUAAUUAAGCUUCUCUUAGGAUAGAAAAAUAUUGGUUUCGCUAGAUGAAGGCUGAGAGUUUGAAGUUGAGUACGAGUGGUCUCGUCAAUAUGACCAUAAAAAGGCCCUAGCCAUUUAAGAUCGUAUAAAUUCAACAUUUCCAUUAAACAUAGCUUAUUGAAUCAAGGUGAACAAGGGACAAAUUAUGAGACAAAUUACGUAUAAUAGAAAGAAGAGAGUGUGAAGUAGAGGAGUUUGAGUGUGUUGAGAGAGAUGAGGGUAACACCAUCUAAGUCAGAGAGCAAAAAAAAAGUCGAGUGUUAAUUUACUCCAAUACCAAGAGAAAGUUCAAACUAUGGAAAAUUCAUUACUUUGUGUUUCAAUGAUCAAUUAACAAGAUAGAAUACCCAUUUACAUCUAGGCAUGAAAGUUAAAAAAAGGAGAUUUGAAGAAGAUAAUUAUUAUAUAUAUAAAUUAUAAAAUGCAGUAGCUAUAACAAAAAAUGGAUAACUAAUUUGAAAUACCUCAAUUUUCACGUAUUGUUAGAUUUAUUUAUUAUUUAUUAGAUUAAAACUAAUUGAAAGGAUAUAUGUGUAAUGUUAAAUAUAAUUCAAGUUUCAUUCAGUCAUCCAUAAAUGGUAAAUUUUUGUAAAAAUGAACAAUUGUAAAAAGAAAAAUAUUGAAGCGGAUUCCAAUAACACCAAAUUAAGUGUUAAAUCAAAUCAAAACAAAAACAGAUUAAAUAGCAGAAAGAGAGAUCGUGUCUAAACUAAAAAUACAACUCAUCCUCAAAAUUCCUGAUUCACACAAAGGUAUGUUGAGUGAUUCAACUCACCAGUUUUCUAAUAUGUUAAAGUGGAAAUAAACGGUUUCAACGGUUAGCUUUCCGCCACGUCAUAAACACACAAGCCCUCAUCGUCCAAAUGUCAUACAAAAAUGGCCUAUGUUGUGUGGGCCCUGCGAUCCUCGAGGAACAAACGAAUUUCAGAUCCAAGCCGUCCAAUAUUCCGAUGCCAUUUAAAUUCCAUCCCAUCCGUCCAUUUCCUCUUUCACACACAAAAAAUAACUUACACGUCAGCUGAUAAAAGUUUCCGACGUGGCAUUAAACUGCUUGUAAAUUCCGAAGUUGAGGUCCGAAGUAUAAAUAAUCAAAGAAGGAGACUUCGGUUAUUUUAUUUCGAAAAAAAAUAAAAAAUCCAAAUACGAAGCGAAACCGAAAAAAACCAAAAAUAAUUGUCUACGGAGCUGAGAGAGAGAGAGAGAGAGCGACAGUGAGACAGUAGAACUCCGACGACUUUCUCUGUUCGAUGCUUCAAUCCAUUACAGAAGCUUUGAAAUUUAGUAAGUUUCAGCUUCUCACGCAUGUACUCUUCUCUUUUAGGGCUUUUGUGUUGCUUCAAACUUCUCAAUUUUAAGGGUUUCCUGCUGUAAAAUGUUCUGGAUUUCUAGGAUUAGGGUUUCAGGUGUUCCUGUGCUUAUAUUGUAUUUUCUUUUUGGAUUUUGAGUGAUUUAAGUCUCCGUAGCUGUUUUUUUUGUCUGUGGCUUUCAGCUCUAAGCCUGAAUUCUUUGUGUCGAUUUUGUUUUACUUUUGUGGAAUGAAUGUCAUGCAUGAUGCAUCCUUAUGUACUCCACACUGUUGGAAUUUCUUAUUUGAAUUGAAGAUAGCAGUGAUGCUUUUGCUGCUUAUGGUCUUUUUUUUUUUUUUCGUCUAGUGUAACUACUGUGCGUUAUUGUCUUUUUGUUGGUUCGAGUUUGUGUCACUGUCUUUUUUUAAUUUUCUGUGUAUUUCCGAACAAUUUCAAAUGCUAUUAGAUUUGAUCAUUUGAACUGAUUCUUUUAGUACUUAUGUUCAGAUUUGAAGUGAAUUAUUUGUUAUGAUUUAGUUAAAAUUGUAUGGAAUCAAAGAUGGAUCCGGAUCUUGUAUUCAUUCACAAAUUUAUUUAGGUUCUAUUACCAAUGGGGUGUUCUCAAAGCUUAGGAAUUUGGUGGGAAUCAGUCUUUUAGUCCAUAUCUUUUACUUUUUUUUAAAAAAAUAUAUCUUUGAUUGGAGAUUUUGAAUAUGAGAACAUUGAAAAUAUGUAAUUUCUAUUUUCAAACUUUUCACGUCUUAAAUCACAGAAUACCAAUACAAUGACUAUAUUGUCUGUCAUAAGUAAACCUUCUAAAUAUGAAUUCAUUGAAUUCAAGUGAACUUAAGAGCAUGAAAUUGAAUCUGGUUCGGAUACCAAACAAACGUUUCAUGGUUUGCCUAUACCUUACAAGUCAUCCUUAAACCACACUUUAUCUCCACAUGUAAACCCAUCGUUGGCUUAUUCUGAUAUGAAUACCAGAUAGAGAAUGUGCCACAUUGCCAUUAUGAUAACAACUUGUAAUGAUACCCAUGGUUUAUGAGAUUCAAUUCAAUUGUAGAGGUCAAAUUGGAACAAAAAACAUUUCAUCCAGAAAAAAAAAAGAAAAAAGAAAAAAAACAAGAAGAAGAAACCUAAAAGCGCCCCUAACUUUUAAAAAUAGUAGGGAUCAAUUUACACUUAAACCAAUUUUAUUCCACAAUAGUUUAAUUGAAUUCACUUAAAAUGGAAUAUAAUGUUCAUUCCACAAUAGACCUACCCUUUUGUACUUCUGUUUGGAGAAUUAUUAUAAAGAGCUGGGUGUCCUCAAGAGCAAUAGCAUUAGUUCCAACAAACUGGAAAUGUAUUUCAGUUUCACUUUCCAUAGUACAUUUUCUUCGACAUGAUAUUUGCCUUUUCUUGUUUAGCAUUCAUAUUGAAUGGUAAUAUAUUUCUAUAUCUUUUGUCAUUUAUUCAUGUGAGUAGGUGAGGAUGUGCACGUGAAGAGACUGGCUUUCUAUAGAUUUAAAUUUGAGCUAAAUUGAUCAUGGGUGCAGAAGACACAGCAAAAAUUACUGUUGAAAAUACAAAAGAUGAAGCCAAAGGAGAAGAUUUAAAAACAAAUACAGUUGAGACUGUGACUGUGGAAAAUGGAAACAGUAAAGAAGAUAAAAUGAAAAACAGUGUUGAAACCGUGGAAAAUGGAACAAAUGAAGAUGACAAAAUGAAAAAUACCAUUGAGACUGUGACAAAUGGAACCAAUGAACUGGAGAAAAUCAACGAGAUUGUGCCUAAGGGGGAGGAAAAUGGAGUGAAAGAAACAGAAAUUGAGAAGGGUGUUGUUGAGGCAGAGGUCACGAAAAUGGGAGAAGAACCUAAAAUCAAGGAAGAUAAGGAAAGCAAUGCAGAAAACGUGAAGGAUGAAAAGGAGGAAGCUAAAAUUCAGGCAAUGGACGAAGAUGCGAAUCCAAAUGCUAAGAACGAUGAACAAAAUGUGGAUAUCAAAGAUGCAGACAGUGUAGAUGUCAAAGAUGACAAGAAUGAGAUUGCCAAAGAUGGAGAAAUUGAGGGUGCCAAAGAUGAAGAAAUGGAGGAUGCCAAAGAUGAAGAAAUGGAGGAUGCCAAAGAUGAAGUAACUGAGAGUGGCAAAGAUGAAGUAACUGAGGAUGCCAAAGAUGAAGUAACUGAGGAUGCCAAAGAUGAAGUAACUGAGGAUGCCAAAGAUGAAGUAACUGAGGAUGCCAAAGAUGAAGUAACUGAGGAUGCCAAAGAUGAAGGAACUGAGGAUGCCAAAGAUGAAGUAACUGAGGAUGCCAAAGAUGAAGGAACUGAGGAUGCCAAAGAUGAAGGAACUGAGGAUGCCAAAGAUGUAAUUGAUGAUGCCAAAGAUGGGGUAGAGAAGGUUGACAGCCAUAUGGAAGAGGAUGACAAGGAAAUGAAGGAUAAAGAUCCCAACGAAGAAAAAACAAAAAAAGGAAGAAGGAGAAAGGGUGCUAUUAAAUCAAAAGGAAACAAAGAAGAGGAUGAAAAGGAGGAGGCAGAGAUCAGGACUCCCAUUGUUGAUCGCCCUGUACGUGAGCGUAAAUCAGUUGAAAGGUUGGUGGCAUCUAUAGAAAGAUAUGCUGUGAAGGAAUUCCAUAUCGAGAAGGUAUUAUAUAUGCAUAUUUCUUUUCUAGACUGUUUAGUGUGCUUUCUAGGUAUUUGAGUCUACUUCUUUUUGUUGGAAACUGCAGGGUCGUGGUACUCCACUUAAAGAUAUACCCAAUGGUAUGUGCAAUUGGAAACCAUCUUCCACUUUGUUGUUGUGCUUCCCAUUUUGCUUUAUAUAAUUUCUCCAACAUGUUUAUGAUGGUCUAUUGUUUAUUUUGGUUUGGCAUUCCCUUUAUUUGUUGCUCAGAUUUCUUUUAAGAAUAAUUGUUAAGUCACCAUCUUUAGCAGAUCCAUUAUUUUUUCCUUUUUAUCAACCUAAAGAGAAAGGUUAUCUUUCUAAAUGUAUGAGGACAGUUUCUUUUCCCCUUAUUCAUUUUUUUUAGAUAUUUUUAUGCGUUAGAUUGUUUUCUGAAAUUACAACUGAAGUUAUGAGGCAGUGCAAACUACAAAAAUGUUCUGUUUCAAGUCACAAUUUGUCUUGCUUCUUGCAUAUGCUACUUAUUUACUGAUAGAUGAAUAACGAAUAAUAUAUAUACGUUAAUGCACUCUGAGAAAGAAGCCCUUUUGUUUUAGUGGCAUUCAAAUUAUCAAGGAAGAAGACAGAUGACAUCUUCAGGCUGCUUCAUACAAUUCUAUUUGGAAGGAGAGGAAAGGUAACUAAUGAUUUAGUGGUUUUCUCAUAGGUUAAUCAUCUAGUUCCAUGGUGAGUAAUUCCUGAAGGUACACAUGCAUGCUAUGAGCAGUACCAUUUGGUGUUUCUGAUGUUCUGGUUUACAACUUCUCAGUGAUGUACUUUAGGCGUACUUGCAUCUAAAUCUAUGUGACUUCCUUCUUUCCUACCUUUCCUCCAGGCAUUUCAGAUUAAGAGCAACAUAUCCAGGUUUUCAGGUUUUGUGUGGCAUGGAGAUGAGGUAAAAAAAUUGUAUGUGCUACCAGUAUGAAAUAUUUUUUUUAACUAGGAGCCAUCAGUAAUUAUCAGGAUUAGAAGUUUCAGUUUCUCAUUUUUUUUGUUUUCGUAAAAUAAGAUUUCUCAGGAAUUUUUUGUUGAUACAAAUUACAUCAUCUUUGCAGGAGAAACAAAAGAAUAAAAUCAAAGAAAAAUUUGACAAAUGUAAUAAAGAGAAAUUAUUGGAAUUUUGUGAUGUGCUAGAUAUUCCUGUUGUGAAGGCCACCACAAGGAAGGUAUGUCCAAUUAUCUUUGUUGCUGUACUUGCAUCCCAAGGGCUAGUCUGCAUUUGGGAUGGUUUUCUUCUGUACGAUGUUCGUAGAUAGUAUUGAGUGAAAAUUUCAAAUCUAAUAAGUCCUCAAAUCGUAAUAUUCAAACAUGAACAGUUUUUAAAUUUUGCAUCCUAAAAAUGAGGAUUUAAUUCAAAUGGGAUCCAUUGUUUUCUAAUAUCAUCUGCAGUCAUCACUUAUUGUUCAUAUACGGAACGUUUGUUCCAUAAUUAGCCUCGGUUAUUUAUUGAGUAGUCUAGGAAUUUCUUUCUAUUGGACCCAUGCUGUAAAGUGUAAAAGAAUCUUUCAGGAAAAGUGAUUUAGUGGGAGUGGUUUAGGUUAUGGUUCAAAGUUUGACAAUCACCAACCUUUUUUUUCUUCUCUUUUUCUUAAACCUUGCCGGUUACUAAGAUACUUGUAUGCCAAUUGAGUUGGGGGGGGGGUUAUACCAGGUCCUAGGAUCUGUAAGUUCAUUAUUCAACUAUUCACUAUACUUGGGCAUUAUGGCCUUUUGUAAUUAUCUGUUAGUUCUUAUCAUCUUAAAAUGGGGGUUUUAUUAUUUUUUAAAGGUUUAAUUGGGGUAUAGUUUGGGGUUGUUUUCUUAUUAAAAGACUAUUCACGUCUAUAAUUUCUUUAAUGACAACUGACAAGAACAACUUUGUUUUAUUAAGCAUGAGGCCAUCCAUGAAAAAAAUUGAAGAAAAAGAAAUUGAUCCAACUUUUACAGCUGACCAAUAAUGCUUUUAUUGAUUUAGUUUAAAAACAUUGCACAUUAACUCACUAAUUUAAAACUGUAGACUAAUGAAUAAACUCUAGAAUAAAUUAAAGUAAAUGAUUUCUUGUGUCAUUGCUAGAUGGAAAGAUUUUGUUGGCAUUGUUCUUAUAAAUGGUAUUUGGGGAAGGGAAUGUUGGGGAGAUUUUUAACAUUGAAACUCAGAAGGUCUUGUUUUCUUUUUCAAACAUAGAAUGCAUGUAUAGAAUAUAUUUUUUCCAUUGCAUAAGUUUGAUGUUAAUUUUUUAACUUGUUUCAGGAAGAUAUUAUUGGCAAGCUCAUAGAAUUUUUAAUAGCUCCUCAUUCUACAACUACUGUCCUCCUUGCUGAAAAAGAAAAGGUUUCACCCCUCCUGGUUGCAAAAGAACUUAAUCUUCGCAAUUGAAUGCUUCCUUUAUAUUUACUCAAGUCUGGAUCUAGUUCUUUAAUUUUCCUGUGGUUAAUCGCAGUCGAGCAAGGGUAAAAAGCGUAAACGAGCAGUGAAAGGAGGAAUAUCAACUCCUGGAGACAGUGGCUCAAAAAGUUCAGCAAAGGUGGCAUUCUUAUCUCUCUAAGAGUGCAGUUGGUGAAUUAUUUCUUGGCCUUGUUUAUACCAAAUUCCAAUCACACCUGCUCUGUCCAUUUCUGGAUCUAGGUUUUGUUUUAACACUUUCCUGUUAUGCCUUUGUCUUCCAUAGAAGGUAGAUAUAUCAAGUUCAGGUUAAUUGAUGGUGCAUUUUGUUUUUAUGAUGCUUGAGGAAAUUGUGAGUUAUGUUGGCUUCAUGAAAGGAUAUUUUCUUGUUCUUUUUUUUAUUGUUUUCCUAAAAGAAAACUAUUUGUUUUGGUCAGUGUCCUCGCAUUCCAAUAUUUAUGAAAAUUGUUGCCGUUAUGAAUUCUUAGGUCUCACUCUUCUAGAUUGGGGAUCCCUUUGUUAUGGAGUUUUUAAAUUAUUAUUAUUAUUUAUUAUUUAAUAUUUUCUUGGUGGUGGCGUUUUAAUGCCAUGGGACUUGUGAGUGAUGUAGAAUGUGUUGUGUGCGUGAAUGUGGGUCUCAUUUUGUAUUAGCAAACACAAUAAAGUCCUUUAGAUGCUUAUUGUUUCUAAACCAAAUAGAUGUCUGUUUAGGGAAGGGCAUACAAUAGGUCUUUAAGAGAGUACCUUUGACUGCCUCUGAGGAAAGACGGGAGAAUACUUGCCUCCUCGCACAGUGCUUGGAGUUCUGUCUUUUCUUAUCUAGUUUAUAUUGAUAAAAGAGGCCUCUCGACCUUUCUUUACUGACCACAACUCUAAAUCUUUAGUUUGGGAUAGUUGAUCUAGUAGUAAAAGAUUUCUGAUAGCUUAACUACGUUAUUUUAUUUCUGGGUUGACUCUAGAGUUGUAGAAAAAGGGGGAAUAGUGCAAGAUCUGAGAUGACAAAAGAUUCAAGCGAUGAAGAUGAUGAGUCAGAAGAAGAGAAGGAAGCAGAAGAAGAGAAGGAAGCAGAAGAAGAGAAGGAUGCAGAAGAAGACAAUGACAAGGAGAAUGAGAAUGAGAAUGGAACCACAGAAAAAUCUGAUGAUGAAGUGUCAGAGCAGCCAGAAAGUGAAGAUAUCAAUGACCCAACUGAUGAAUCUGAGGAAGAAAGACCCAGAUCAAGUACAAAAAGUUCAUCAAAAAGGAAACGAUCUGUGGGAAAAGCAAGAAGCAAGAAAGUUGCAGGUUCCAAUAAAUCUGAAUCAGCAAAAUCUUCAGCAAAGAAGUCAUCAGCAAGUCGUGCUAAGGUUGAUGAUAAUGAUGCUAGUCCAAAGGUAUUCUCUAGGAAGAAGAAUAGUGAGAAAGAGAGCAAGGCCUCUACACCAACAAAAUCUGCUAACAAGGAGAAACCUGGUAUCUUUCAUGUCUCAUUGCCUCUUCUUUUCUUUUUAUUUUGUUCCAUUUUUUGCCUGGGAUAUAUAAAUAAAAAAAAAUUGUUGCUUUUCAUUAUUAUUCUUCUGAAAUCCAAUUUUUUUUGUAUUAUAUAAUCUGUUUGGGACCCUAAAGAGAUUAUGGAGACUGCGAUCUACACUGCAUUAUUUAUUUAUACCCAUGGUCUAUGUUUUAGGGAAAAAGGUUGUGAAAGGGAAAGAUAAUAAGACCAAGGAGGAGAAAACAAGGCCAAGUGAUGAUGAGCUCAGGGAAGCAAUAUGUGAAAUUCUUAAAGUAGUUGACUUUACGACGGUAAGUAUCAAAUUUAUCCAUACCAAUCAACUAAGUUUAGCUGGCAAUCUCAUUUCUAUACUUGAUAGUUGUAAAUCUGCAUGGUUUUCUGGCUAUUGGAUUUCAUUCAUUCGCUUCUAUCGGUUAUAGAACUGCUAUCAUAUGUUUUCAAGUUUUAACAGUCACUUCAUCUCUUCUCAAGUGGAUGGUUGACGGUUGGGAUUAAAUAUAUGCAUAUCUGAGCUUUUAGAUUCUUUCUUCUGUUAAUGCCAACUGAUGAUAACUUUUAACAGUCGUAGUAGAGUACAUGCAUAUUCACUGGUUUGUAUUUAGUGUUCUGCAAUAAGCAGCACCAAAAGGCCUAAUGAUGCUUCCAAAAUGUGGUUGAUAAGGCAACAGUUGUUCUUGACAUUAGAUGAAUAGCCUAAUGUUUGGAGAAAGACAAGAAAAUGAGUUAGGGAUUGAAUACACAAUAGUUUCUAUAUGUUGGAAAAUGGCCUUCAUCUUACCUUAGGGACUAUUUGGCCUGCUUACUUCUUAAGUUGGUGUAAACAACUCAACUUCAGUAGUGUUACUAUUGAACUUGCAGUAUCAAGUAACUCAAUCUUCUCUUAUUUAUUUAUUUAUUAUUGUUUUUUCACAUUUAUCAAGGAAUUCAAUCUUUCCUUCCAUCUUGACUUUUCACAUUUACGAAAUAACUCCAUCUUAUUUUUUUAAUUUACUUUUUGCAAUUAUUGAGGAACUCAAUCUUUACAACUCUACACCUUAAACACAAACUUACUAACUCCAACAUAUUAACCCAUGGCUUAUUAUCUCCACCUAGUGGGCCAAAACCCCACCCCCAUAGUUUUUGUAACCCUGUUGAAAAAUAUUACAUUUCAUGCUUGCUUUGAAUGGCAGUGUCGGUCAAUUACCUUUUGCAAUUGCCAAAUGACUCGUUUGUUAUUUGUAUAAUGCAGGCCACCUUCACGGACAUUCUGAAGCAGCUUGGUACGUUUCUUACCUAUUAGCAUAUUUUGUGGUUUGUUGAGUUUACAAUUUACAUGUGCUGCUUUUCAUCCUCACGGGAGGUCUCGAUUGUUUAGCUUCUUGUUUGCCACCAAUUGAGAUAUCUAACAAUAAAUAGUACAAAUAAUUGGACUUUCUCUAGAGAAUCUCAAUAAAUCUGUUUGGUUUUGAAUUAUGUUUUGGAGAGUCGUUCUAAACUAAUACAUUUUUCUGAAAGAAAGCGAAAUGCAUUAAUUUUUAACACAGUAGCAUUUUUUUUGUUAAAAAAACAAUUCAUUUGAAGGAUGCUGAAAACCAUUUCCAACCACAUCCUACAACAAAAAUGGUAGCUCUAAUCUGCUUUUGGUAUCUCAGCUCGGCAAUUCAAGAUGGAUCUCACCACACAAAAGUCAUCGAUAAAACUCAUGAUCCAAGAAGAGCUGACAAAACUGGCAGACGAAGCAGAAGACGAAGAAGACGGAGGCGAUGCUGAGAAGGAUGGUAAACAGGGAGCAUCAGGUAAAGAGGUGGAAACUUGAGUCCAAGAGUGUUGGCCCUGGGAUUUGUCUAACAAUAUAUUGAAAAAUCCGUCAAAAAAUGAGUCAUGUUGUAAAGGUGGAUGUAAUUUAUUUGUUUUUAUGAUAAUCAUGUUUACUGCUAAUGAAAAGGUUAGUGUUUUUAUUAGAAAACAAGGUUAGUUGUUACUUUAUAUAGGUGUUGCAAAUAUUGCACCUUCUUUUUAUACUGACAUAUAAAAUCUGUUGGGAAUAAUAAUUCCAUGAAUAUAUAUACUGACCAUUAAGGAAGUGGAAGUGGAAGUGGAAGUGGAAGUGGAAGUGGAAGUGGAAGUGGAAGGGGUUGCUUAGCCUUCAGGUGGUUUUAGGCCUUGUAAAAUUAUUCCCUAUUUUCAUCUUUUUGGCUUUGCCAUGUUUUUAAAUGCUCUUCACUUCACUUUCUUGUUUUGCCCAUCUUUGUCCUCUUCAACACAUCUUCUUUCUUCAUUAUUUGAUUAGAGAGAUUGACUAUUGAUUUUCAAAAUCUACUUCACUAUUUUAUUCUUGAGUUUUGGCUUUGAUAGUACUUUUGUUUCUUCUAUGAGAAUGAAUACAGUUUGAGUUUUUUUUGUUGGUGCUAAUUAACACAAUCAUUUGGACUUGGUUUUAAAAAUAUACGUUUAAAUUUUUUUUGCUCAUCUUAUUUUACUUUGGUUUCGAAUUUUCAAGUUUUAACAGAUUGAUGAGAUUGCUUUGUUAACUUUUUGAAGGAUUGCAUUUAUAUUUGGAGGACUAAUUUAGGGUAUUCAUUUUUAAUCGAUUGGAGAACUUAAAAACUUAGUUGUGUUCAAGAUUUUGAUUGUCACUCUUUUGUGCACUAUCAAUGGAUAUUAUUUUUUAAAUAAAAAGAUUUUAGCAUCUCAAAGUUUGAGAUAUUUUGUUUUGAAGUGCUUUUUUAGGGCAUGUUAUUUAUUAUAAGAAUAUUUAUUUUAAAUUUUGUAAAGUUUAUUUUGUUUAUGUAAUGUACUUAUUUUGUUUCUCUCAUUUUGUUUUUAUCUAGCUAUAGGUGUUGCGUUUUAUUUUACUUUUAUGACAUUUGCUUUAAGAUUUUUUUCAAUAUUGCACUUACAACAAAAAAUUAUAAAAAUAGAUAUAAUUUCUUUCGCACGUAAUGCAUCAAUAAAUUUAUUGACACGAAAAACUUGCAUACAAAACGUUCAAAAUCAAUAUUGUAUUUACAAAAACUAAUGGAACCUAUUUUUGAUAAAAAUUUCAAAUUUUGGUAAAUUAAAAAUACGAACAUUUGUGUAUUUGACCUAUCAUAUGAAAUAUUCUUUUUAAAAAAUACAAGAGUACGUUUUUUUUUGAAAAAAAAAUCAAUAUUGCACUUACAACAUCAAUUUUAAAUAAAUAUAUAUAAUUUCUUUAGCACGUAACAUAUCAAUUAAUUUAUUGACCUGAAAAACUUGCAUACAAAAUGUUUAAAAUUGACAUUGUAUUUACGAAAACUUAGGGAACUUAUUUUUUUAAUUAAAAUUUCAAAUUUUGGCAAAUUAAAAAUAUGAAUAUUUGUUUAUUUGACUUACAAUACGAUUUUUUUUAAAAGAAAAAUACAAGAGUACAAAUCUUUUUCAAAUAAUAAUGAUUUUUUUCAUAAUCAUUUCCACCUAUUCCUUUCCCCAAAGAAGAACUAUCUCAAUCUCCCAUAUUUCUCGUAAGUAUUUUUUUUUCCAAAUAAGGAUUAUAAUAAUCAUUUCUUUUUCAUAAUUCUCAUUUUUCAUAUUCUUUUCCUCCUUAUUCCUUUCCUUCCUCCAAACACUCCCUAAGUACAUAAAACGUCAUAUUGCAUUUUGGGCCUAAUUUUUAGAUUAUGAUCGAGUACAAAUUUCCAUUGGUUCUUCCUUAAAUAUUAUGAUAUAACAAUAUUGGCUUAAAUAAAAUACUUUAUCAAUUUGAACAUGUUUGAAUGUACAAAUAACCAAAUACCAAAUCCCUCCACUCUUAUUAUACUUAAAAAAAAGUGUUAUAAAUAAGUUUGACACCACAAAAUAGGACAAAAAAUGUCGUCAAAAGACGGGUAAAAAUGAGUUUAAAAUAGAGUAGAGCUAACAAAUCGAUUAACUAAUCAAAACAUGCUCAAGGUUAGAAAAAACCACAUCCUAAUCUUCUAAAACUUCAACAUUCUUUCCCUCUUUAACUUAAAGAUGUCGAUGUAUGAAAUAAGAUCCUUCCUUUCAUCGACAAAAAAACAAAAAAAAAUCUCUACCAUUAUUGUGAAAUUACACUUUUUCUACAACUUACAUGAAUUUUGGAAUCAAACAUAAUGCAUUAUGUAUUGUUAUUAGUUGUUUUAGAUAGUAUUUUGUAAAAUAUAAAAGUAUAAAUAAGAUAAAAGAUAAACAUGUCCACUUAAAAGUAAUGGAGCACUUGAUUUCUAGUGACCAAUUAAAGGGAAGAAAAGCAAUAGUUAUUCAAAGUGGUGGGGAUCUAAGCAUAUAUGAUAUCAUUAUAUAUAAUAUAUAUACACACACACGCAUGACUUUCUUCAUCAUAUUUCAUAAUUAACAUUUUACAACUUUCCAAAUCUAUUCAACAACAAUGAUUAAUAAAAGAAAAAAUAAUUGCCUAUACAAAUCACAACAAUAUUAUAAUACCACCAAACAUGACCUAUUUUCAAAUGUAGCCAAAUGAAUAAAGUAGGUAGUUGUUUUUUCUUUUUUGUUAUAUUUUAAAGGAGGAGAACAAAUCUGCUCAAGUUUUAGCAUAUUUGACAUUUCUUCGUGGGGUGUUCUUUGAUCUAGAAAUAUGUUUUUCUAUAUAACAUUCUCUCACUCUUUUCAAUAAGGAGACGAAGAAGCUUGGUUGAAUGAUGUUAUUUUGUUUCUUUUCUUUUUUAAAAAAUAUACUAAAUUCAUCUCGUUAUAAUAUGAAAUCUAAAUUGAGGUAGACGAGUUAUUGACUAUAAUAUCUUAAUUAAAAGUCUACUUUGGUAGUGCCCUCAAUGUUGAGGACACUACACAUAACAACUCAUUCCACUUCCGCUUCCACUUCCGCUCCCAACUAAAGUAUGUAUAAUGUCCAUUUUCCAUAAUUCAUAAGUCAUAGUUUAUAUAAAAUAAAUUGUCCAUUUUAUAUUCGAAUUUCCUAUCUAUAACCCAUAAAUAGAAUUGUGAGGGUAGAGUUUUUUUUUUUUAUAAUCUCUUUUUAGUGAAUUUCGAAUUUUGAUCUUUAAUGGUAGAUGCAAUUCUUCAAAUCUAUCUAUGAUAUAUCAAGUAAAGUUGAAAAAAAGCUAGUUAUGCCCUACAAGACACGAAGAUCUGUUGGAGAUGAUUUAUACAUAAAUUGGUACAAUCAUCUUAGAUGUUUGUAAAAAAAAAAAAGUAAAUAUCUACAAUUUAUAAAAUUCUUUGUAGGUAUACGUUAAGAAAGAUUGAAUAGGUGUAAUUGUUACAAGGGCUAGUCAAAGUAGAAGUAUUUUAGGGUGUCAUUUGAAUAGGUAUUAUUUGAACAAUUUUCAUCUUUUUAUUGAUCACGAGUACAACUAAUUAUUUUGUAAGACAUCCCUUCUCAUGAAUGCUUUUAUUUUGUGUGUAAGCUAAUGUAUUGAAUUGCAUAAAAUAAAUAUAUAUCAUCUCACAAUCCAAGGUCAGAGCACAAUCAAGCACACAUAUAACCAAAGAAAAUAAGAGAACAACAAGAACGAACAAACAAAGAAACUAAAUACAUAAGAAAGACGUACACAACCUAAGUAAAAAGAUUUCAAGGAGGUCUCAACCUACUUUGGUCCUCUCGAUAGAAGUCUUGAGCCGCUAAAAAGACAACAAAGAAAAAUCACAUGAUGUCUUGUAAUAUGACCUUCAAACCAAAGAAGGUUACACCGAGUCACCAUGAGAUGCCUAAGGCACAAGGACUCUCAAGCGAUAGGGAGUCAAAUCACAUGAUCCACCCUUCUAUUGAUUAUACCUUUUCAAAAAAAUUUAACAAGCUCUUUAGAGCUAGAAAACCAAUUUCAAUUUCUAUUGAGAAAAUCACUAACCUACGUGAAUGAAAUUGAUCAAAUCCAAUAUAACAACAAUUCUAAUUAAACAACUGUCGAUUAUGCCCUCUUUCUAACCAAGGGUUCAAAAAUCAUCUUAAGAUGGAAUGAUGUAUCAUCAACACCAAGACAAAGAACUUGAGGCACUAAUCCCCCAAACACUCUCGUUGUGCUAUCUAUGGGGCUUGACCUUUGUGAGCUAUAAGGAUCUAGAACAAAUUAAUUUCGAACUCAUAACAUCUUCAUGAAUAGCUACAAUAUUACAAGAAGGAAUAUGACAGAUACACAUGCCACACCUACAUUACAGAUGACAAACAUUCAACUGAACAACGUUUGUCUUUUCAAUACUCUACAUCUUUUCUUUUUAGAGAUAAAGUGACAUAGAUAAUUUGAGUAUUCAAUAACAUUUUUUGGGUAAAACAAACACACUCGCUAUAUAAAUUUGAAAGCUCUAAAAUACAAAAUAAAUAAGUUAUAAUCUACAACAUCAUUCAAAGCUCUAGCUAUGACUAAUUCCUCACAUAGUAAUAACCAUUUCUAGUAGAGGGUCAAUUGUCAGUGUAUGAUAGUUUGUCCAAGAUAAAAAGCAAGCCAAAAUACCUUGUAGUGAGAGAAGCCAACGAAAAAUUCAUGAACAAUGAAAGCCUUUCAAACUUAUCUAGAGCAAUCCUAACACAAAACAACAAACUUUUUCCAUGAUUAGCAAUAAUAAGGUCAAAUAAUCGUUGAAAUUGACUUAAACCUAUAUGUAUAAAAGAGAGGGAAGCAUAGUCCCCAACACUAAAAAUUUAUUAAGUUAUCAAUAAAAGAAAGGUGAAUGAGCUAGACCUAAUGAUAACUAAAGGUGUGCAUGGUUCGGUUUAGUCUAAUUUUGAUCAAAAUCGACAACUGAAUUGAACUUAACAAUUUUGAAAUGUUUUAAGUGAAGAAUUGAAGUAGAAACCUUCCAAACGCCAUCAAGUAAGCAAUGAAGAAGAUGUCAACAAAAGAAGAAAAGCGAGGUGAGUGAGGGAGUGAUGAAUUAAUUCAUAGAGGUUGCAAAAUUAAGUUGCAAUGGAGAAAGAAAGAUGAAAUGGAGGCGUGGAGUGAGAGAGGUGAUGGCCAAAACUUUGAUAUUAUACAAGAACAUGUCAAAUUAUAAGACGGUAAAACGGUCAAAGACAGAAUAUCGUUCUCUGGAUAUUAGAUGCUCAAAUUUAACCUAACUACUCUCAAAUCCUUUGCCUUUUAUUUUGAACUAAAGAAAACAAAAAAAAUAUAGAAUGAAAUAUGUGUAAAAAAAUAUGUUUUAACUGUAAAAACUAUUAUCCCAAUUAUGUUAUUCAAGAACCAUAUAUUCUCACACAAUCCUAAUUAAUCCUCAAAAUCACUAAAAAGUUGAAACCAAAUUACGAAAAAUGACAAAAAGAAGAGAAAUAACCAAUAGUGGUACUCUACUUUAAUUAUUAACCUAACUAUAUUUGUAAGAUUGAGUAAAAUAUAUUUUGAUUUCCUUUCCUUUCAUAUUUUGUUCUAUAGUUUUAACCAAUUUGGAAAAAAGUUGAGUGAUUUCAAACAACAAUAAAGUGUUAAAAUAAAUCCUACUCCAGUAUUAGUCUUUAAAUCUUUAGGUAUAUUCAAUACAUAUUUAUUACACUAAUACAUAUAAAAUUUCAUUAUGAAUAUAUAUAUAUAUAGAUAUAGAUAUAAAGUUUUGGAAUCAAAGAUUAGGUUUUGCAUUGAGAUAUUGCAUUUUAAUUUGGUUAAAUUAAAUUUUGUUGUUCAAUGAUAGCAACUUGGCAACUCUCCCAUUCCCAUCCCCUUUACAAACAUCUCUCUAUCUCUCUCUCUCUCUCACACACACACACACACACAUUUCACUUCCACAUCCCCUAAUUUCACAAACCCUAAUUCCUCUUCCCCUCUUCCAUGGCGGACUCCGACAACGACUCCGGCGGUGGUUACCAGAAAUCCCCAUCUCCACGUGAACACGACAGACUCCUCCCGAUCGCCAACGUCGGCCGGAUCAUGAAGAAAGCUCUCCCUGGCAACGCCAAGAUCUCAAAAGACGCCAAAGAAACCGUUCAAGAAUGCGUCUCCGAGUUCAUCAGCUUCGUCACCGGUGAAGCAUCCGACAAGUGCCACAACGAGAAACGAAAAACAAUCAACGGCGACGAUUUGCUCUGGGCCAUGGCUACCUUAGGGUUCGAAGACUAUGUGGAUCCUCUCAAGCUUUAUCUCCAACGGUUUCGAGAAAUUGAAGGCGAGAGGACCACGCUUGCCUCACGUGACUCCGCCUCCUCCGCCGCAAACUCCGCCGCAGCUGGGAAUAGUGGGUUUUUCGACGGCGGUGGGGAAUUUGGGGGCGCGGGUGGGAGUGGGAUGGGGAUGGGAAUGACGACGACGAUGCCUCCAAAUGUUUAUGGUUCUAAUGGGCCGCGUUGGGAUGGGCCUGGGUUUAGUACUACCGGUCGGCCCAGGUAGAUGGGCCAUAUCCGCCCAUUGGGUUUUUAUUGGGCCGAGUACUAUAACACUUCUACUACAACAUUCAUUAUGACGGCGACGGGGUAUGCGAAAUCUCCGUUUUAUCCUCCGUAAAAUGAAGAUCGGUAGCUGAGGAAAGGUCAAGUCUUUUUUUCUUUUUCCUUUUUGUUUAAUUUUAUAAAAAAAUAUAUAGUGACGUAGAUAAAUAUUAUUAUUAUUAUUAAUAAUAAUAGAGCAUGAAUUUAAUAAUGUAUUUCCAUUUUAAUAAAUAUGCAUUUGAUAAUUUUUAUAACAAUUAUAAUUAUGUUUCAGUGUUUUCUCUUUUUUGUUGGUUUAUGUUUAAUUGAUGAUUUUCUUUUAACUUUCUGUCUUUGAGACUAAUUAUAAAUUUCAUUUUCUUAACUCUAAAUUAAUGCUUACCAUUUGUUAACUUUUAGAAUUAAGUCUAAAAUUAGGCUCCCAUUGGUUUUAAUGCUAUCUAACGUCCAAUGGUUACCUAUAAAAGAUUGUAAAAUUAAAACAUAUGUUAGGCUAUUGACAUUUCAAAUGAAUGUUUGAAAUUUUGGUAAAAUAUAUAUAUGUGUAAUUGAACAGUUGUACAAAAUGUAAAGCAAACAAAAAUAUUUAAGUGCAUCAUAUACUACUUUAACUCAAUCUAAUUUAUUUGCCACUAAAAUAUAGCCUUGCUAUUCAUUCCAAAUGUUACUUUUUGAAGCAAUUCAAUUCAACUUUGCAUUUUAGACAUAAAUUAUAGUUACUCUAUGUGCAUGUAAAACUAAUGUAAUCUAGUUUGAGUUAGAGAUAUAACUUUUUAGAAUACAUGGACUAAGGUUUAGUUUGGAAUGAUUGUGAUGACAAUUGUAUAUGUUGGUAUAAGCCUAGUCUUUGGUAAUUUUUAUUUUAAAUCUAGAAUUUAAAACUAUAUUAUAAUGUUUGGUAAAUGUUUAGUUAAAAUAUUAAGAUGAGGUAAGAGUAAUUGUAUUCAUGUAAACCUUGAUCAUCUUUCAUAAGUAAAUUCAUUCAACUUUGAAUAGAUUAAUUAUUCUCAUCCUCGUACGAGAAAGAUGGUAGUAUAUUUGACUUUUAUGUGAUGAUAAAGGUAAAUUUGAAAUUUGGAAAAGAAAACUUGAAAACAAGAAAAAUGACUCUCAUGCUAAGAAAACUUUAUAGUGAAAAAGAUGAUAGAAGUUUAAGGUUACUUCAUAUGCGAAAUCUACUAUCGAAGAUAUGAGUUUUUCAUUUUAUCUUUUUCUUAUUUUUGGCUUAUUUUAAUGUAUCAUGUCCAAAUCAAAAGGAAAAAGAAAAAAACAUAAAAGUUGUAUUAAAAUUAAUAUUUGGAUUUUUUUUAUAAAAAAUGUAAUUCACUUUUUUUUUCUUUUUUGUGAUGGGUGAUUAUUUGUUGUAUCAUUGCAAUUAUUGCACCAUCUUUCUUUCUCUUUUUAAAAAGGUAAUCCAUUAUUAUACAUUCGAUGUAGGUUUUUGGGGGAGCGAAAAAAAAACAAAUGUUUAUUAGUUAUAUGAUUCACUCAUCAAUUUCAUAUAUAACUUUCAAAUUCCUUUUUAUCCAAUUUCAUAUAAAAUAAUACUUUGAAUGUGUGUUGAACGAAAAAAUUUGUAUCAAUCACGAAGUUUCACGUCAUUUAUCAUGUUAAUGGCUAAAAAUACAAAUAAUUGAAUUUAAAAUCAAAUAAAAGUUAACAUGGAUUCCAAAUUGAAAUUUGAAAUAUAAAUGAACCAAUUUUAAUGAUGUCGUGUUUUCACAAGGACAUCGUGAAGAAUGAAGUUCCAAAUUUUUUUACGAAGAUGUAAGUUUUCUUCCAAGACUUAAGGAGAUCAUAUGUUCUAUUUUCUUAAAUCAAGCAUAGACAUUUACACAAAGAGAGAAUUAGAAAGUCAAAUAAUAGAGAACGAAUCACUUCACAUCAUAAUUAACAUCAACACAAAUUCAACGACAAGAAACACGUUUCUCAAAAACGUUAUAGGACGAAUACUUGUAUGGGUAGUGUAGCCCAUGUAAGGAAGGAAGUAGUGAUUUAGAAUGAGUUAAAAAUGCAUUUAUAUAUUUAUGGAUUGAGUUGGUUUUUGAGAGAGAAUCACAUGGGCAAAGCACAAAACACCAAACAUUCCUUCAUUUAAUAUUUAAAAGAACCGACAGGUGUUCACGAGCCUCCCUUUCUUUUUUCUUUUUUCUUUUUCUUUUAUAAUAAUAAUCAAAUGUGACCGUCUCUACCAGUUUUCCUCUGCCAUCUAACGACUACUUUACCCGUGCUAGCCGGUCCCAUCUCCCCCAACGGUCACCUUUUCCUUUCCGUCCUCUUUCUUCACACCUAUUAACCUUCACUAUAUAUAUAUAUAUCUUCACCAUUCACUAACAAAUUCAUUUCCAAUUCCGGUCCCAUUUUUGACUUCAUAUUUCGGACCGCCGGUCUAAAACACAGAGAGAAAUCCCCCUCCCCCCCUCAAUAGCAUGGCCAAGUUUGCUUUGUUUAUUACUCUUCUCUUUUUGUUUUCGCCAUUUAUUGGCCUCGUUUUCGCUAACGAUUCCCCUGCCGCCUCCCCAAAACCUCCUAAAACGCUUCAUUCUCCUUCUCCGGCGCAUUCUCCGGUUGUUUCGCCGCCGAGUCACACUGUAUCUCCGUCUAAAUCUCCGGCUGCUUCUCCACCGGUCGUAACUCCGGUAAUUUCUCCGGCAUUGGCUACCCCACCAUCUGUAGCGCCCUCGAAGGCUCCGGCAGCGGUACCUAUUUCUUCGCCGAGUGAAAAUUCUCCGCUUUCGUCGCCGCCGUCUCCUCUCCCUUUCGAUGCUUCUCCGGUUGGGGCUCCAGUGGAACCAGAAAUCCCGGCAAAUCCGAUUUCUGGAGGGUCUCCCGUGGGGACGCCGUCGAUAUUUCCGUCGAGCAGUAGCCCACCGAUGGCUACUCCGACAAGCUUAGCACCGGAAACGGCGGAGAGGCCUGGAAACGACGCGUCGGCGUCAGGAAAGUACAAGAUCGGGGUGGAGGUUAUUUUGAGUGGGCUUUCUAUUUGGGCUGCUUGGGCCUUUUGAAAUUAGGCCCAUGUGUUUAAAUUUUGGUGGUAGGUGUUUUUGAGAUUAUAUUGUAUUCUUUUUUGACUCAACGUGUGGGGUUCUUCUUUUUAUUCAAUUUUCUUAUAUGAAUAUAAUGUUUUUGGUAUAUUUAGGGUUAUUAAAUUAAUAAUAGUUAAACUAAAUUGCUUGAAAUAUUCAAUCGAUUGAAGUAGAAACAAAAUUUCCUCUAUCCUAAACUAGGGUUAGGGUGGUAGUUAUAGUUAUACUUCAAACUUGCCUAAUAAGUUUAAUGAUUCAAACUUACCUAAUAGGUGGAAUGCAUAGUGACAGAGUUAUACCUAAAAUAUUAUUGAAAAAGAGAACAUAAUUGAUAAAAGGAAAUAAAAAUGGAUGAUGAAUAUUUAUAGUAUGGGUUGAGGAGAAAAUAUCUAGAAACACCAUGGGCAUACUGUUUCGUUGAGAAUGAGUGAGUAGUUGAGAGAAUAAGGCAAAAAAAUGGUACUCGUGGAUUGAGAUGCGGCCAAUCAUCCAAAUUAUACACAUCACCUUUCAUAGAUACUUUCUCUUCUUAUCCAUCUUUCUGGGAUAACUCAUGCCAACUAAGAUACGACGAUAAAGAGUCUAUGUCAAUUAUUGCUAAUUUAAAUAAUUUUUUAGUUUUAUUCUAUUUUUCUAUAAUAUAUAUUAGUAUAUUUUUGAAAAAAAUGUGUACGGUCUCUAUUGAUUAUUUGACACAUCAUUAUAAAUAUUAAAUAUCCAUAUGUCCAAAACAACGUAAAAAAAUAUAUUACAUCUAGUCUUUUGCAACGAAAGGUUUACUACGAUAAAGAUGACAAGAAAUAACCGUUGAACAUGCACUUGACAAAACUCUCCCUUGCAAACACCCACAAGUUAAAAAAGAACUCUUCAUCCCUUCUUAUAUUUCCCUAUUUUGAAAAUUAACCUCCAUAUCAUAAACUUACUUAUUGGUUAAGUAAAAUAUUAAAUGUAAUUAACCUCCCUCUCUUUUGUGUUUCUAAGUCAUUAACCCCUUUUCCCUUCACUUCUAGACUUGACACAAUCUUUAAUAAAAUCACAACACACCUUCCAUCAUAAAUGUUGAAUUUCAAGUAAAUUCCAUAGAAUCAAGUAGAUUUAAUUAUAUUGUAGAAGGUUUCUUUUUGUUUAAAUAAAACAAGAUUUUACAUAAUUACAAUUCCAAAUUCCAAAUUGAAUAUUUUUUAUGGUUGUUUUAAAAAUAGAAAAAAGCGAUGUUCUAUUUUUGAUAAUUUUCUUUUUCUUUUUUGUGUGUUUCAUGAAGAGAUGAUCGUUUCUUGUUAUUUGUCAGUUAAUGGUUCAUUUGGAAAAUUGAUGGGUUUUUUUCUCUCUUCCUAACGAACUUCCAUGUUGAAGUUGUCAUACUACAUCAGUUCCAUGAUUUUCAUUUCUUCAAUCAAUUCUUCCAUUUCUUCCAACAAUUCUUGCAUUUCUCUUCCUUCCUCAUCGCUAUGGCCGAAACUGCUGCUCUCCUUUCCCGGUAUCCUCAACUGGGUAGCUGUUUUUCCAAGCAAGUUAGGUUUCAGAAGAUUAAUAAUCUUCAUUCUUUUUCAACUACUCCAUUCUUUAGCAACCAUUUUCUUGAUCGACGCCUAUUCACUUCCUCCAACAACAAUUGCAUUAUCAGGUAUUAUAUUCUUGCAUUUUUGGACCCGGAUUCUGUAAGUGAGAGGAGGGGAAUUUUAUGAUGAAAUGGUUGGAGUUUCUUUCUGUUUAUCACUUGCAUUCUUUCUUUGCGUUUCUUGAGUCAAAUUACUGUUGCUGAGAAAAAUGAAGGGAUAUAGAUGUACAAAUUGUGCUUCGUUUUUUGUGUUUGGGGAAGAUUUCUUUACUAUUCAUGUUUAAGUACUUACUUGACGUUGAUUCUUGCUAUUUGACUUCUUGUUACUGACUUUUCGUAGUUUAAGUUAGUUCGAUUGUUAAUAGUUGCUUGGUUAGAAUGAACGUAAUACUGUUCACUAGUAUUCUCAAAGAAAUUCAUGAUCCCAUCGAAGCAAAGAACAUGGUCAUCGUUGUAUGAGAUUUUUAAUAGGGAUAUCUUGAUCUCUAUUUCUACAUUGGUUCUCUCUAUUGUACUUGAAUGGACUUAUCUAAUCAUGGGUGUUUUUCAGCAUGGAUGCCCGAGAGAAAUCGAGUCGAAAAAUAGUCAACUCCAAACGACAUAAAAUAGUUCCAGUGUAUGUGAUGCUGCCUGUUGAUAUUUUCGAAAGAGGUCCCUCUGGGAUUGUGACACUUACGAAGUAAGCCAUUGUAUUGUUAGUCACUAUCUCAUCUGUUAUAUUGCUUUGUGGAUUUGCAAAUACGUACCAUGUUUAAAUCUGGCGAUAAGUUGAGUUUAUAAUUGAGUUUAGUUUGUAUUCGGUAGGCAUAAAUAUAAAUAAACCGUGUUGAUGUUUCAGGUUUUUGGGUCUUUGUGAAAUAGUUAAUAUGUCUCUCACUUUUUGCUUUAGAAUGAAGGCCGUAAGGGCGUCUCUGAGGGCACUCAAGCUUGCUGGUGUACAUGGAGUAGCGGUUGAGGUUUGGUGGGGGGUUGUAGAAUGUUUCUCUCCGAUGAUAUAUGAUUGGUCGCUCUAUGAAGCACUUUUUAGAUUGAUAUCCGAGGCAGGAUUGAAGUUGCAUGCUGCCUUGUCAUUUCAUUCAGACACGCGCUGGACAGUUAAAGGGAAAGAGGGUGUGAGUCUUCCGCUGUGGAUAAUGGAGGUUGGUUCUUCUAUGCCGGGACUUUUUUUAAUAGAAAGUUUAAAACAGCGUAGAUUUUCUGGUGAUCUUCACACUAUAAGGAUUAACUUUUAUAAUCUCAAAGCUGUUUUUCUUCAAUUUGAUCUUGUUCUACUAUCAUUGUGCUGAAAGUUCGAUUGAUGCUGUAAUCCAACAACCUCUUUUGGAAUGAGAUCAUAUCUUUACCUCUGAUUUGUGGUUUUGGAAAUUCAAUUAUGCUGAAUAUUUUUUCUGCCAGAUUGGUGCUCGCAACAAACAUAUAUACUAUCAAGAUCAAAAGGGAAUGACCAAUGGUGAUUACCUUACUCUUGGAGUCGAUCAUUUGCCUGUUUUAUAUACACGAUCUGCCCUCCAGUGCUAUGAAGACUUCAUAUUCAACUUUGUUAAGAAUUUUGGUCACUCAAUUGGAGACUUGAUACAGGAAAUAAGCAUUGGUCUUGGCCCUUCUGGAGAGCUUAGGUACUUCUACAAUUAUUGAUAUUUAAACGGGAAAUUCAAAGGUGUUGCUUGAGGUCUUACAUGGAGGGACCUUUUACAGGUAUCCUGCACAUCCUUUUGCUGAUGGAAGAUGGAUGUUUCCAGGGAUUGGCGAGUUUCAGUGCUAUGACAAAUACAUGUAAGUCCGAAGCUUUUCAUUUUUCAUGAUUUUCAACUAAUGUAGUCAAUCGUCAUCUUCAGUUCACUUAUGAUUUAUGAAGAGGUUGCUCUUGUUUCAGGUUGGCUGACUUGAAAAUAGCUGCAGACCAAAUAGGCAAGCCUCAGUGGGGGAACCGAGGCCCCCAAAAUGCUGGUGACUACAAUAGCUCCCCUUCUGGGGCUCCUUUCUUCGAAGGGGGAGAGGGAAGCUUUCUCUCUGAAUAUGGACAUUUUUUUCUUGUACGCAUCACAACCUUACAAUAAAUGCCUCCAAACUUUUCUUGUUAGAACUUCCUCACUAAUGAAAAGCUUAUUUAAAAGCAUGAAACCAUUGCCUUUAUCGAACAGGAAAAUAUCAAUGUUCACAUUCUAUCCGGCUGCUAAACAAUCGAUUUCUUUGCCAACUGGAUUAUAUUCCUUCAAUCUGUUAUUUACCAACUGGAUUUUAUUUCUCGAGUAUUUGAGGGCUUAUAUGGCAGAAUUUUUUUUUGUAGAAUUGGUAUAGUGGGAGAUUGAUUGAACAUGCCGAUGCUAUUCUUGGGAAGGCAGCUCAAAUAUUGAAGAGGUAUCUACAAAAGGAUCAUCCUUCAGUUACAUUAGUGGCUAAGCUUGGUGGUAUAUACUGGUGGUACAAGACAUUUUCUCAUCCUGCAGAACUUACUGCUGGUUACUACAAUACUGAAACCAGGGACGGUUACGAUUCUGUAACUUCGAUGUUGUCCCGUCAUGGCGCUGCUUUACACUUCCCGUAAAAUUCUGUACUCUUCGAUGUUCAUAUCAAUCAGCAUGUUCUGUUUCUCUUAUAGAUUGUACGUUCAUGUUUUUCAUUGCAGCUGCUUAGAAAUGGUGGACGACGAAACACCCUCACUAUAUGACUGUAGUCCAGAGCGUUUGUUCAAACAGGUUGGUGUCUAAAAUCACUGAUUUACUCAAAAAACCAAAGCGCACUAAUGAGCGAAAACAAAUUUACUAUCAUAAUAUCAUCUAAUAGAAUGUUUUUUUUUUUCUUCUUUUUUCCAACUUAGAUUGUGGACGCAUCAAAACAGAACUUUGUUCAUUUGAUAGGAAGGAACACAAACGAAAGGUUUGACAAGGUAAAUGGAGUUUAAUUUGUUCAUUUUGGGAUUGAGUUUAGUUUUAUGAUAUAUUAUGAUGAAUUUUGAUUGAAUGCAGGAUGGGUUCUGGCAAAUUCAUGCCAAUUGUUGUCAUCCAGGAAACGAUGCUGUUAAAUCCUUCACUUUUUUCAGAUUGACUAAGCAGUUUUUUUGGCAUGAAAAUUGGAUCAACUUUGUUCCCUUUAUCAAAAUGAUGAGCACUAAUAGCUACUGAAUUGUUCAAAACUACACUUCUUUUUUGCUGAAACAUAAGUUCAAACAAUUCUUUACAAUAAGAUUGUUAAUACCUGAUCAGUAAACAUCUAUCUUAUAGUUGGCCUUUUCAACUCUCAAAUAAAAACAAUAAUAAUGAAAAAUUGUUUCUUAUUAAAGUAUGGAAAUUAAAUUAUUACAUUUAUAAUAUUUUUAAAAUGUAAAUGUUUAGAAAUUAAAGUUCAUGAACUCUAGCAAAAUUUAAUUUUUUAAGAUAUUAUUGUAUCGACACGCUAAUAUAUCUUAGUAAAUGUUGAGUUAUAAGUUUGGUUUAAUUUUAUUUUCUUCUCAAAGUAAGGUUAAUAAAAUUUUAUUUUCAAAAUAAUGUUGAUCGGUUACUUUUAAAUGUAUUGUUAAAUAACUUUUAAUUGAUAUUUAUCCUUAAAAUUUUAUGAUUAAUGCACCGCUUUUACAAACUAUUAUAUAUAAUUUAACCGUUCAAUUUAUAACUUGGAGGACAGAUGUCAAAUUAUAUCGCUAUAAAUUUCAAACUAAUAACUUUUAUUGUAAGACUUUGCGAGUUUAUCUAAAUAAAACACAAAAGAGGGCUUCAAUUGACACCAUUAUAAAAUUUUAGGAUUUAAAUAAACACCGUUAUAAAUUUUCAAUGUUUAAAUUGAUAUAAGAGUAAAAUGCACCUUUGGUCCUUGAGAUUUGAAGUUUAAAGUCUAUUUUGUUCUUAAAGUUUCAAAACACAUUUUGGUCGUCCUUACAUUUUCUAAAUUUUUCAAAAUAGUAUCUGAAUUAAUCUUGAUUUAACAAAUGCUUACAAGACCGUUAAAUGUUGACUUGACGUUGGUUAUAUUUGAUGAUACUUAAAAAACUUAUCCUCAAGUUUGAGUGACCAUGAAAAAUGGAGGGAGAUCGAGUGAUAUUUAUUAUUUAUGACGUUUUGAAGCUAUUAAGAGGAGUUAUUAGUUUAAUAGAUACUUUUUGUAUGGAGGGUUGAAAUUAUAGAUAUUUAUUUGUGUUUAAAGAAAAGGAAAUGGUAUAAAAACGAAGAGAGGCUCCAAAAUCAACACGAUUGGAUUUCAAAAUCCUUUUCUUCACAACUUCAAUGGCGUUUCUUAUCUUAAAUCUCUCUCCCAAAACCCCCCAUUCUCCCUUCUUCCCCUCUCUCUCAAACCCCAAAACAACCACUCUCAAUUUCACCACCACUCUCCCACGCCGAUGGCUAGCCCGACCACGCAUCCUCACCGUCCGGUCCACCGGCGACGACAACAACAACAACUCUGCCGAUGCCCCCGACCGCCUCAUCUCCGCCAUCUGCUACUUCUACCCCUUCUUCGACGGCGUCCAGUACGGCAAGUACGUUAUCACUCAGUACACUCCAUUUCAGGUUCUGAUUCAACCUUUAGUUCCGGCGAUUCGUGUUUUCAAGAGCUUUCCAUUGAAUAGCUUUUUGGUGUUUUUAACUCUUUACUUCGUCGUGGUUAGAAACCCUAAUUUCAGUCGGUAUGUUAGAUUCAAUAUUAUGCAAGCCAUUGUUCUCGACGUGCUUCUGAUUUUCCCUGAUCUUUUGGAGAGGAGCUUUAAUCCUAGAGGGGGACUAGGGUUGGAUUUAGUGAUGAGUUUGGAUAGUACUGUGUUCUUGUUUCUUUUGAUUUGUUUGAUUUAUGGGUCUUCUUCUUGCUUGUUGGGUCAGAUCCCUAGAUUGCCCAUUGUUGCUGAUGCUGCUGAUAGACAAGUUAUGUGAAUUCUUUUUUUCUUCACUUCUUCGAAAAUGGAUCAGUUUCAUUAUUGUCGUUCUUGCUGAUUUUGUUGGGGGGGGAAUUUGGAUGGGAAUACUCAAAUUGUUCUUCAUUUGGGGGAAACCUAGUUGUAGAUUAAUUACGUGUUUCCAAAUUUCUACACACUUGUGAGGAUGAAAUAGUUAAAGAAAAAUCCAAGUUAGAAAUGAUCUUCAAUGUUCAUUGUCCAUUUUUCUGUUGUUAGUUUGUUCUUGAAUCUCUUCCCAUGUUAAUAAAAAAAGAUAAAUAAUAAAUAAGUGAAAAAGUGCAGAAAAUUAAUUUAUUUUUUUAACCAUUUAUGUUAGGAGGAGCUUAUACAUAAAUCAACUAAUCUCACUGGUACAACAACGCACAUUAAUCCCACAACCUAAACUUAGGAAUCAACCAACGUCAAUAUAUUUGAAUUUGUAUCUAUUAAAAUCUCAAUCAGAGUAGAACCACUCUACCAAAGAUAAAGAAAAUUAAUUAUUUAAUAUAUAUUGUAAUUUGACCCUUCAAAACUAAUAUUAAAAUAUAAAAAUUGAAAAUGUGAGAGAUACGGUCCAUGCCCAUUAAUAGAUUUGUCCAUGAUUAGUUAAAUGUUUAAAUUGACCUAAUCUAAAAUUUUAGGUUUUUUAGAAUCUAUCAAUCAUUAGUAUAGGCAUAAGGGGUUCACUCUCCUCAACUUGAUUGUUUUUAUAUAGGAAUGAUUGCAAAUUUAGCAAUUAAAUUCAAAAUAAUUAAGUAUAUAGCAACAUUUUAAAAAAUUGCAAAUAUAGCAAAAUUUGUCAAAUUCUAUCAAUGAUAGAGUCUAUCACUGAUAGAUCAUGUUGUAAAAAUUGGUCUUUCACCGAUAGAUCAUACGAGUCUAUCAACGAUAGUUUUGCUAUAUUUGCAAUUUUUUAAAAAUGUUAUAUCCUUAAUUAUUAUUCCUUAAAUGGUCAUCAAUUACAAUUAUCCUUUUAUAUAAUAUGUAUAAACAGAACCAAUUAAUAUUUAAUAUUUGUAUUAACUAUAGUCUCCAAUUUUACACUUUUAACCAUAUGUCCAAUCCUAAAAUUUAGGAUGUAAAUUGGACCGAAGUAGAUGAACUAAUUUUCGUAUCAUGGAAACUCAUCAACUUAUUUAGCAUAGAGGAGACUUAAGCUCUUUCAACUUUAUGCUCUUUAUAUUAUAUAUAAAAGAAACUAAAAGUGAUAUUAGCUAACCAUCAUUCGAUCAUUUUACACUCGAAUUUAAAUUUUACCUUCGAUCUUUACACCCAAAUUUAAAUUUCACAUGUUCAUCAUUAAACAGAGGAUUAAUUUAAUUAAAUUUUUUGAAGAUGUAUUAACUAUUAACUAAACAAACACCACCUGAGAUCCAAAUGUAGUUUAAAAGAAAAAAUUAUAUGGAAAAGUCAACUAAAAAAGAAAACAAAUUUGAAUCAUUUUGGUGGGAUUUAAAUUGAGUAUCUUAUACUUAUGAUGUUUUCUCUCUCUCUUAAAUCAUUUCCAUUGUAAAGCAAAGGAGGGAGUGAUUUCCAAAGCCACAUGGGACCUUGGGUUAUUCAUUCUCUCUUCUUCAUAUAUUUUCUUUCACUUUUACGGGUGAGCGGAUCCCUUAAAAGGUUAGGAUGCUCUUCACAUUCUCAACUUUUAUAUUUUAAUACUAAUUUUAAUUUUUGAUUAAAAUUAAAAUUUAGGAAUUUGUAUGAAAGAUCGUAAGUAUUCAUAAUUAUUAAUUAACUGAGAGUAAUGGAAUAAAAAUUUGAAGAGUAUAAAGCAGAAUAGGCAUAAUUAGUAGUAUUAAUUAUAUCCCAUUGCAUGAGGAUCCAUUCAUUAAGAUCUCUUCCAUUAUUACUCCAUAUAGCUUAGCUUCCACUUCACUUUAGUUUCCACAUGUUCCUCACCAUUUCCCAAAUCCUACAAACAAAAACCUCUUUUCCUCAUUUUCAUCUCAUUUUCUCUAAACCCUAAAAAUGAAUCUUCUCUUCCUCUUCCUCCUCCUCCUCUUCUUCCCAUCUCUCUUCAUUGCCCAAACCACCACCAAUUCUCCUGCCCCAGCCCCGACUACACUGGCUCUCGACUCCACCCAACUCAAUCUCACGCAUAUCCUCUCCACCCAUGGUUGCUCUGCAUUUGCCCUAUCCCUCCUAAGUUCCACAUCGGCGGAGAAAGCCUUCAACGACGUAGUCGAGGGUGGCUUUACCGUUUUCUGCCCAAACGAUGAUGUUUGGAGCGAGUUUUCACCUAAGUUCAAAAACCUAACUCCACCCGCUAAAACCUCCCUCCUUGAAUUCCAUGGUGUCCCAAUUUACAUGCCGUUGCCGGUUCUGAAGUCGAAUAACGGUGACACCAAUACGCUGGCCACCGACGGUGCUGCUAGAUUCGACUUCACGGUACAGAACGAGGGUGAGGAUGUGACUGUUAAAACCAGCAUUACGACGGCUAAGGUGGAUGGGGCUGGUGUUUUUGAUGAGGAUCCAUUGGUUGUUUAUUUGAUAGAUAAAGUUUUGGAGCCGGAAGAGUUGUUUACUGCGGACGUAAUGGCUCCGCCAAAGGGGGGAUCGGAUGUGGGAGCGGCUCCAUCGUCGGAUUCACCGGCAGAAUCUCCGGAAGAAUCUGUGGCGGAUCAAAAUGCUGAUGGCAACUCUGGGGUUAGAGUGGAGGGUGGAGAUCAGUUUCAUUUCAUGGCUGUAGCUUUAUGUGCAUGGAUGGGAUUUUCACUGCUGUAAUUUUUUUCUUUUUUACUCUUACCAAAUUGGAUCAUCCCCUUUGAUUAUCUUGCAAUGAAGAUUUAUCUUUUAUCUACUAAAUAGUCAUUUCUAUCAAAUUUUCUCAUACAAAUUUUAGUAUUUUUGUCAAAGUUUUUAGACUAUAUUUUAAAUUCAUUCCAUUUUAGUCCAAAUAUUUUUAAUGGUUCAAUUUUAAUUUUUUCCCUUUUACUUUAUUGCAAUUGAUUUAAUAAUAACAAUAAUUUUUUUUAUAGUUAACAUGUGAAUGUAUUUUCAAAAUUUUAGCAAAUGCUUUGGUACAUAAAUUUUCUUUUUAAACAUCAAUAGCAAAUUGUAUUAUAUAUAUGUAUUAGAUAAUUAAGUUUGUUUUGUAAAAUUAUCUUUUGCAAACAUAAUCGAAAACACAUGAAUAAUACAAUAAUACUUAUACAACUUUUAAGUCCACUUCCACUCAUUACAUAAACAUAAUACUACUUUUAAAACAACACACUCAUUUUUUUUCUUCUAAAUCUAUAUUAAUUAUUAACAUGCUAAAAAAACAUGUCAACCAUAAUUAUUCAUCAUCAUUCUUUUGUUCAGAGUGUAGAGGACGGGACUAAUUCCUGAUUUGGUUGAGUUGACAAUCCAAAAUAUCGAAUAAAAUAGUUAAGUUAUAACUUAUUUAUUCUUAUUAGUUUUAAAUAAGUUAAGUUUAUGGAUAACUUAUGAUUAAUAACCAAAAUUUUAUUAAAUUUGAAUAUAAAAUACCAAAUAUUUAAUACAAAUUUUAAGCAAAAAAGACAAAUAUCAUAACCAUUUUAAAAGAAAAUAUUAAAUAUUUUUGAAUUAAUCAAUUAGCAAAACUUUAAACGAAGAAAAAUGUACGUGUACAUAGAAAAAAUUUAUUAAUCCAACUCAACAACAAAACUAACCUAUCUCAACUCUUGUAUUUUGGAUUGGAUUGUUCGAAUUGUUGUAGUAGAUGUUUUAAUACUAUGAAAAGGUAAAUGAAAUUACCAUUUUUACAAGAAAAAAAAGGAAAAGAAAAGAAAAGACGAACAAAAAAGAAAAGGUUUGUUACAAAAUUUAGCUAGAGUGAUAGGGCAAGAGACAACUAGAAGAAGUGAAAAUCUUAGUAGAGAAGAAAAAAGGAAAAGCAAUUCUCGAAGUAGCGACGAGUGAAAUGAAAGUAGCUUAGACGAGGGAAAUGAGAGUAGUUUAGGUCGUAAAAUCGGCUACUAUAAUAUAUCAUUUGUCAAUCACUAACAAAUUUUAUAUAUGUGUAAAUAUUCAAUUUUGUAAUUUAAAACUAUUUUUUCUUAUAUUAUUUUUAUAACAUAAUAAAAACUAAAUGAGAAUUGAAGGUGACUAUUAGGAUACAAUUAUGUGAACUUUUCCAAUCCAAUUUGAUAUAUAAUUUUUUGCAAUUUGAUGAAAAAAAGCCAAAGAAAAAUCCAUUUUCGGGUGUUUGAUUUGUUCAGCAAGAAGUGUUAAGAACGAGAAGGAAAACGGCAAAAGUUCAACCGGAGCAAUGGAGGAAUCUCAGGAAAUUCUUCUCAAUUCUCUCCAAAAAUCAGGUGUUUCAAUCCCAACAGACCUUUCCUCGAUUCGGAACUUAUCCCCUCCCAUAUUCUUCUCCAUCUGUGCUCAAGUUUUGAAUCGAAUACAUCCCCAAACUAAAACCCCCUUCUCCACUUCUCUUCCGGACUCUGUCGCCGAUCAAUUCAAGGUAUCUUCUGAAAUCGCUUCCGCCAUUAAGGAUCUGGGUUUCAUCGGAGAUAUUAGCUUCCACAAGGUAUCCCACUACUUCCUUUUUUUCACCAACUAAUUUUGUUGCUGUUUAUAUUUGGUUCGUUUAUCAAUUUACUCAGCUCUGAUUUUGGUACAUUUUCCAUGUUAGCAUUCUAUUUCUGUUCAUGGUGAUCGUAGUGCAGCUUAAAUUUUAAGGAGAGUGAUAAAUUUAUAAUCUAAACUUCGUAUUGUACCUCUUGGACAUUAUUAGCAAAAGUUAAGGCACCCCAUUUGAUGAUCAUUUUGUUUUUGGUUUCAAUUAUGCUUGUUUUCUCAUCCUAAACAUGUUGGAUUUUCAAGAACUAAAUCAAGAUUAUACAAACUAGUUUUUUUAGUUUUGAAAAUUUGGGGUGGUUUUGAAAACGGUUUUAAAAAGUAAGUGAUAAAGCAAAAAAACUGUAUGUGGAAGUAGUGAAUCUGAGGUUAAUAGACUUUUUUGGAAUUGUACUUAGAAACAGACUACAUGUGUUGCUUACAACAGUUCUUGUAUCCAUCUGAAGAGGACUUGUACAAGCUGAUAAGAUUCUUGGUGGAGAGGCUUCCUGAAGCUUCAGAUGGAAAAUUUAAGGUUUUGGAAGAUGGUGAUGGUAGGAAAGAAACAAAAGCCGACACUUCGAAAUGCUACUAUGUGGAGAACCAAUCAAACAAGAUCGAUACUGACGAUUCCGUUUCUACCCAUCAGAAGGUUGAGAACAAACUUGCUGAUCUCAAUAUUGUUGCUGAAGAGACAAAAUCUCCAGAUUCCAUCGUUGAUAGAUUCUCUGAUUUCCAUCUCGACCGAAAAAGUUCGGGUGAAGCAGCUAUGGUCGACAAUCUUGUUAACGCUUCCAAGGAUCAGUCUGAGGUGUCUGGAAAUGAAUCAGUUGAACUGCAGGGGAAUAAUAGACACGAAGUUGGUACUUACAUUCAGAAGACCUUUGAAGUAAGUACAUAUGUUUCUUAACUUCAAACAAUUAUUAAAAUCUAGAUUUAGACAUCAACUAGACAUAUGAGAGAACAAAUAAAUGGUCUUCCCCUUGGAAAAGGGUAUUAGAUUGGAUGAUAUAACGAAUAUAUGAUAUCUUCUUUUUUCGAAUGAGAACUGAGACUAAGGAAUUUCAGGAUCAAGAGAUCGGACCAUUGGAAGAGGUCACUACAAAUGCUUCUGAACUAAAGCAUUUUCAAGUGGAGUUGGAAAGGUUGAAGGCAGUAACCAGUAUUGUAUUUGAUGACAACCAUUCGAUUGAAUUUCAUCUUCGGCAGCUGGAGGAGCAAAUAAAUUCUAGAAAACUGGAUCUUCUUGAAAUGAAGUCACGGUGGUGGGGCAUCAUUUCAGUUUGAUGGCUGGAUUAACUUUUAUACUACUGCUUUGGCAUUAUAUUUAGUUUAAAAACGAAGUCAUGUAGAUAUUAAAUUCUAAUACAAAGAUGUAGAUUUCAUUUGUUUUUUUCUUUAUCAUUGAUCUCUACAGGGAUGCAGAGAGGGAGCUUUUAGAAAUUAAAAGGCGAAGUCUACAAGAAUCACUAUGUGCAAGUAAUCCAAAGGCUCAAGAAAAGCUGCAAAAAUUGAGGGAGUUUGAAUCGGAAAAGAAGCUCAUUGAGUUGGAAAUCAGGAGGCGGUAUGCUACUUUCUUUUAAUAUUAAAUAGGAAGUGAAUCCUUACUGAAAUCUCUGAAAUAUUCUCAGUAUUUCUAGUAAUAGUUUUUCAAAAUGAACUACUGUCACAUGAAAUAGAUGUUUUAGAUUAGAAGUUAUUUGGAGAAUACCCUCCACGUCUUAGUUAUAAAUUGAGUUUUUCUUUACUUUUGAAGAGUGAAAAGUACUUGUAGCUAAUUAAAAAUUACUUUUAAAAUUUAUUUCGGUAUUUUAUUACAUUAACAAAAAUGCUUUUAUAAAAUGUAAGCACUAGUCCUUAGAAGUACUUAACUGGUUUGCAUAUUUGUCAAAAAUCAUCUUGAACUUACCAUCAAGUAUCAAUCCCUUAGGUUAAAUCUUAAUCAUUAUAGAUUAGUGGUUUCCUGAGCAAGCUAGGUUUUGAAAAUCAGUAUCAACCUAUCUUUAUAUAAAGUGAUGUCGUAAUGAGGGCUUUUCCUUUUUGGGUGGGUGGGUUUGUUGGCAUAUGAACAUUGAUGUUACUGAUAACGGGAAGUAAUCUGUACUUUUGUGGAGAUAGUUUUUAGGGAUCUAUUGUGUGUUAUGUUAGUAUUUUAUAUUCAAAAUACAGUUCAUGGUGUCUUUUUCAACAUUUACAAGUUUUACAUAUUUUAUUUUUUGGUUUAAACACGAUAGAUUAUAUAGUUUUUCUACCCCAACUCCAAGAAAAUUUCCUGAUCAUAAUAUGCAACAUAAAAAUUUCUUGCAUGCCUAGAACCAUAUUAAUUCUUCCUGAUCAAAUAUUGUUAUCCAUUCUUCAGGGAGGAAGAAAAUUCUAAUAUCGCAAUAGAUCUUAAGAAGCAGCCCAAGCAAUUAUCGAGACGAUCCUAUAUCAAUAGAGUAAAAGAGAUCACAAAAAACAGUCGGAAACAAGACGCUGACAUUGAUCGAAUCCUUAAAGAAACUAGAGAGCUUCAACUAGAAAGUAACAAUAUUCAAGAACGCCUCCAUAGAACCUAUGCAGUUGUGGAUGAGCUAGUUCUCAGGUAUGCAUCACAGAACUCUUGCAUCGUUGACUAAUGUGGUGGUAUUAACGUCUCGCUUUCUCGUCCCUCUUUUACAUUUCAUUCUCAACCCGAAAAAGAAAAUUCGAGGUUUUAUCUUGCUGAGAAAACUAGCUGAAGUGAUUCAUGUCUAUGCAGGGAAGCAAAAAAAGAUGACACAGGCAAACAAGCACACAAGCUUUUAACUAAUAUCCAUGAGAAUUUUGGCGAGAUCUCGAACAAAAUCCUCUCAACUGAUAGACUAAGAAGAGAAACUGCAGAAUACGAGAAGAAGAUAGCGGCCUCGGCAUCCCGAAGCUUAAACUUUAACAAACUACAAGCUGAUCUGGAUGCUAUCAGGAGAGAAAAUGGUCACCUGGAGCAACAUCUAUGCCAUAAAAAAACCAUUGACAAAGUGUAGAAUAUUUUCUGGGGUUUUGUUUAGCGUAAAUCAUUCAUCAUGCUUUUUGCAGCGAUUACAUUCUAGUGUAAAGGAUAGAAUGAUACAAUACAAAUGGCACUGCUGUUACUAAAUUGGGAUUUCAAUAAUGAGUUGGAAUUUGAUGGCUUAUGAUAUAAGUUUUCUACUUUUGGGUUUUUAUUGUGAUUUUAGAUGUGUAUUGAAAUGGAAGAUAGCAUCAUCAUUUUUAGGGUAGGGGAUUCCUUGAUUUUCAAGUUACGUACUCCACUGGAACUUUGGUGGUUAAGCAGUUUUAGGCAUUUUUCUUCCCUUUUAACAUUUUGAAGCUUCUUCUACUUGAAGAAUCUUAACAAAUUCCAUAAUGAUUAAGGGAAUAAGUUUUUACUUGUUGUCCAAAAAUUUAUUACUUGAUAAUUCUUUUAAAAAUAAAACUAUUACUUCACUAUUGUAUUUCUAUUAAAUAAGGUCUCGUUUGAAAUCUAAUAAGGUUGCAAAAAAAAAAGUUUUUAAGUGGAGAAAUGAUUAUAUUAAAAUUGCUUACAAGGAUGUCAUAUAUUUUUAUUAAACAAUUAUAGAAACGUUUCUUUAAUUAUCAAUGUCUAUUAUUGAUAGAACUUUGAAAAUUUACCUUUUUUUUAUCUCUAUAUUUGAUAACUAUUUUGGUUUAUUAUGAUAUAUUCGAAAAAGCUCCUUUCAAAAAAUUGGUUUUUAACUUGAAAAUUUGAUCAAAAAUUCGAAUAUUAACCUAAAAAAAGAUGAGAAGUACGGUAAAAUCGAGGGAAUUAAAAGCUAAAUUAUUAAAUGUUAGUUUUCAUAAAUAUAACAAAACACCGUAAAUAAGUUCAUAUAACAAAACAAAAAACUAAUUGCAAAAUAUUUUAGAUGGUUUCGAUUUCUUCUGCAAUUUUUCUUUUAUAUUUUUUUGAAAUCACGAUCAUUGUUCUACUAUUAUUAUUAUUAUUUUCCAUCAUACUUCUGCUAUUAUUAUCUUUAUUUUCAAUUAAUCUUCAAUCUUGAAUUAUUCUUUUCAAUAUGUCAUGGACACAGAUGAACUAUAUAAUUGUUUAUCAUAGAGCUUUUCAAAACCAUCGUUUGUCAUGCACAACACGAUCUUGUAUCAUAAGCAUACACAGUUGUGUAUCAUAAUUUACACGAUCGUUUAUUAGGGCUUUUCAAAACCAUUGCUUAUCAUGAACUACGCAUGGUCAUGUAUGAUCACAAGAUCGUUCACUAAGUUUUUUUUCUUUUUUCAAAACCAUCGUUUAUCAUGAACUAACAAUCGUGGAUCAUGAACCAUGCGAUGAUGUAUCGUUUCCUAUAAUAUUGCAUAUCAUGAUUGUUUAAAAGAAGAAUUACACUCGCAUCUAGCCAAUUAAUCAUGUGUCAUUUUUUGUAUUUGGCUCGUUUAUUAUAUUUUUUUAAAAACUCCAUUAUUAAACAAAGACUGUUUUCUUUUGUCUUAAAGUUUGGCUUAGACAAGAAAGAAAAGAAGCACGAGCACGUAUGUAAAAUUUAUAUUUAUAUGCUAAAAUUUCAAAACAAUAAUAAUAAAGAAAAAUGAAACUUUUAGUAACGAUAGUUAAUCUUUUCAUCUCCUAAGUUAUGCUCGAAUUGACUAAUAUAUCAUUAUUGUUAUUAUUAUUAUUAUUAUUUCCAUUAAAUAUAAUUAAUGAAACCUUAACUUCUCCGUAAACAACCAAUGUCGGUUCUGAUUUUGUCACCCAACUGUGACAAACGCUUUACACGUGGACGUCUAAGAACCUGCCAAGUGGUAUCUACCAUUGGACCCACCACCCUAAUAUAACCAUACAAUCAAUCACAAUGAAAGCAAAACUAUAACCAAAUCAUUUCAUUUCUUUUCUUUUUGUAAUUUGUGUGUGUUCUUUUUUGGGUGAAUUUCCCCAAUCAUCCUUUCAAAAUAAAAAAAAUUCUUUUAUAAGGGUCUCUUUCUUCUUCCCUCAUUGAUUUUCUCUAAAAGAGGUUGCCACAUUGCCAUCACUUUUGCUUCUCCAUUUCCUCCAUUGAUGUGUGAUUUCAAUACAACUCUGCUUACACAGAAAUGGGGUUUCUUGAUUCUCUGUUUGGAAAAGAUUCAAGAAAGUUUAUCAAAAGAAAAGAUAGCGAUGCUGGUGAAGCAGGUGAUUUCACUUUCACCCUUUUUAAUCCUCUUUUGUUUGUAUAUGUUUUUCUUUAGUUCAAUCUUGGAUUUCUGGCAUCUGGGCUUGUGUUUUUCUUUUUCCUUUUUAUUCUUAUCGAUUGCAUUGUGGUUUCCAAAUCCAAAUUCAUUGGUUUGAUUUGGGGAUUUCAUAGUUUUUGCAUCUUCUUCUUGUAGUUGAUAUUUGGAAUUGGAGGUUCCGUUUUACAUUGUAAUUUCUGAAUUGUUCUGUGUAUGAAGAUUUCAUUUAUUAAUAAAUAUGAGAUACCUUGGCUGUUUCCUAUUGAUCAUUGGUGUUGUUAUCUAUGUUUUUUCAUGAACAGAAGUUCUCAUACUCUAUAAAUCCACAGGCCGAGCGCUCGAAGAAAUCAGAGGUUCGCUUUAUAAUGAACUACGAACUUCCGAUGGGGCGAAACGGCAACAGCAGCGAUAUUGCGGACCUGUAGUGGCAAUGACAUUCAAUUUCAUGGUUGCUGUUGGAAUUAUAAUGGCAAACAAAUUAGUAAGAAAAAUGUUUUAACCAUUUGAACAUAUUUAGAACAUAUUUAUUGUGUUUGGGAAUAGACGAGGCUCUUUACGUUUGUGUGUUUAUUAUUUUUAUUUUGUUUUGUUUUGCAGGUAAUGGGAAGAGUUGGAUUUAACUUUCCAAUAUUUCUCACAUUAAUACAUUACACUAUUGCAUGGUUUUUACUAGCAAUUUUCAAGGCACUUUCUUUGCUUCCUGUUUCUCCUCCUACCAAAACCACUCCCUUCUC
rnacentral:lncRNA from 1 species